AGCAACUUUUGCUCAGACAGAGAAAACAAUAAUCAUUAAUUAGCGGCAGCUAGAAUCCUAUAAUCUAAUAUAUAUAUAUAUAUAUAAUUUUAUCAGCUCUGGGAAAUGAAGAGGCGAACGAUGCCGUUGAGAGUUGCGACCAAGCCUGCUCUAGCUUCUGCAGCGUGCAUGUUGGCAGCGCCACCGUGGUUGCUUAAGCAAAUGCAUCCAACUAGAUCGUCCUUGUGCUGAAUAAUUGGAUAUCGUAUCCACUUAAAGCUGCCUUGUGUAGUACGUCUUUGUGUCUCUCUUUAUAUUCCAAUAAGGUCGGUGAUCUUGAUGCCACACACUCAGAUGUGUGUUCAUCUCCAGAUACUACUCCAUGCUACCUGCCCUUUGUGUUUUGUUCAAUAACUGGGUAUCAUAUCCCAGCCAGUAUGCCGUCUGUUUUGUGUUUGUUUCCUUCUAGUUCCAAAGGGGUCAUCAUGAUGUUACCUUCUUUCAAUAUGGUGCUUUGCAUGACUACUGUUGUAUGGUACCAUCUUGUGGCCAAUAAGUACAUCUUAUCCUAUGACCUUUGCUAUGACCCUUUGCAAAUAAGUAGAAGAUUGUUAUAAGCGUCAAUACUCCGUAUAAAUUGAUCGCUGCUGUGAGUUCCCUUUCAGCUUAUCGUAGGCAUACAUUAUUGCUAGCACGGUAAAGCCAACCAACACGAAUGAUGAAGUAAACGUAGCGGUACUUCUGUAUACCAACACCCUUACUUAAAUGUACCGGUGUCAUUCCCUACUGGCACAUAUAUUCUUAUAUGCUAGCCAGCUUGUAAAAUUAACCAAUUAAAAUAAUUAUUUCAAGAUAGAAAUAACUUAUCGGUUUCUGGAAGCAUGUGUAAUGUGAAUUCAAGGACUCGACGGAAGUUGAAUCACUUCAUCUAUAUUGCUUUCAGUAUUUUGGGUAACUAAAUUUAACAUUUGCACAUACAAAUGUUAAAGUACAAAUGUUAAAUCUAGUUACCCAAGCAGAAUAUGAAGAUAGUUUAUAGUAUAUAUAUACUAUAUAAAUCUAGUUAACAUUUAGUCUAAAUGUUAAAUCUAGUUACCUAAAAUCCUGAAAGCAAAAUGUAUAAAUAUAUAUCUUUUAAGGCAGUAUAAGCUUCGAUUCCUAUUGCUGCUCUGUUAAAUCUCAUCUUUCGUUGUGGCCCAACACUCUAGUAUGCAUGUUGCACCAAGCUUCUUUGAGCCGCUCUGCCCUCUGAUUUUGCUGCGUAGGGGAAUCUUUAUCAGGUUGGGCUACUUCCAGUUGUGCGAUGUAAAGAUUCGUAUUUUCUAGAAGGUAGACAAAAAACUCGCGUUCUCUUAAGGCAACAACCGGAAGAUUCUGCAGCGCACAGGGCAUACCAUUAUUGUAGAAACGACCUUUAGUACCGAUCUCCAACCCCCUUUAAAACUGGUUUUGCAACCGGUACCGUUAUGUCGGUCCUUUAGUACCAGAUCAAAUAAGUACCGGUUGGUAACCAGUAUCAACUUGUUUUGCGGCCAAAAAAAUAAAGAAAAAAACAGUCAGAAGGCUCGCGCACACGCGCAUCACAUGAAAUAUGCGUGUGCGGGGUCCAUGGGAUUCGAACCCAUGAAAUCAAGCUGCGCGCGACCCUUCGUUACCAUCUCACCUACAUAGCGCAUAUGCUUUCCUGAAGUAACCCGUGGAGGAGGCUUUAGUACCGGGUCAUAACACCACCCGGUACUAAAAAUGACUCUUCAGUACCGGGUCAUAACACCACCCGAUACUAGUAUCGGAUGGUGUAAUGACCCGAUACUAAAAGGCCUCUAGGGACCCUCAAAUUUGAACCCGGUACUAAUGCUAAUAUUAGUAGCGGGUCAAAGUGCAGCCAGAACUAAAGCAUGGGAUGAAAGGUCAUAUUUCUAGUAGUGUAUAGUUGUUGUGAAGGACUGACUUGGCUGUCCUCUCUCUUCUCCAUCCCCUUGGUCUUACGCCGCCGCUCGCACGCGAGCCGGUGCCCAACCAGAGGAGUGAGAGCUAGGGGCAGGUUGGGAGGUGGGGAUAGUGACUGGUGGCCAGGGUGAUGGUUGAUCCUGGUGGGGUUAGGGUUUUAGGGUUUUCGAGCUUCCUAUGGUCGGCGAACCUAGAGGAGGAGCUCAACAUCAGCUGCAACCCGCGAUGGUGGUGGUUUGGCCGGCGCCCGAGGCGAGGCAGCGCGGGAGUGCUGCCGGUGGGUUGGUGUUGGCACUCAUUAUUGACAACUAUUUUGUUCAUAAAAUAACACUCAAACUUGCUGCUGCUGCUGCUGCUGCCAUCGCCACCCUAGCCAUAAUAUAAAGGCAAAAUUUGCUAAAGGACAUGCAAAAUGAUGCUAGUUUGCUGGCGGGCAUCGUUGACCUUGUAAUAUGCUACAAGACACUCUAGUUGUGUAUCAAUUUGCUGAAAGACAUUGCUAUGACUAAAAUAAUGUUUCUGGACUGAGUUGGAGAGAGAGAUGGAGUGAAAUGUCUGUUUUGCCCAUGACCCCACUGGUCAGAUCCUUCUUCUUCCACCCUCCUUUGUUCUUUCUUCAACCAUUACCCAGCUCCAGCGUGUUGCAGAUCUACGAGGGUGGCGGCCUGGGGCGAGGGGCAUCGCUCGCCCUUGGAGGAGCGCUGCGAGCGACGGCGCGGGGGCGGCAACAGCGCGUCAGAACCUGACUGUUCGUUAGCUCCUCUCGCUGCUGGGGAAGGAGGGGGAUGGGCCAUGGACGGGGUUCCCUUGAAAACCUCAGCGUCGAGCUCGGGCGGCUACGCGCAGGCAGCACUAGGCUGCUUCACGGGGAGGGGGCGCGGCCAAUCAUUGGCACCCCACUGGUCCAAUGCUGAUGAAGAUGGUGCCAGCGUCGUGUGAGGACAUCUCAUCUCCUCGAGUUCCAUGGCCAGCACAGGUGAGCUGCCGCUACCACAAAACAGAGGUUUCGUGAGAGUCAAAAAACCUUAUGAAAAUAGCUAAAACCAUCAUGAAAAUAAUCCGUGACAUGACACUCUCACGAAAAUCCUCUCACAAAUAUGGUGCCAUGAAAAUACCAUUUUCAUGAGAGUGAACUGUCAUGAUUUUAUUUCGUGAGAGUAUUUCCUAUCAAUGACCUCCACGAAAUACUUUGUGCCACCAGGUCUUCAAGAUCAUUUUCAUGAGAGCUGAACAUCAGGAAAAGUCCGCCACAAAUGUUUUUCUUGGAGCCCCUAACUCUCAUGAAAAUCAUGCGGGCCGCCACGAAAAACAGCAUGACCAAAUGACAAAUUUCAUUUUCAUGUGUUCAUACCGCCAUGAAAAUGGUCAUUUUCAUGAGAGUUGAUGAAACAAAAAAUAGUGCCAUUUUCAUGAGAGUUCAAGCAACCAGGAAAAGACACUAAUAAACAUCCAGAUCCCAUCCAGCACACAUCCAUGCACAUAUAUAACCCACAUAUUGCUCCAGCACACAUCCAUGCAUAUACAAGAUCCAAAUGUUAAUAUAGUAGACAUCCAUGCCUGAACUAGUCUGCCACACAAGUCAUUGAUGCUACAAAUCCUACAAUCGCAGCAUGUGCAUACAAGUCACAGAAUGAGACAAUGUACCCAAAACUAAAAGGUUAGCAUCAACUGUGCUUCAACCAAAGUUGUCAUCCCAACUCUCCUCUUCAUCCAUGCCAUUCUUGUCGUGGCCGUCACUGUCAGUCCCCAUGGCAUUGCCAAUGCUGUGCAUGUCUUGGUAGGAACCUACAUGUGAUGAACUAGUAACCUGCAAAAAGAGCUCAAAGGAUCUUGUUCUCAUAUUGUAGCUGUGAAAUUCUUACAAGUAGUGUUGCAAUCAGUUCACUUUGAACCAAAAGAGCUCAAAGGAUCUUGUCCUAAAAGUUCCUCAUAAAGCUUAUGGGUUUGCUGGUGGAACUGGAAGGGCUUGAUGCAGCAGAUGCCAUUCUGCAAUAGAGAAAAAUUUAGAGAGCAGUACUAGUUAAAAUUGGAUGCAGAAGAUACACAUGAAACUAGUAUUUAUACAAGUCUAUACAAUUAAAAUCUAAGGAGACUUAUCAUCGUUUUCAUGUGUUGUGAAUUAAAAUAAUGAAGGAUACACUGUUAGGUGAAAAUUCAAGAAACAAAAUUUUGCAUAGAGAUAAAGGUCCAACAUUAUUACAAGUUAAGGUAGUUUUAAAUAUCCUUGUAAUCUUCCUUUGGUUUCCUCAACGAUUCGAAGACAAUAACCUUGCUUCUAUCAAUGAUAAUUAUAAGGAGAAUCCAGUGGAAACUGUGUAUUCGUAUUAGAACUACCUAAGGUUAAUUAGGUUAGGAAAGGAAAUUGAAAAUAGAUGGUACCCACACUUACUUAAAGUUGUCGGGCAAUAGUAUGUAAUGCUUGUAAUUCCGUUGCUCCAAGAAUUUGUAUAUGUGGUCCAAUGUAGACUUUGGUUGAUCCCGUAUCUGCUGUUGGUUAAAUAAGUGUUUCUAGCCAUUUCUAGCCAUUAGAACCGGGACUAAAGGGGGCUCUUUAGUACGGGUUGAUAUUACUAACCGGGAUUAAAGAGCCCCCAUUAGAGUUGGUUUUUGGAUGCGGAACUAACAACUCCUUUAGUCCUGAGUACGAAAACAACUGACAUAUUUGUUGCUGGAUGGAAGGUCCUUUCUCUACCGUGAAUAUUGCCAGAAAGAAUUGAAAGAGACUGCUUGCUAAAAAUAUGUCAUAGAUGUAGACCAAGCUACCAAGGAGGUAGACCAAACAUGAUACACACCAUGCGUACCUUGCUGUGCAGACUAUGCAUUGACAAGAUACCCGACCACAUGUUGGCCUCGGUCACAUCAAAAGAAUCAUGUAGGCCACCAAUAAACUACUUGAAGCGGCAUUCCGUAUCGUAUAUGCAUUGCCGGUUCAUCUGCAUUACAUUACAUAAAGCACUAUUAACUAUUUGAAUAAAAUGAACCAAUUUAAAAGUAAUGUGUUGUACUCUACUAUAGAAAGCCCUAUCACUGCCGGAUCCAAAAACAUCAUUGUUAAUGGUGGUUAAGUACCAAAUAUGACGGUCAAUAUUCUCAAGAAUAAUGGAGAAUUAGCAUUUCUUAGACACAUAUUUGGUUUUGAACAAUGUAGUUCCACAUGUCUUUGGAGAUUAUUUGGGUGUGGGUGAAAUAAUACAAAAAUAAGGAGAAAACACACUCCCAUGGCGAAGAAACACAACUCCAACCAAUGAGAGAUAGCCACAGGGGCAGCACACGGAUCCAUGGGCCCACUAACCGCAUCAAACCAUCUUACCAAGGCAGGUAGCACCCACAACCGUCAUUAGGACCCACCUGGAAGUCUACCAAGAAGAAGGUUGCGAGUGGGGCCAGGAGGGGUUCGGUUGAAUCAUCUCUAGCUAGCUCCCCUCAUCCCCAGCUGGUGGGUGGUGGUGGUUGAUGGUGUCCCUACAUCAGUUAGAGGAGAUUCCCCCAAAUAUUCCUCCUGUAAACCACCUCUAUGGACCUAUACAUAGAGGGGUGUGCUCUCCAUUCCAACACACACCACAAGUUGAAUCACUCUCUCCCUCUUUAGUUUCCAAGUUUAUGGAGUUAGGCUAGAGUAGCUCUGCUCAAGGUUCCAAGUCCACUUGGAGUUAAGCAUAUGUCUCUUGUAUCGUUAUUUCCUAAAUUGACUUUAUGCUUAGUUCUUAUAUGCAUGAGUUAGUCUAAUACCCUUGCUAUAUUGAUAUGCUCGGCUUAUAUGCUCGUAUGCUAGUCAUAUACCCUUGCUGUCGUAGUAUAGGCUUAUAUGCUCUCAUGUGUGCCUGUAGACCUUGCUAUAGUAUAUACUUGUUGUGCAUACAUACCAUGUAUAGGCUAGUCGAUCUAUACCAUGGCAUUGGUUCAAUAGCCAUGUUUUUGGUGGCUCCAACCCUAGUCACAAUAGCUCGGGACAGCUGGAGUGUUGUUAAAAAUGCAAGAGUGGUGCUUGGGUUGUUUAGCAUCGUUGGAUAUGGGUUUGCCCCACGGGUUUCUAACGGUAGGCGGCAGCUAGUGACAUCCCUGUCCGUCCUUCGUAAUCCCCCCACAUUCAGGUACGCCAUAAAUGUUCGUAAAUUAGCAGUAACUACGCCGGUACACCUGUAGGGUAUUGUCUCCCUGUAGUACCUUGGUGCAUAGAACUAAGUCCUAUACACUGUGUGUGUAUGUUUACGCUGAUAUGAUCUGUGCAGUAUAUAGGAUGUAUAUAUGAACCUAGAGCUAACUCCUAGUCCGUUCUCCAUAGCUUAGUUAUCUUGAGAUGAUUCUUCUGUAUGUGUAACACUACCCAUCUUAUCAUUAUCCUUGAUCCUGUCUUGUGUAAUAUAUCUACUCAUCCUAUGAUAUACUCAUAUGCAUAGUAAACUAUUUUGACCUACCCGCCUUCCUUUGGGAAAUAUGAUACCUUGGAAUAAUCCUAGGUGAAAUCCUACAACGGUAUAUCCAUGUAAAUGCGGAUUUAUUCAUGACCAUUAAAUAUACCAACAAUCAUCACUGUGAGUUUUGGGCGUCGUUAGUGAAGGGUUGGUAGUGAUGGGCAUCCCCUUCACCAAUGGACCUGGAACCGGCGGUGAUGGCUAUUAUAAAAAAGGGGACACCACCCAGCGUACCCCACGACCCGGCCGGCCGCACCUCCCAUCAUCCCCGCCAGCCGCCCUUCCUUUUCGCCGGCCGAGCAUGGUCCCGGCCUUUGUCCCUACCACCUCGCCUCCACCGCGACCCCCCGCCGAUGCCCUCGUGCCUGGCCCCCCUCAUCUUGCCGGCCACCCUCCCGAUGCGUCCACUGGGGCCCUCGCACCACCAACCGCCCUUGCUUAGAGAGGGAGAGAGAGGAGGGAGGUGAGGCCACGCACCUCGUCCUACACCGCCGCUGUUUCUCCUCGGCCCACCGCGCCUCACCCCACACCACAGCCGCGCCUUGCCAUCUUACCGGCUGUGACGCCUCAUCUCACCGGCCACCGUUCCUCACCCCCACUUCGGUCGUCGCCGCUCCUUGCCCUACCGCUGCUCUUUGCCGCUGCGAAUGAGCGCCGAGUGGAGGAGGAGGGAUGGGGCAGGAGGAGGGCAAGAUCCGGGAGGAAGGGAGAGAUCUCGGGAGGUGGAGAUGGAAGGAUAUGGCGGAAGGGAGAGAUCCAGAGGGAGAGAGCAGGGGAGAGAGGGGGGCGUGUGGGGAGAGAGCGCGUGUGGGGUGGGGCCGGGCUGGUGGGAUGGAAGGGAGAGGGGCUAGACGGGCGCAGUGCAUUCAACUGGAUGAAGUAAAUAUUUUGGAUUCGAGACCCCAGCUUUAUUAUCACCGCUGGUCCGUAGUACCAUCCGGUGCCUGCUCGUAAUUUAAUUUGAAUCUGCGGUGAUGUUUUAUUAUCACCAUCGGAUCAUAUAAAAAUCCGGCGGUUAAAAAUCCGCUGGUUUCGAUGAAAACCGACGGUGAUAGGAUGACUGUGAUAGUCUCUUCUCUAGUAGUGGUAUAUUAGUACCGGCUGCCGGAUGGUGUUGCCGACCAGUACUUCUCCGGGGGCGAUUCAGUACUGCUGUUAGCAAAGCUUGUUCUCUAUGAAUUUGGGGAUGGAAAGCUAGUUCUCUAGUUGUGAUUUGUUACAUAUAUAUCUAUGAUAGUCUAGAAAUUGCAUGUCCUUCGUUGACAUAGUUGAAGCUGCUUCAAGAAUUUACUUCGUGCAGUCGUGCAGCAUAUUGGAUUAUCACCUAGACAGGAUACAUAGGUGAAGCAUUGGAUGUGAUUGUGGCCGAUAAUUAUGCAGGACGCUGUUGCAAUCAACCACCAAGAAGUCUGGAGUGAUGGGGUUGCCUCAUCAAUAAUUUUUAUAUAUGGCUGCAGUAUUAUUAAGCCCACGUCAAUAAUUUUUUGUCCGCACCAUAUAUCGAUGGGGUUGCCUCAUCAAUAAUUCGCGCAACCAGACAAGCUGCAGACUCAAUAUGGUACGAAGCUAGUUGCUCAGCCCACAUGCUCUGAUAUAACAUUGACAUCUGCUGAUCUACAGUAUAUAUGACCAGAAAUAUUGUGCCCACCUCAAUAACUUUCUGAAGUAUCGUGGGGAAGAACCUACGCGUACUAUGCCUCGGAACUAACUGACAUAUCGGCCCAGGCGGUCUAGGCCGAUUGGACUGGCUCUUCCUUGUGGCUUCUCACAUCCCCUUCGUCCCCAAGUAAUUUCAGGUGUUCUGUAGUUUUCUUUUCACUUGCAUCUGAGCCUCCUAUAUCAAUAGCUUCGGGAUAAGAAUGCCUCUUGAUAACCUUCCAAAUCCUCGCUUGAUUCACAUUGAUUCCGAAAUCAUCUUGCCAUAUCUUCAGAGACUUAGGUCCUAAGGCAUCAUGGAGGAUUGCUCGCCAAGAAUGAGCACCAUUGGGCUCCUGAGGACCCUAGGCCGAUCAGCCCGGGCUCUAUAGGUCGAUUGGCCCAGGCCCUCUCUGGGCCUGUUGGCCUUCAUCUUUCUUUGAGUCGACGCUUAUUCAGGGCUUUGUCCAAUUAUAGUCCAUUAUAGUCUAAUUUCCUAAAAAACAGAAUGUCCUCCAAAAUACAAUGCAUAUGUGAAAACAACCCAAUUAUUAGGUAUGAUCAAUAGUUUAGGUAUUAAAUUAAUAUUAUUAUUUAAGAUAAACAGGGGUAAAGGGUGUCAUUAAUAACAAGCGCCAACAAGCGUCCUAGCUGUUCAAUAAAUUUUUUCUAGUACCGAUUGGUAACACUAACCGGUGCUAAUAUGUACCCUUUAUUACCGGUUAUUUUACCAGGUACUAAAGGAGACAAGAGCAUCCUAACAUAAGGUUAAUAUCAUCCAUUUCAUGAGUAAAAUACUAUGAUUCAAAAAUAAUUCAAAUCCCUUAAGACAAUACCUAUCAAAUGAGUAAAUUGUAAAUAGAGUAAUCUUGAUCAAACAAUGUCCUAAUGAAACGGAACACUUCUGGUUCGUGUAGAGCACAAUAUAGAAAACAGUAGGGUAGCUGUAUGAUUGACACGUGGUCCAUUAAUUAUUGAGCCAACACUAUGGACAUGUCUUCAUGAGUAGUGUACUAGUCAUAAUACAUGGUAUGCAGUAGGUGGAGGUAUUGACUUAGCCAUGCUAUGAGCACUUAGUUACAACAAACACUUUGCCAUUAUCGAGCAUCCCAAAUCACUACAAAAUCCAUAGUUUACCAUAUACUACAAAAUCUGAGUUAAAAUAAGAGCAUACACGGAAGAGUCCGAAUGCACGGCACAUUGAAUUACUAGACAAAAUUUAUGGGACAAGGUUUUGGGUAACCGCAUGAAAAAUAUUGGAUUUUACUGAACACUUAGUUACAAUUACCAUGCCCGUGAGCACUUAGUCACCACAAACAUUUAACCACUUUAGAUCAUCCUGAAUCCCUAUAAAUUCUAUACCUUACACCGUACCAUGAAAACGACAAGAACAGAGACAGAUGCGGUGAAAAUCUCCAGAGCAAGCCUGAAAUUAAAAUAAGAGGAGGCAGUCACUAUCGACAGGACACGGAGAUUGCUAGCCAUGACAGAGGAAGACAUGAUAUGAUAUUCACCUCUGAAAUGCAGCGUAGACUAAAUGAAGCACAAUUGCAAGUGAGUGUGGCAGAUAAUGGACCAUCGAGACCAUCGAAUGGUAUGAAGCAUGAUUAUCACCUAGACAUGAUAUCCUAGACAGGACGGUGAAUUGUAAAAAGAGUAAUCUUGAUCAAAGAAUGUCCUAAUGAAACGGAACAUUUUUGGUACGUGUAGAGCAAAAUAUAGAAAACAGUAGAGUAGUUGUACGAUUGAAACUGCAUCCAUCGACGUGGUGCAUGAAUUGUUGAGCCAACACUGUGGACAUGUCUUCAUGAACACCAUCUAGUGAGGACAGCAUGCAGAAAAAUAUAAAAACAUGUCAUAGGGAGGCAGACCAAUCUUGCGAGGUAGACGAAACGUGAUACACGAUCUGCCUACCUUGUCGUGUGGAUACCCCAAGUGAAGAUGUCAUAGAGGUGCAGACCAAGCUAGCAAGGAGGUAGAUGAAACGUGAUACACGGCCUGCCUACCUUGCCGUGGAUAUUAGUCCUGAUAUCAUUCUAUUGUUCAAGGAAUAACACUCAAUGCUGCUGCUGCUGCUGACCUGGCUCCAUAAAGUUAUAUUCCUCUAGCCGCUUGCACUAACUUUAUCUGAAGUAUUAUUCUCUCUGCACUGUAUAUAUGGUUACGGAGUUUGCUGGAGUAUCCGGGGGGAAGAACCUACAUAAUAUGUCUUGGAACUAACUGACAUUGAUUCACAGACAAGGUGCUGUUGUUGACAUGGUACAGUAAAUAAUAUAGUUUACCAUAUACCGUAUACCAUUAUAUGUUAGCUAAAAUAAGAGCAUAACAUGUCGCAGGAGUCCAAAAGCACCGGUUGAGGACCAGGUACAUUAAAUUACUAGAAAACAAAAGGGGACAAGGUUUAGGUAGCCACAUGAAAAACAUUUGAAUUUACUGUACCAUGAACACUUAGUUACCAUGCCGGGAGCACCUAGUUAACACUAACAUUUAGCCACUUUAGAUCAUCCCGAAACACCAAUGACCCUCAAUAGCGACAAAUUUUGGUUUAAAUGCCGUCACCAAUGAUCCUCAAUAGUGACGUGUUUAGGUUUAAAUCCCAUCACUAAUAACCCUUGGUAGUGACGUGUUUUGGUUUAAAUCUCAUCACCACUGAUCCUCACUAGUGACGUGUUUUUAGCAACACACGUUAUGAAUGACUUGUCAUUGGUGACAUGUUAAACGCGUUAUCUCAAUGGCAAAUCAAUGGUGACGUGUUUAAAAAAACAUGUCACUGUGAGAGUUAUUGGUGAAGGGUAAUUAAAAUGCAUCACUAAUUUUGUAGCAUUAGUUAUGAUAUAAUUUUGUAACGCAAAAAUCUACCAUAGUAAUGAGGUUUAGAGCCAUCACUAAUGUGGGUUUCUUAUCGUAGUGAUGCAAGCUCUACAAGGUGCUGUUGUUGCCAUUUUAAAGCAUCCCAAAUGACUACAAGAGUCCGGUUGAGGACUAAACAAAUUGAAUUACUAGAACCAAAUGUAUGUCCAGAACAAAGAAAGGGGUCAAGGUUUGGGUAACCGCAUUAAAAACAUUGAAUUUUACUGUACCAUGAACACUUAGUUACCAUUACCAUGCCUUGAGCACCUAGUUACCACAAACAUUAAUUUAGCCACUUUAGAGGUUCCACAAUCACUAUAAAUAAUAUACCAACACCGUACCAUGAAAACAUCAAGAAGAGAGACGGGUACAUGGACCACCAUCAAGUGAGUAGUGACAGCACGCACAAGAAUACCCGGAACCUUUUAGCUUGUCUGUAGUGAUCUGUUUUCUUCGCCACAAAUAAUGAAAGAGGCUGACCAAGCUAGCAACGAGGUAGAGCAAACGUGAUACACGUAGGUUUCAUUCAAGACAUCCAUGUAAGAUUCAUUCAAAACAUUCAUGGAAAUUUCUUGUAAGUUUUCAUGUAAAUUUCAUUCAAGACAUUUGUUAGAGGUGUUGUAUAUACACUUAACGUACAUAUAUCUAUGAUUUCAUGGUUGUUAGUGAUGGCAGAUGAGGAGCAUGCAAGGUGUUUAAUGGAGCAGAUUAUUGCUAGUGGUAGUGGCUCCAACCUGCCCGUAACGUACACCGACGAAGAGGGCAGCCAGGCGGACAUGUUCCUCAACAUGUCCGGUGAUGGCAAUGAAGAGCCCGAGCAAAACCUUGCCGUGACGGAAGGUUCCAUCGAGGUAUAUAUCAUUUCCAUUAUUUUACCCCAUCUAUAAUUUCAUAUUCAUUAUUACUAUGUGCUAAUUAAUGAAUCUUGAACCGUUAGUCCUCUAGAUCAACGAACCGAAAUAAGCCCCGAGGUCUUACAAAGAUAAUGCAGGGAAGGCUUCACAUCAUGGAAGUCACAGAAGAGGGCACAUCGGUUGCUCCCGAACAUGUGGCAAGAAAGUACGUGAGUCAAACCGGGGCAAUCGUAAGGGACAACAUGCCCAUCAGCAUCAGGGAAUGAAAGAGCAAUAGAAAUGAUCUAUACGCACCCCCGGAUACACAAAAGGAUAUGUUGUGGGCAAAUAUCAAGAAACACUUCACAUUUCCCAAAGGAUAUGUUGAAAAAUAUGUGAAAGCGUGGAUGUUGAAGAAGAUGGCCACCCAAUUCCAGACAUUCAAGAAGAUGUUGGAUGCCAACUUCAUCAAGAAGGGUCGAACUCCGGGUUUCAAUGAGUGGCCAAAGUUAAGGGACCACUGGGAGUCGUUUGUCGAAUACAAGACGAGCGAAGGUGGUGCGAGUAAGGUUCACAUCAAUGUUGCCAAUGCUAGCAAGGAGUACCAUCAUCAUCUAGGGCGACGUGGUUACAGCUCUGCAAUUCCCAGAUGGCGCAAGAUGGAACAAGACCUGAUCGAUCGGGGUAUCGUACCAGCAACUCUUGACUGGAUCGAUUGAAAAAUUGGUAUUAUGCUCAUGAAGGCAAUCUGAGCCAAGAGGAUCCGACAUUGGUCUUCAAUAAAACAAUACGUCAGAAGGUCGGAAGGCUUAUUAGGAACAUUGAAGAUGCUAAAGCUGGGAGGUUCAAGGUGGAUAGAGAGAAUGAUGAACUCACAUUGGCCCUCGGGACUGUCAUCUCUAGCACUUCCAGCUCCAGGACUAUCGUCACCACCGGGACCGUCGCUUCCUGCUCGAUCACAGUCUCCAUCUCCAGCACAUCCUGGUGGUGCGAGCGACGACGACAACAACACCCCUCCCUGCCCACCAUUGCCGGGACUAAGACCCGCAUUGAGUAAGGAACCUGCAACACCACUGAAGAAGUCGCGACCACCACCUUCAAGGCAAGUCAGCAAAAGAAGAAAGCAGAGAAGCCUAAACCCACUGAGAAGCCAGCGACUGAUAUGACCGAUGCGGAAAGAUGGAAGGCACUCAAAGAAGAAUGCAGGGAGUGGUUCAGCGAAGGCGAAGGUGAGAAAGUCGUAUGAAUCGAAUUCAAGGAUAUAUAUGAAGUGAACCAUCAGGAUGCCCUUGAUGUCUCUCUCAUCAGCGCCUAGGUUCUGUAAGUGUAUGUUUAUCUAUAAGUAAAUUUUGGCUCAUAUCAUUAUUUUUUUUGCGUGCGUCACCCUACUAACUUCGUCUUCCAUUUUAUGUAGGAUGCUAAUUCAGACGUGCCGCAUAGAAGCGUACUUCCAUGUUGGAUUCAUGGAUCCAUCCCUAGUUAACCAAAAGCCGAUACGGAAGUAGCUAGAGAAAACGUUGGAGGUGGUGUACAACCUCCUGGACAAACUAAACUACAGAAUAGGGGCAAUAUGUGAGGGUCUUGUAGGAUUCCUAGUGGACGAGGUGAUAAAUCCAUAAGGAGAAUAUCAUUCCAACGGACGAGCAUUAGACACACUGAGCAACACCUAGAUGGGAGGAUCCUAGGAAUGACCUCGACAGAUUUUGGUAUAAAUAGUAAUUGUGUAAAUACUAGUUUGAUUUGUAUAGGAAUAUACUAAGAAUUGUAUAUAUAGUAAUUGUACAAAUACUAGUUUGAUUUGUAUGAAUACUAGAUUGAUUUUAUUAUAAAAAAGUUUUAAGUCGUACGUGCAUGCGCCUACAAAGGCGCGGAUGCCUUUUAAUCCCAGUCGGAAAAACAAACUGGUACUAAAGGGGCUCGUGCCGCACCUGGCAUGACCACCCCUUUAGUCCCGGUUGAACGACCCAGGACUAAAGAUCUCCGCGUCUCAAAAAUUUUAUCUCGGAUGCUUUUUAGAGAGAUUUGAGGCCUAUCAACCAAGACUAAUAUCGAGUUUUCUACCAGUGAAACUAACUAACGUUCACAUGGUUUUGACAUUCACCUGCCAUUUGGUGUAGACAAGGGCACCCUAACAUAUGGUUAAUAUUAUUCUUGAAAGAAAAUCCUUUGAUUCAAAAUACUUCAAACCUAAUAAUACAAUACUUCUCACAUCUGAAAAAUAUGAGACGGCCCGACAGUAUUCUAAUCGACGCAAUAAUAUUUUGAGGGCAGCACUACUACAGCGACCCUCAUUCGUGCCGGUGCUGGGACUCCUAUCACGACCCUGAUACAAAUGAGGGUACAUUAUUGGUGCCAGUGCUAGAACAGCCACGAAUAACUUGCUAAACGUGCUGUUACACUCACUACAGGGACCAAGAAGGUAGAUAAAUUACACGACAUAGCCUUGGUUGCCGUGGAAGCGCCAAGAAGGGAGACAAAUUACAGGGACCACACCAUCAAGUAGAUAGUGACAAUAUGCAAAAGAAUACCCGCGCCUGUUAGCAUGUGAACUGACCACACCACGAAACGUGAUACACGGCAAGCGUACCAAGGCCUUGCUGUGCAGACUAUGCAUGGACAACACAUGGUACCUGACCGCUUUUGGCCUCAGACACAUCGAAAAACUGCAUCGUUCCACGUUGUACAUCCAUUGCUAGUUUAUCUAUAUUACAUAAUAUAUUAUUAGCUAUUUGAAUAGAAUGAACCAAUUAAAAAAUUGCGUUGUAUUUUUAGUACCGGCUGCAGGAUGGUGUUACCAACCAGUACUAAUUGGCCUGUAGGAGUGAUGGUUAUUAGACUUGGUACUGUUGUUAGCAUCAUUAACCUAAUUGUGCGCCGUAUGAAUUUGGGGAUGCAAAGCUAGCUCUCUAUGAAUGUGAGGGAUGGAAAGCUAGUUCUCUAGUAGUAAUUAUAUAUAUGACAGUCAAGAAAUCGAACACUAUGCUGCUACGAGUCACCAUCAUUUCCUUCAUUGACAAUCUGACAUAGGUGAAGCUGCUUCAAUAAUUUCCUUCGCGCAGUCGUGGAGCUUAUUGGAUUAUCACCAGGACGGGACACGGAAAUGGCCAGCAAUGAAGCUGAUUGCCGUCUGAGGAAGACUACAUACUUACCUAUGAAAUGAAGCGAUUGCAUAGACUAAUGAAGCAUUGCAUAUUUGCAUGUGAGUGUGGCAGAUAAUUCUGCAGGACAUGAUUGCAAUCCACGCACCAUCGAGAAGACUGGGGCGAUGGGGUUGCCUCAUCAAUAAUCACGUGGAUGCAUGCAUGCAUGUUCCCGCAACCGGACAAGGGUCUGAUAUAUGGCUAUAGUAUUACUGAGCCCACAUCAAUAAUUUCCACUGGUGUAUCGUGUGGGAAGAAUCAACAUACUACACCUCGAGUUCUUGGAACUAACUGACGUUCACAUGCAACCUCCACAAGGUGCUGUAUGCUUUUGACAUUCACCUGCCAGUUCGUGUAGAGAAGGACACCCUAACGUAUAGUUAAUAUUAUCCAUUUCAUGAGUAAAAUACUGUGAUUCAAAAAUACUUCAAAUCCCUUGAGACAAUACUUCUCACUUGACUAACCACUAACCAACCCCGAAACCCUAACUCAACUCCGAACCCUAACCCCUAACGGCAUAACCACUCCGUUUUGCCGGCGAGAUGGAGGAACUGGCUGGAAGGUAGAGAGGGCAGCGGUCCAGGGUUGAAAACGACGGGCGAGCGCAGUAACAUGUGGAGGAGGAAGUGCCACGUAUUCGUUCACCGCUAUUGGGCAGCGACACACGACACGCCCAAUAAGAUCUUCGCACGGUAGAAGGACGUCAUGUAUUCAAUAAUGUUAUUGGUCCCCCAUGUGCAGAAGGGCGCGCGCGUAUGGAAUAACAAGUAGGGACACUGCAACUAAUCUACUCUGCUCGUCCAGUCCCUAGCCUAUAAAUAGAUGCCAUGCUAGCUCUUGUUGUGCUCACAAUUAAUCCGAUUACACACGAGCUUCUCUCCCUGGCCAAGACACAACCAUAGUAUGAUGAAGAACAUGGCACUAGCCGGCAAUGGUAUGAAGAAGUUAAUCCUCGCUGUUCUCUUACUGUGUCUAGUUAUAGGGCAGAUACAAGUGGAAGCUAAGAGCUGCUGCCCAUCCACCACUGCAAGAAAUGUCUACAAUACCUGCCGUUUCACGGGUACAUCCCGUCCAACGUGUGCAAAACUGUCAGGCUGCAAAAUUAUCAGCGGGAACAAAUGCAAGCCCCCUAACGACCACCUCACCCUUGACCCGGACACUGGUAAAUAAUAAAUUUAUCUCACUUGAUUUCUUCGUGAUUUGAGUCGUUAAUGUAUUUUCCAUCUGAUGAAACGUAUUGGUUUUGCAUUGAAGAGGAAGUUAAUGUGCUUAACUUCUGCAAGUUGGGGUGUGCGUCGUCUGUGUGCAACAACAUCAACGCUGGUAAGCAACUUUUGCUCAGACAGAGAAAACAAUAAUCAUUAAUUAGCGGCAGCUAGAAUCCUAUAAUCUAAUAUAUAUAUAUAUAUAUAAUUUUAUCAGCUCUGGGAAAUGAAGAGGCGAACGAUGCCGUUGAGAGUUGCGACCAAGCCUGCUCUAGCUUCUGCAGCGUGCAUGUUGGCAGCGCCACCGUGGUUGCUUAAGCAAAUGCAUCCAACUAGAUCGUCCUUGUGCUGAAUAAUUGGAUAUCGUAUCCACUUAAAGCUGCCUUGUGUAGUACGUCUUUGUGUCUCUCUUUAUAUUCCAAUAAGGUCGGUGAUCUUGAUGCCACACACUCAGAUGUGUGUUCAUCUCCAGAUACUACUCCAUGCUACCUGCCCUUUGUGUUUUGUUCAAUAACUGGGUAUCAUAUCCCAGCCAGUAUGCCGUCUGUUUUGUGUUUGUUUCCUUCUAGUUCCAAAGGGGUCAUCAUGAUGUUACCUUCUUUCAAUAUGGUGCUUUGCAUGACUACUGUUGUAUGGUACCAUCUUGUGGCCAAUAAGUACAUCUUAUCCUAUGACCUUUGCUAUGACCCUUUGCAAAUAAGUAGAAGAUUGUUAUAAGCGUCAAUACUCCGUAUAAAUUGAUCGCUGCUGUGAGUUCCCUUUCAGCUUAUCGUAGGCAUACAUUAUUGCUAGCACGGUAAAGCCAACCAACACGAAUGAUGAAGUAAACGUAGCGGUACUUCUGUAUACCAACACCCUUACUUAAAUGUACCGGUGUCAUUCCCUACUGGCACAUAUAUUCUUAUAUGCUAGCCAGCUUGUAAAAUUAACCAAUUAAAAUAAUUAUUUCAAGAUAGAAAUAACUUAUCGGUUUCUGGAAGCAUGUGUAAUGUGAAUUCAAGGACUCGACGGAAGUUGAAUCACUUCAUCUAUAUUGCUUUCAGUAUUUUGGGUAACUAAAUUUAACAUUUGCACAUACAAAUGUUAAAGUACAAAUGUUAAAUCUAGUUACCCAAGCAGAAUAUGAAGAUAGUUUAUAGUAUAUAUAUACUAUAUAAAUCUAGUUAACAUUUAGUCUAAAUGUUAAAUCUAGUUACCUAAAAUCCUGAAAGCAAAAUGUAUAAAUAUAUAUCUUUUAAGGCAGUAUAAGCUUCGAUUCCUAUUGCUGCUCUGUUAAAUCUCAUCUUUCGUUGUGGCCCAACACUCUAGUAUGCAUGUUGCACCAAGCUUCUUUGAGCCGCUCUGCCCUCUGAUUUUGCUGCGUAGGGGAAUCUUUAUCAGGUUGGGCUACUUCCAGUUGUGCGAUGUAAAGAUUCGUAUUUUCUAGAAGGUAGACAAAAAACUCGCGUUCUCUUAAGGCAACAACCGGAAGAUUCUGCAGCGCACAGGGCAUACCAUUAUUGUAGAAACGACCUUUAGUACCGAUCUCCAACCCCCUUUAAAACUGGUUUUGCAACCGGUACCGUUAUGUCGGUCCUUUAGUACCAGAUCAAAUAAGUACCGGUUGGUAACCAGUAUCAACUUGUUUUGCGGCCAAAAAAAUAAAGAAAAAAACAGUCAGAAGGCUCGCACACACGCGCAUCACAUGAAAUAUGCGUGUGCGGGGUCCAUGGGAUUCGAACCCAUGAAAUCAAGCUGCACGCGACCCUUCGUUACCAUCUCACCUACAUAGCGCAUAUGCUUUCCUGAAGUAACCCGUGGAGGAGGCUUUAGUACCGGGUCAUAACACCACCCGGUACUAAAAAUGACUCUUCAGUACCGGGUCAUAACACCACCUGAUACUAGUAUCGGAUGGUGUAAUGACCCGAUACUAAAAGGCCUCUAGGGACCCUCAAAUUUGAACCCGGUACUAAUGCUAAUAUUAGUAGCGGGUCAAAGUGCAGCCAGAACUAAAGCAUGGGAUGAAAGGUCAUAUUUCUAGUAGUGUAUAGUUGUUGUGAAGGACUGACUUGGCUGUCCUCUCUCUUCUCCAUCCCCUUGGUCUUACGCCGCCGCUCGCACGCGAGCCGGUGCCCAACCAGAGGAGUGAGAGCUAGGGGCAGGUUGGGAGGUGGGGAUAGUGACUGGUGGCCAGGGUGAUGGUUGAUCCUGGUGGGGUUAGGGUUUCAGGGUUUUCGAGCUUCCUAUGGUCGGCGAACCUAGAGGAGAAGCUCAACAUCAGCUGCAACCCGCGAUGGUGGUGGUUUGGCCGGCGCCCGAGGCGAGGCAGCGCGGGAGUGCUGCCGGUGGGUUGGUGUUGGCACUCAUUAUUGACAACUAUUUUGUUCAUAAAAUAACACUCAAACUUGCUGCUGCUGCUGCUGCCAUCGCCACCCUAGCCAUAAUAUAAAGGCAAAAUUUGCUAAAGGACAUGCAAAAUGAUGCUAGUUUGCUGGCGGGCAUCGUUGACCUUGUAAUAUGCUACAAGACACUCUAGUUGUGUAUCAAUUUGCUGAAAGACAUUGCUAUGACUAAAAUAAUGUUUCUGGACUGAGUUGGAGAGAGAGAUGGAGUGAAAUGUCUGUUUUGCCCAUGACCCCACUGGUCAGAUCCUUCUUCUUCCACCCUCCUUUGUUCUUUCUUCAACCAUUACCCAGCUCCAGCGUGUUGCAGAUCUACGAGGGUGGCGGCCUGGGGCGAGGGGCAUCGCUCGCCCUUGGAGGAGCGCUGCGAGCGACGGCGCGGGGGCGGCAACAGCGCGUCAGAACCUGACUGUUCGUUAGCUCCUCUCGCUGCUGGGGAAGAAGGAGGGGGAUGGGCCAUGGACGGGGUUCCCUUGAAAACCUCAGCGUCGAGCUCGGGCGGCUACGCGCAGGCAGCACUAGGCUGCUUCACGGGGAGGGGGCGCGGCCAAUCAUUGGCACCCCACUGGUCCAAUGCUGAUGAAGAUGGUGCCAGCGUCGUGUGAGGACAUCUCAUCUCCUCGAGUUCCAUGGCCAGCACAGGUGAGCUGCCGCUACCACAAAACAGAGGUUUCGUGAGAGUCAAAAAACCUUAUGAAAAUAGCUAAAACCAUCAUGAAAAUAAUCCGUGACAUGACACUCUCACGAAAAUCCUCUCACAAAUAUGGUGCCAUGAAAAUACCAUUUUCAUGAGAGUGAACUGUCAUGAUUUUAUAAGCGUCAAUACUCGGUAUAAAUUGACUACUGCUGUGAGUUCCCUUUCAGCUUAUCGUAGGCAUACAUUAUUGCUAGCACGGUAAAGAGAACCAACACGAAUGAUGAAGUAAACGUAGCGGAACUUUUGUAUACCAACACCCUUACGUACCGGUGUCAUUCCCCACUGCCACAUAUAUUCUUAUAUGCUAACCAGCUUUGAAAAUUAAGCGAUUAAAAUAAUUAUUUCAAGAUAGAAAUAACUUAUCGGCUUCUCGAAGCUUGUGUAAUGUGAAUUCAAGGACUCGAUGGAAGUUGAAUCGCUUCAUCUAGAUUGCUUUCAGGAUUUUGGGUAACUAAAUUUAACAUUUGCACACACAAAUGUUAAUGUACAAAUGUUAAAUCUAGUUACCCAAGCAGAAUAUGAAGAUACUCUAUAGUAUAUAUGUACUAUAUAAAUCUAGUAAACAUUUAGUCUAAAUGUUAAAUCUAGUUACCUAAAAUCCUAAAAGCAAAAUGUAUAAAUAUAUAUCUUUUAAGGCAGUAUAAGCUUCAAUUCUCUGUUAAAUCUCAUCUUUCGUUGUGGCCCAACACUCUAGUAUGCAUGUUGCACCAAGCUUCUUUGAGCCGCUCUGCCCUCUGAUUUUGCUGCGUAGGGGAAUCUUUAUCAGGUUGGGCUACUUCCAGUUGUGCGAUGUAAAGCUUCGUAUCUUUUAGAAGGUAGACAAAAUACCCGCGUUCUGGAAGAUUCUGCAACGUGCACGUUGGCGCUGCCACCGUGGUUGCUUAAGCAAAUGCAUCCAACUGAAUCGUCCUUAAGCUGAAUAAUUGGAUAUGGUAUCCACUGCUUAAAGCUGCCAUGUUUAGUACGUCUUUGUUUUUCUCUCUUUAUAUUCCAAUAAGGUCGGUGAUCUUGAUGCCACACACUCAGAUGUGUGUUUAUCUCCAGAUACUACUCCAUGCUACCUACCCUUUGUGUUUUGUUCAAUAACUGGGUAUCAUAUCCUAGCCAGUGUGCCAUCUGUUUUGUGUUUGUUUCCUUCUAGUUCCAAAGGGGUCAUCAUGAUGUUACCUUCUUUUGAGGUGUCUAUGAUGACUUCGUUAAUAUCAAUAUUAACCAAUUCAAUCUGUCUUAACUAUUUGUAAGGGGUAUGAUGUAUGCAUGAUUAUAACAAUGAUUGCGCAUACAAUCGCCGCCAAAGAAACGGUCAAUACCAUUAAGACAUAUUACAGACAAUUCUCAUAAUCUAUAAUGAAUAUACAUAUUCACUACUGCAGAAGACUGUCAUUUGUAUCGGCUCAUACGUGCCAGGGCAAAGGUCACCCUUGCAUUAAGUACAUUUGCACGGUAAAGACAACCAACACGAAUAAUGAAGUAAACAUGCCGGUGCUUUUGUACACCAACACGCUUACUUAAAUGUACUGGUGUCAUUCCUCACCGGUAGCCGGCUUGAAAAUUAACCAAUUAGAACAAUUAUUUAUUGUAUCGGUGUGAUUUUUGACCUAUUGGAAUAUGAAUUUGACCGUUACUGCAUUCGUCAAGACUCAAGAGAGAAAUAACUGAUCGGCUUCUUAGAGCGUGUGCAAUGUGAAAUCAAGGACUGGAUGGAAGUUGAAGCGCUAGCACUAGUAGAGAAACGACUUUCCAUCCACCCCCUUUUGUCCCGGUUUAAAGUUGGCUCGGGAUAAAAGGUUCACCAACCGGGACUAAAACUCAGUCACUGGUGGGAGGCUCACCAACCGGAACCUUUUAUCCCGGUUGCAAAGGCUAAUGGGAAAAAAAGACUCUGAGAGGCCUUUUAUCCCGGUUUGAAACACCAACCGGGAUAAAAGACCCCCCUUUUAUCCCGGUUGGUAACACCAACCGAGAUAAAAGGGUCAAGAGCCUUUUAUCCCGGUUGGAAACACCAACCGGGAUAAAAGACCCCCUUUUAUCCCGGUUGGUGUUUCAAACCGGGAUAAAAGGGCCCCCACGAGGUGACUGGAAGGUGACUGGAAGGGGAUUAAAUCGUGGGGGACCCUUUUAUCCCGGUUGGAAACACCAACCGGGAUAAAAGGGGGUCUUUUAUCCCGGUUGGUGUUUCCAACCGGGAUAAAAGGGUCCCCCACGAGUUAAUACAAAAGGAUAGUAUCCCCUACAUAGUCAGAUGUGGUGUGUAGGUGGGAUGGUAAGGAAGCUACGCGCGAGCUCCGGAAUUUUUUUUUUUUUUUUUUGCAGCGUCGGCGCUCUCUACCCUUUUAUCCCGGUUGGUAUUACCAACCGGGAUAAAAGGGGGUCUUUUGUCCCGGUUGAGUGACCCGGGAUAAAAGACCCCCCCUUUUUUCCCCGGUUAGUUUAUCCCGGAUGCAUUUUCGGGAUAAAAGCACCCUACCAACCGGGAUUAAAGCUCACUUCUCUACCAGUGUAGCUUCAUCUUCCGCUGCAAGUUAAUUGCUUGGAUAAGAAGUUGUAGCCGCUGCAAGUUAUAAAUAGUCCCGCUGAUGCUGUGCUCCGAAGUCUAUACUAUAUAUGCGGAAACUAGAUUGCUUUCAGGAUUUUGGGUAACUAAAUUUAACAUUUGUACAUAAAAAUGUUAGUUUACGAAUGUUAAAUCUAGUUACCCAAGCAGAACAAGAAGAUAGUAUAUAGUAUAUACUAUAUAAAUCAAGUUAACAAUUAGUCUAAAUGUUAUAUCUACUUACCCAAAAUAUUGAAAGCAAAGAAAGAAUAAGUAUAUAUCUUUUGUUGGAAAAUUGGUCCACGGAGAGGCCCAUUUAGGCCUCGUUCGUUUCACCGGGAUGGGAUUCCAGUCAGGAUUACUUCCAAGUUCGGUUUGAGUGAUUCCACCCGUGUCACUCAAUCCGGCUAGGAUUCAUUCUAUGGGUGAGGAGGUAUGGUUUCAAUCCAGGCCAUCUAAUGUAGAAGGAUUCCAAUCCAGGCCGGUUUUCGUUCCAGGCCAGACUAAAACGAACAACACUUUCAAUGCAAGUCUGGUUUCAAACCGGGCCAUUUCAAACCACCCGGAAUGGACCUCGUUCCAGGCCAAUCCGGUGAAAACAAAUGAGGCCUUAAUGGAAUCCCAAAGCAAGAGUUCAGUGGCAUUCUAUAGUCCCAUGCUGCUAGUUUGAGUUGGUCGAAGCCAACUUAAAUAGGAGAGCUCUCUCACUUCUCUAAAUACGUAACUGAAGGAGAGAAGGGGGCUUGGGUUACACAACGCACGCACGCACGCAUAUUUGCGUUCUUUUCGCGUAACCAACCGCGUGACUUGAAACUUGCGACGUAGCGUGCUGCUAAGUCAAGUUGAUAUAACCUUUUUGCCGUUUGCAUGUAAUCUUUUGACAACGGUCAUUGGAGGUGAUAAGCACGCAGUCAAUACCUUAAUCUUGAGUUAAUAGGGUGGUUACUACUGCCAAUUAGUGGGGCAAUUUUGUAGGGGAAACGGUUAGCAGAGGGCUACCGUCUUCUCUAUAAGAAGUUCUGGAGACGUCCAGGAACACACAUGUACAUGUGAGAGACCCACAAAUUCCUUCCCUUCUCCCUUUUCCAUGUGGUGAAGUGUGCUGUGGUACUGAGCUGCUUGAUCUCGCCGCUCUUCUCCUUGGCAUGCACCGAGGAGGAGGGUGAGCGGUAUCUCCGAGCUAUUGCCGUCAGGAAGCCUGCACGAGGGACAACAAAAAGUUUUUGGGUAGCGCAACUGCCAGCACAACUCUCCCUCCGCCUCUUCUUCACGGUUGAUGGCCACCACAAGCAUAAACCUCGCCUUCGCAUCCACGCAAAAGGGUCGCUGGGGUGCCUUCUUGCAUCGCUUCUCAGCCUCCUUGACUUGCGGCCAGCCAAGAACUGCGCCACCACCUCGGGUGCACGCCACCACUCCAGGGCUGCUACCCCAUGCCUGCGGCCGCCGCCGGCCACCACGCGUGUGCAACCGCGUCGCACCGCUUCCUUGCUUUGUGCCACCACUGCUGCUGUACCACCAGCUCCACCACCUUGGGCUGGUCGCCAGAGUGACUGAUAACUUAUUAUCUGUAACUACUAUUAACUCAGGGAUACAUGCGUCUUUUGCUUCUCCUACUAAUAUGUCCUAAAAUAUCUAGGAUGCCUUAUAUUUCUGGACAGAGGAAGUAUUUGAAUAAAAUGAACCAAUUUAAAAAAAUGUGUUGUACACUACUACAGAAAGACCUAUCAGUGUCAAACCCAAAAAUGUUGUCACCGCCAGUUUUGGGCAUCAUUGGUGAAAGGUUGGCGGUGAUGGGCUUUCCCUUCAACAACGGCACUGGAGCCGACGGUGAUUGACAUUAGAAAACAAAAAAGGGGACCCUACCUAGCCACCCCUGCAACCCGGCCGGCCGUGCCUCCCCUCAUCCCCACCACCUCGCCUCCCCAUGACCCCCCGCCGGCGCCCUUGCGCCUAGCCCCCUCAACUGCCCAGCCGGCCACCCUCAUCACGAGAGAGAGGUGCAUGUUGUAUAAUUGCGUGAAUUUUUUAAUGUUUAAUUUCAUGUAAGUUCCGUGUAAUAAAUUGUACAAGUUUUAUUGUAUAUAUGAAUUCCAUAUAUAUAUAUAUAUAUUUAUAAUUUAAUGUAUGGUUUCAUGUGUAUAUUUCAAUCAUGUGUAUAUUUAGUAGAUUGCCGAUUUUCUUUUUCUACUAGACAAGGGUUGAUGUAUAAUUACGUGUAUAUGUUUAUUGUACGGGCAAUUAGGACAAGUUUUGUAUAAAUUUCUUUUAUUUGAUGGUUGUUGUAUGGUUUCAUGUAUAUACAUUUAUUGUACUACUUUAGACAAUUUUUAAUUUAAUGUUUCUAUGAUUAGAUGUGUGUAUAACUAAUUGUAUUAUUAGUUAAGAUGGGAGCUAAAGAGGAUGAAAGGUAUAUAAUGGAGCAGAUUAUUGCUAGCUCAAACGUUGCAAGAACCUACACCGAGGGUGAGGGUAGCUAGGUGGACAUGUACCUCAACAUGUCCAGUGAUGGCAAUGACGAUGAGGAGCACGAGCAUGACAUCUAUGAUAAUGCGGAACAAGACAUUGCAGAAUUGGAAGGUUCUAAUGAGGUGUGCUUCAUGUUGACAAUCUAGUUGGCUUUUUUUCGUUGGUCACACCUUAGUUACCAUAGAACUUCGUCUCGGGAGAAGAUUGGUGGUGGUAUGGUGAUUGGAAUUUUAUUUCCACGAAAUCUGAUUUCCAUCGAAUCAUAUCCCUUGUAUUUAUCUUCUUUUUAUUUGUGAGAGCAUCUUCUUUAUGCUUGCAAAACAAUUCAAGUGCACAUACUACCCCUAGGGUGACGAUUGGGAGUAGAAAUAAUUGCCAACAAAACAACACCACAUCCUAAGAUUCUUAACUUGUGGCAUAAUUAGUCUAGUAAAAAGAAAGAUAAAAACCUAAUGGGUGUAUGUGAGUGCAAUGUGUAUAUGCAUAUGAGUGGAAGGCAUAUAAGCAAAGACAAUAUUUACACAUAGUUCUAAACACCAUGUUUACAGCUAGGUUGCUGAAUUUCUCCAUAGCCAUAGAGAUUAAUUAACCAAGGUCAAAACACGAUGUCUAUCCCAAGAUCAGUAAUUAUUUAUAGCACAAGAAAAAGAAAGCGCAUUGCAAAGUUUAUAAACCAACCAAUACAGCAUGAAAACAAGAUGAAUAGCUAGCAAGGUUUAUUAAACUGAAUGAUGACGGUCUGUAAGCAAGUUUAAACACCAUCUUUACACAAGAUUGCAAAUGGAAAAUGCCCAUAUGAAGCACUAACAUGGAUAUGAAAUCAUUCAUCAUAAAGCGUAAAGAACAACCAAGCCAACCAUAUGCAAAGCAUGAAUGGAAUGCAAUGAAGGUGCAAGAGAACAUUUUUGGAUGAACACAUUAUGAUGAUGGCAAAAUGCAAUGCAUGCAGAAAAAAUAAAUAUGAACAUGAAUAUGAUGAUCAGGGGCGGACCCACUAUUGUGGCCUGGGUAUUCCUCGGCAUACCCAAUAUUUUUGGGAAAAUGUUUAGUAGUUUUUAAUGGCAUAUACAUGUAUAAUAUAGUUUAGGUGUUAAAAUUGAUAUUCACAGCUAUUUUGGGCUCCAAUUCGCGUCCAAACCAACCUGGCCCACAGACCGCACCCGGCCGCCCGGCCCAUCGGCCCAUCUUGUCACUGAUCCUCCCACCACCACACUCAGCCCGUCAGUUAGUCAGGUCCCGAGCUCCUGCCUGACCUAGUCCGCUACCACCGCCAGGCGCCAGGCACAGCUGUACACGCCGCCCCCGUCCACCCACGUCCGCCGCACGGCCGCGUCGCGCCCCCCCCCGGCGCCCGCUGCUGCCAGAACCCAUUAGGCCUCCACCGGCAAGUCCACCCACAGUCCCGCGCGACGCGGCAGCCUCUUGGCUCUCGGCGCUCGCGGCGCGCCAAUGCCUGCGCAGCCCCAGCAGGCGACUGCCCCCCCCCCCCCCGCAUCGGGCCUCGGCCCCUCCCCAGCUCCCCCUCCCCCCUCCACCAGGACUGCCUGCUGGCCCCCACCGCGAGGUAAUCGAAAUGGACUGCUCAAUCUCUCAAUCUGUUGACAUGAUGCACACGGUUGCAAAAAUAGAUGUGUCAAAAUAGAUGUAUUGCCAAUUGCUAUAGAUGCAUAUGGUUGACAUGAAGAAGUCAAAAAUGACAUUUGGUUCCUUGUAGGCAGUCAAAAAUGAAGAAGUCAAACAAUAUUGAUCUGAAAUCAAUGCGGGAAAGGGCUACGAAGACACACGGGUAGAUUCCCUUGUGAACUUUUUAUGUCGUUCGUCUAAAUAUAUUUUUGCAAUGGGCAUACCCUACUCUGAAAUCCUGGGUCCGCCACUGAUGAUGAUGGUCUAAACAUAAAACAAGCCUAGAUUAAUUAGCUACAACUGAAAUUAAGCAAAGGUUAAUGUCAUUGACCCUAGCUCUAUCCUAGCUUUUACUAAAGUCCCGGCACAUAUAGUGGUUGGGCCCACUCUCUCUACUUCCCUCUCUGCUGCAUGCACACACACGAGCAACUGGAGGCCCAACAAAGCCCAGAAGGGUUCGGCCGAACCCGUCCGAUCCAGUCUGAGCGCCGCUCCCUCCCAGCCUUCGCGCAGAUGCUCCUCCAACGUUCCUUGACCCCUCCCUCAGUGUCCCAUUGGGUUUAACAUUGUAGGAGAGGAGUCCCUUUUUUAAAAUCUCAACCACCUCCUCUCCUCAUUCACUCCACUCUCAUCUCCAUCAAACUCACCAAGAUCCACAUCGGAAAUACCUGCUUACCACCAUGGCUGGCAAAGCCCUCGUCCCUUUCACCAACUUGGGCUUGACCAUUGAUCUCGAUGGGAAAAUCACUCCAGCAAAUGUCAUUGUCCCUGUCGGCGAUCUGGCGAUGGAGGAGGUCCAGGCACUAGAGGUCGAGCCCCUAGCCAUCAUACCGCCCAAGGGGUAAAGCAGGAGCAUGACAGGCGCUGCUAGGGGUUCAGCCGAACUCCCAGUUCAGCCAAACGAGGACGGCGUCGCCUCGGCCUCCCGCUCGACUGCAUGCUUCCCCUUGCCAAGGAGGACUCCAGAACAGCGGGCGCGUGCGUCAAGUCCCUACAAAAGGCUGAAAUACAAUGAAUAUCCAGGGUCACCCUUGAAGAUGGGUGAACGCUACGCCGGGUCCUUGUUUGACUAGUACGGCGAUGCAUUCUGCCACCGCUAUGUCGUUGUCGAGAUUAGCGGAUCAAGACUUAGACUAGUAAAUUUCUUUUAUGCGCGUAAGGCUUCAGAUGGUGGCGUGGGAGACAUGGGUUUUAUACUAGUUCGGGCAAUGGAAUACCCUACGUCCAGUGUCUGGAGCUGCUUGUGUUGCCCACGCGGGGUUCUGUAGUAGGGGUUACAGGUGUGCGAGAGAGGGAGCUAAUCCCAGGUCUCUUAGGCGUGUUCCGGUCCUCUAGAUGGGAGAAGUGUGUUCUGUUUGCUUGGGAGUAUCGGUUGUGUCUGAGUUGUCUCCGGAGCCUCCUCCCGUCUCAGGUCCCCGAUUCUCCUUUCAUAGCACAAGGAGACCAUCGGGGUUACAGACGAGACCGAGCGUGGGGAGGAGUAAAGAGAUAAACAUAGCUAGGUAAAAAUACAACAAGAAAGGGGGGAACCAAGUUUCUAGGUCACCGGCGUCCUCGCCGGCCUUCGACUUCCGCCGGCGCAUUUGUCGGAGGAGGGUGGCCGCCAUCGCGUUCUGUCGAUGGCUUCCUCGGUGACUGUAGCCACCGGGCGUGAUGAUGGCAUUUCGUCGUGACCCUUUGUCUGUUGGGGGAGGCGGCGGAUCCUGCCAUUCUGCUGACGGCUCGCGGAGUGCGAACGUCGCAUCCCUGCCGCUGGGCACGCGGGGCGCGAGAACGUGCGAGGCUUCCCCCUACCCCAGGCGGCGCAGGCCAUGAGUGCCCUGUGGCAAAUCGGAGGAGGCCGCAGCUACUGUAGCUUGUACUGUGCAGCCACGUAUGGGUACUUGUGGCAGGUUGCGUGGUGGAUGCGGAUAUCCUUCUCCCUGACAGAUCUGCGGCGCAUUUAUGGCGAGAUCGACAUGGGGACCCACAAGACCCGCGCCCAAGGCGGAUACUUGUCUGGAGGGCCCGGGUUAGCCUGACCCCCUACGCUUGGGGUCGGGCGAGGCGGAGACUUGCGGCGGGGCGUCGGACGCUCCCGACACUAGACCUGCGGUCGCGCAAGGCGGAGCUUGGUCUUCCGGGGGUCGGGGGUGCCGGACCCCAGGAUGCGGGGUCGGGCGAGGUGGAGCGUAAUUCUUGCCUCCCAUGUUGGGCCGAUGGCAGUCUUUGUUACCUCUAGUGGGCUUGGGCCUUUAUGUUUUGUUGUUUCCAUGGGCUUCGAGAGGUCGUUAAUAUUUCCCCCCAACAGUAGCCCCCGAGCCUGUGGUGGAGUGGGGGCGCUCCUCCGGAGGCUACUAUCAUCGCCCCUAGGGAAUCCUCGCAGUUGAUCCGGGAUAGGAGGUGUUGUUUGCACGGCUUGACCGAGGGGGUCGAUUAGGCGACGCAUCCUGUGAGCGACUCGGUGCGGGAGGGUUUCUUGUUGUUCCCUUCUGUCUGAGAGCCUUAAGUCGAGACCACCUGCGUGGCCUUUGGUUGCAAGGCCAGCCCCCGAGCCCCCGCACGUUGCAGGGGACCGGUCGGAGGCUAGGUCGACUUUUGUUCAUUACCCUCAAGCGUCUGUUCGCUAGGACGGAGGGGGCGAGCCGUGCCAUGCUAUCCUCAUCGGACGAACCAUGGUGCUCAUUGAGUUACUAACGGGUUGAUUCGAGUGGGAUCCCGGUCCCCGUUCGGGGGGGGUCCGGCUUGGGCCAAGCUGGUGGCGUACCCCAGGCUCCGGUCGGCCAGUUCAUAUAGUUCCUGAGUCCGUUCGGUCGGACCGGGGGCUCAUUGCCUUUCUUCGGGGAAAAACCAUGAACUUUGAUGCCGGUCCAGACUCGAAUGUGAGAUUGAGACGCCCGGGGCUGUCGCGUGCCCGGGUGAUGGCCGCUAGCGGACCCGUCUCCUCUCACCCCUCACUCGGGGGUAUCCUGAGGCGGCUGUCGAACCCGUGGCGGGCCAGCCUUCGAACCUCUGGAUCGUAAUGGGCCGUAGGGGCGUUUUCAGCCCCGUAUCCCUUUUUACCUUUUGGUGGGCCUUGGGCCGAAUCAUGGAGGAGGUCGGGCCUUGGGCCGGAUGCGGAGGAUGUCGUGCCUUGGGCCGGAUGUGGGGGACGUCGUGCGUGUCUUCCGGGAGACGAAGUGGUGGAGGGUGCCAACCCGCGAAUCGAGGGAGGAGGGGAUGUUUCUACUGCAGGUCAUGCGCACGGUUUCCGAAAAGGCAGCGGGCGUGACGGGACGUACCUCGCGCCGCAUUUAUUGCGAUGGGGGCGUCUGUUCUGCUUCCCUCGUGCCUUCCCUAUAAAACGAGGACUUCGCCUCGCCGGUUCCGCCCGCCAUCUACCUUCAAGCCUUUUCGCCUCCUCGCGCGCCCUUAGCUUUCCUGUGCCCGCUUCGUCUUCCUCCGCCCAGUGCCGCGCCCUUUCUCCCCAUCCGCCGUCGAGUUCUUCUCCCUCCGGCGAUGGGAUCCUGGGCGCGUUCCCACUUCGGCCCCUCACGCGCCGAAGGCCUAGUGAGGAAAGGCCUCCUUUGCGAGAGGACGGAGACGGAUGAGUGGGGGUUCCCUGAGAUGGAAGAGGUGCCGACUCCGCCCACCGGCUACGUCGUUUCCUUUGCCCACUUCCACGAGAGGGGGUUUGCGACUCCGCCGAGCCUCUUCUUCCGCGGGCUUUUGUAUUACUACGGGCUUGAGCUGCAGCACCUCAACCCCAACGGGAUUCAGCACGUCGCGGCGUUCGUUGCGGUGUGCGAGGGGUUCCUGGGCAUUGAGCCCAACUUCUCGCUGUGGAAGUACUUCUUCACGGUCAGCCUAUACCAGAAGGCCGAGAAGAGGGGAAGCCAGCAGCGGUCGACCCCGGUGCCGAUAGGGUGCGUCGGAAUCCACCUCUGCCAUACUCGCGCCAAGGAGUAUAUCGCGAUGAAGACCGCGGCAUCCCACAAGGGGUGGCACCAGCAAUGGUUCUACGUGAAGAACUACUCCAACCCCCCCUGCCGGAGUUCACCGGCCGCAUUAUUGAAGCGGCGCCGGAGGUGUGGGUGUACGGCCCGGUGGAGAAGGAGAAGAAGCGGAUCACCGGCCUGCUGCAGGCCAUCGAGCACCUGAAGGAGAGGGGACUGACCGGAGCCGGAGUCAUCGGGGCGUACCACGCCCGGCGGGUGGCGCCGCUGAUGCUCCGGGUCCGCUCGCUCGCCGACAUGACCCCCGGUGCUCUCACCGAUGGCACUGUCCUCGCGACGGGUGCUCUCGCUGCCUCCGAGAUCCGGCAGCGGAUCCGGGAGGCGCUGGAGGACAAGGACGCCGAUUACCCGGUGCCCGGCCACCCUCCGAUGCGCCCGGACGAGAAUUUCAUUGAUCUGGUAAGGAUUUUGCGCGCCAGUUUCCCUCUCUUGCGUUUCUUGGUAUGCCGUUCUGACGCGAGGCCCUCUGUGUUUGCAGGGUAGCAUGACCCGGGUCGUCGACUUGCGUCCGCCAGUGUCGGAGGACGCCGAGUGGCGGUAGCAGAACCGUCUCCUUGCCGAGAAGCAAAAGUGACGCAAGGACAAGAGACAGCGAAGAAGAAGAAGAGGGCCGCCAAGGAGUUCCAGCGGCGGCGGUGGGGAUAGGUCGUGUCGGAUGACGAUGACGAUGAGAAGGAGGAGGAGGAUGACGAGGAGGAGGAGGAGUUUAUCCUGUCCCCCCGGUCAGGGGCGCUUGUUAUCCGGGAGCCGCGCUCCCAAGCGGCCAUGGGGGACAAGGCGGGCGAGCUGCCUGCCCGGACCCGAUCCUGCGAAGCUUUGGGGGCGCGCCCCAGGGGUCGGCGCAGAGCGCCCCCCGGGGGUCGACGGAGCCGACCCCCAUCCCUACACCUGCAGCCCAGGAGCAGAGGAGCAGCGACAAGCGGCCGUUGCCAGAUGCCCCGGGGUCGGCGUCCAGCUCAGAGGCGAAGCGCGCGCGCCGCCCUUGCGCUGGGGGAACGUGAGUUGAAUUUCCUUGCGAAUCUCGUUCCUUUCCAUGCAUUGUGUUUGUUUCCGCUGAUGCUGUUUGUUGUCUCACAGCACCGCCCCUCAAGGCCUUGUCCCGCCGUUGGCGCCAAAGAAGGCGUUGCGGUGUUGUCGCCUCUGCGGGGCGGACCGCGGCUCCGCCGGCGGCGAGUGGCGGGGUCACUGGUGAGACCGCGGGUCCUACCGCGGAGGUGGCCCCUGCGGCGGCAACCGGUGGAGUGGUGCCACCGCCGGGCAUGGGACAGGGUCUGGACCCCGCUCCGUCCUCCGCCUCUUCGGCCGACCCCGCGGUGCAGAGUAUCGCUCCUGGGGGCCCUCAGGCCGGGGAGGUGAUUGACCUCGACGCCGACGAGGUGGAGGAGACGGCGGCGGUGGAGACGGGGGCGGUUGCCCCAGCGGCCAUGACGGGGACGACGACGGCGACGGGGGAAGGAGAGUCUACCCCCGCGGCCACGGCGGGGACAGUGGCGACAGAGGAGGCGGGGACGCCCGCCCCGGCGGCUGCGACGGAGGAGGCGGCGGUGACGGAGACGGGGGCUUCCGCCCGGGAAGCCACAGCCGAGGUGGCAGCGGCGACGGAGGUGAAAGUGCCUGUUCUGGAGGCCACGGUGGGGGUGGGGACGCCUGCCUCGUGGCCACGACGGAGGGCGAGGCGGCCCCAGGGACACUUGCUCCGGCACCCGCGUUGGAGGCGGUGGCGCCGACGGGUUGGCCCGUGGCGGCCUCGACGGGGGCGGGGGUGCGUGCGCCGGGACCGUCGGUGAGGCCGGCGACUUCCGGGAUGGUGGUGCCCGUCUUGACGGCGGCGGCGGCGCGGUCGGCCCCCGCCCUUGCCUCUACCACUCCCAUUCCCAAGGCGUGGAGCGGAUCCGUCCUGCGUUGGUCGUCUCGUGACGACCCGCAGAGGCCCCUCUUCACGUUGGAUGAUGCCACAGAAUGGGGCAAGUGGCAGGCGCUGCAGGGCGGACUCGCUAACGUCCGCGCCGCUCUAUCUUCGGCGUUGGGGGAGCUGGACGGCGUCAUCUUCCCCGGUGGCCGGGUAUGGUGCUUUCUCCGUUGGUUAUUUUCUUCCCGUUACUUCGUCCCUGAUGGCACAUUGUUCUGCAGGCCCUCCAAGAAUGUAGCCGGGGAAAAUCUGAUUUCCUUUGGCUCGAGCAGGGGCUCUGGGAGCGCUUCAACUUGGAGUUGCAGCGGACCGGGGAGCUGACCAUGCAAGUCGCCACCGUCUAGCAUGUCAUCGACGAUCUGCGAAGGCACGAGCAGGCGGCACAGGAGGACGCGCGGCGGGCGGAGGCCAAGUUCCAGGUCGUUGCCGAAAGGGCUCGCUGCGACCGCGAGGAGUUCCAGGCCGUUGCCGAAAAGGCCCGCCACGACGCUGAGGAGCUCGCACGGCUGAAGGUGCAGCAUGAAGCUCUUCAGAAGAGCGGCAGAGGGCCUGGCAGGACCGGGACGCCGAGAAGGUCCGGAAGGAGGAGGCUGAGAAGGUGGCGGCCAACCUUGGGGCUGAGGUCAGCCAGCUCCAAGUGCAAGCGCGAGAGCUUCAGGCCUCCGUGGCCCAGGGGCUCGACCAGGAGCGCCAGCUGAAGGCCUAAUCCGAGGGUAUGACUCUGUUUAUUUCUUUGUCUUUGUGAUGUUGCGGUGAUAUUUUAUUUGGCGGGUUCUUCUGGAUGAUCCUUGCAGAUGAGCUCAACUGGCUGAGGGAGGUGCUUGACGCGGAGCGCGCUGAGCACGGCGACCUGCGGGACGCGGUCCGCGUCAUCUGUGACUUCCUUAGUGUGGUCCAGGGGGAGGGGACGAGCUCGCUGGCGGCUCGUGUCCUCGGGACGUACCGCCGGACCAGCGAGAUCGCCCUGGAAGCGCUUCGCACCGGCUUGAGGCAAGCCUUUGGGGUCUUCGGCUCCCACUAUUCCGGCAUCAACUUCGCCGGGAUGAGCGGGGGAUACGCCACCGGCUACUACGAGGCCGAGCUGGAUGAGAUCGACGUGUCGGUGCUCAGCCCGGCGGAGGCCUUGGUGAAGCUCCUCGAGGAUGAGGCCGUCCCGCCCGAAGAUCCCCGGACGAGUUAACUAUAUCGGGCUGGCGCCCCAGAUGUAAAUACGUUAGGGAAAGACUUGUUUUUUGUGAGGGCCGUAGAGGCCUUUUCUAUGAAUUGUCGUAAAAAAGUUUUUGAUUCCCUUUCUUGCUUUUUGGACUUGGAAAGUUUAGAGCACGUUGUCGGGCGUGUCAGUAAGCUUUGAUGAGCGAAGGCACCGUAGCCGCUGGGGCGUCGUUUUUUUUGCAGUCCGAUCAAUCUUGCCUGAACACCGUUCGUGCACUUUCUCCUUUUUAUGCCCAAAAGUUCAGAAAGAGGGUCGGCUCGGAAAGAGAAAGCGUUUUGAGAGGGUGUCAAGUGGCUUAGGUACUUGCGGCAGGUUGCGUGGUGGACGCGGAUAUCCUUCUCCCUGACAGAUCUGCGGCGCAUUUAUGGUGAGAUCAACAUGGGGACCCACAAGACCCGCGCCCAAGGCGGAUACUUGUCUGGAGGGCCCGGGUUAGCCCGACCCCCUACGCUUGGGGUCAGGCGAGGCGGAGACUUGCGGCGGGGGGUUGGACGCUCCUGACCCUAGACCUGCGGUCGGGCGAGGCGGAGCUUGGUCUUCCAGGGGUCGGGGGCGCCUUACCCCGGGAUGCGGGGUCGGGCGAGGCGGAGCGUAAUUCUUGCCUCCCAUGUUGGGCCGACGGCAAUCUUUGUUACCUUGGGUGGGCCUGGGCCUUUAUGUUUUGUUGUUUCCAUGGGCUUCGAGAGGUCGUUAAUAUUUCCCCCCAACACUAUGAGGAGGACUUGUGGGCAGAAAGUCAGCUACCACAAACUUGCCUCUGAAUAUUUGGAGUGCAAACAUUGGAUGGUGGUUGUGGAGAGCCCCAGCCAUACCUCGCACCCGUGGAGAGGUAAUUGUCGGAUUGCUUGGUUCGUCUCUAGAAUGCGACAAGGUCAGGCGCCACCUCUCACUGCUGCCAGUCAGAAGGCCGAGGGGCCAGUUUCAACAUAGUAAUGAGAAUCUCCGAAGGCCAAUAUGGUUAAGCAGCUAACCUCCAUGAUCAUAGACUUACGUUUAGAAAAUAGGAGGCUUAGCGAUGCGUUAACAGAGCAGAAGUUAGAAACAGAAGAACUUAAGGACGACUUCCGUGUCCUCCGCCUUGGUCUUUGUGCUAAGAUAAAGCGCUUGUACAAUGCCACGGGGAAUGACGGUCUCUACGAUGCAGCUCAAUAGACGUGCCCCUUGUAUCCUUUCCUUUAGGCACUUUAGAAUAUGUUUAUUUGUUUUCCUUCAUUUUAAUUUCCAAUAGAUUGUUAGCGCCUCCAAUUUAAUUUCAAUAAAGUGUAGACUCACCGGUCAUCCAACUUGAUGGAGUCCUUUUGUCACCUAGUUGUCUUUGGAAGAAGUAGCUGGGUACAAAAUAAGUGUGGGGGAGAGCCACAGACUCUCUAGAGCUGAAACAAUGCACAACACCCACAAAUAGAGAAAACCACGCUGCACCAGCACGUACGUGAAAGUGGAGCCAGAGCUGGACCCAUAGGGGUUUGGCCAACCCAAGGGGUGGCCCACUCGGGCCAUCUUCAUCCACCGCGUCGGUUUGUGUCUCUUUACCCCUGAUCUCCCUGAUUCAUGAGUUUGAAUGAAUUUUAAAUCUGAUCAACUAAUUCAAACUCAACUAAAAUGAAUCAACUGCUCCACCUGCUCUACAUGUUUUCUAUGGUUGGCUUGCAUAUGUUUUAUUUCAUGCUUAUCAUCUUGAUGCUUGUGAACAAAUAUCUUUAGGACAGCAUGCUCAUCUAAGUAGUUGAUGUGUAUGAUAUGGUUCGAUGAUAUGAUCUUCACUCUUAAUGCUUAAGUGCUUGGGAAAAUCUAUUUGAAAAUUUAAAAGCCUUUUUGAAAUCUCCUCUUUGAUGUGCCAAAGUCCUACCAAAGCCAUAUGAUAAGUUAUCUUGAAAAACCAUUUGCAUAUGUUGCUUGUCUUUGCAUUGAGCUUUGUCAAAUUGGUGUGACCCUUGUCACAAUUCUUUUCAUACUUUCAUGAUCAAGACUCAUGUGCACGCCAUAUACCCCUUGCUAUGCUUCUAUGAGAUGUUAGCAUUGUACCAUCCAUUCAUUCCACAAAAUAAAUGCUCCACCAUAUGUGUUGGUCUCCUUCUAAGAUUAUUGUUACAAAAGAGAUAUGGGCUAUCAAAAAAAAAUAUGAAUGUCCAAGAAAGUUGGACACAUGAAUGUCCAAUAAAAAGAAAAAGAAAGAUAGCCAUGUCCUCAGAAAUAUUUACAAAGGGAGAGAGAUCAUACAAAAAGGAGUUUCCAUUCCAUCCACCACAUCCAUACAUGUGCACAUCUUGAUCUGAUUGUAUGACUUAUUUUUCUCUUUGGAUCUGGUCUUUGACUUUGCAAUAUAUGUGAUGCAAGCAUGCCUUAUCCUUCAUAGCCUACCUUGAGCUCCACAUAUAGCCAUCAUUAGAAGUAGGAUGAAGAAAGGCAAGUCUAAUGCCUUGGUGAGGACAUAUACACAUUGAGUGAUCUGAGAGAAUCAAAUGAGGAGCUAAGCAAGGUUUUGUUUUGAAAACUAAUUGAAAAAUCCCAAGCUACUUGGCAUAAGGAGUUGAGGUGACUUGAUUCAAGACCAUUACAUUCCUCAACUACCCAAGAUGGCAUGAUAGACACUCCAAAGUUCACAAGUGCAGGUAUGGUUUGGAAUAUCUUUUAGGCUCGCUUCAUACCUUUGAAAGUUAUGUUUCACCUUAGUCCUUUCUCGUUCACUCAAGGAUAAGCAAAGGCUAAGUGUGGGGGUGUUGUUGAUGGCUCUUAAGUACAAAAUCUGCGCCAUCAACUCUUGCAUAAACACAUAAAAUAUGAGCAUCAACAAUAGUGGUAGGAGUUAUUACAAACGAAUUCCACAAGUCUUGGUGAAUAUUUGUAUGCAAGCCCAAUAGGAGAGAAAAGACACCUCAAAAGCAAGGAAACACACUCUCAACCAAUCAAGAGCAAGCACAUGGAACCAUGGGCCCACAACCAAAAGGAAAUCGACUACAUUCCAAACACCCUAUACCCACAUGAGAACCCAUAGGGCAGUGACCCAGAGCAAAGGUGAUGCCAGAGUGUAGAUGGUAGUUAGCAUGCCAAAUUUUGAACCGCAAGCGCUCGGAUUAGUUGUUUCUUUUCCCUUAGAGAUUCCCCCAAGGUUUAUCAAUCCAUGGAACAAGGGAUUUGCACGUUUCACUAAGCACUAAUCAAUGUAAUUGAAAGCUUUUCGAAUAAGAUAUGAUUAUGCUAACAAAGGAACUAAGCAAUCUAGAUUAAGAUGGAUAGAGAGUACAGGUUGUGAACAAGAUAGAUUAAACGCUUGUAGAUGCAAUCACCAUGCAUGAAUGAAUUAGAUCUAGGUGUUAUUGUGAGUGGUUGUGAACCAUGCCCAACACUUUCCCACCCGCAACAUUGUCACUACAUGUGGGUACUCAACUAUCGGAACAUAAGAACACAUCAAGAUGAUCAUUCUAGGUAAGCAAAUAAGCAACCCAAAGUAGCGCUGGCCAGCCUUUUCAUGAAAGAGCAUCAUCAAGAUAAGAUUGAUAACAAAAUAGAUCUCAACCAAAGGUUCAGCGAUUACAAAUCAAGAUCUUCGUAUAACCCCGAUGACAAAUAGAGGUAUUACCCCCAUGAUCUUACACAUGUUGAUGAAUUUUAGGGUAAAGGACACCCUGUAGAUCAACUGGACCAAAGAUGAUGAUGAACGGGGGCAGGGAAGGCCCAGGUUGAUCAGCCUGCGCACUUUUGAGCCGAUCAGCUCAGGGGGUUUCCUCCUCCCCUGGUGCUCCUCUUCGCGUGGCCUCCUCUGGAUCCAAUCUUCUCUUCAUUUCUCCUACUUGUGGCGGCAAUGGAUGGUGUUUGCAUGGUGAUUUCCUCUUCUCCCCAACUCUCCCUCCUUGAAGUCCAUGAGGGGGUAUUAAUAGUCUCCAAUAGGCGGCAGCUCUGGGUCAAUGUCAGUGAAAAAAUCCUAGAGAUCAUCGUACACUUCAUGCUGAGGAAACAAGAGGUUGACCGAGCCCUGGGAUAGACCAAGAGGAUCAUCCUAGAGGGUCCCAGGCUAAUCGGUCUAGGCCCUUCCUAGCCCUUCUAGUCCUCUCCUUCCUCGUGCUGGCUUUUCUCGAUGACCCUUGUCCAAAUAUCCAUGAAGCUCUAUAUACAUACCCCCUUGAUUAUGUUGUAUUUCCUGUCAAAAUACAAUGCUCCAAAAUACAACACAUAUGCAAUAAUAGGGUUAUUUCAGGUGCCAAUUGGUGGGUUAGUAUACGAAUAAGCAUGAAAAUACUGUUUAAAUGACACUAAAAGUGUGUCAAUAACGAGCACCAACAAUCCCCCCACGCUUAGAUCUUGCUCGUCCUCGAGCAAGUCUAGCGACUAAAAGAUCUUGAAUUAAACCUGAGCAAGCGAGUCAAGUACCUAGCCUUGAAACAAAAGAUUAGAGGAGCAGCAAAGAUAAUCAAAGUCUGGGUGUUCAAAGAUUUAUCUAAGCAAAGAUUCCCCUACAACUAUUAUUCAGAACCAAGUAACUUCAAAAAUCAACUACACUUAUUUUCUGGCUUUUUUCAGAGGGUUUUUCUUUCAUCAUAAAACAAUCUCCCUGCAACAAAAUUGAAAAAAGAAUUAUUUUCAAGGUGCUUACAUGUCGCUUAAAUGAAUGUUGGCUAUCCUACUUAUUUGCAAGCUCUCAUCUCUCAAAAUUCAUUCAAUUAUAUGGUGGAGUUUGGGUAAGGUUAGCUAGAAUCAACACGUAUAUUAUUGAAUUAAGAAAACCCUCUAACGGUGGCCUACCUUCCGAGCCAUUGAUCAUAAGAAUAUCCACAUAAUGUGAAGUUUUCAAGGAUGAGAAGAUAUAGAAUGGUGGACAUGUGCAAAGGCAAAGAAAUAUAGUGACUCUGAGGCACAAGCAAUGUCCUCGUCGUUGGAUUGCAUAUGGUUGUAAUGAAAAUAUGUUCCUUAAACAAGUCUAUCUUUUCUUUGCACCACUCUUGAUCUUCAUGACAGUAAAAACUCCUCCUUUAUUUCUUUCUCUCUUUUCCUAUUAUUUCUUUUUAUUUGUCUCAAUACUUUUAUUUCUUUAUUUCUUUAUUUUAAUCUCUUCUCUGAACCUCUUCUGAACACCACAUAAUAAAAAUAAGUUUUAGAUCCUUCCAGAGACCUUCCAGGAAUUUGCUACAUGAAAACCGAGGCAAGGAGACCCCAGGCCGAUUGGCCUAGCCACUCCUUUGCUCUCCUCUAGCUCUUCUUUCUGGUGAAGCUUCCUUAUCUUGUAUCUUUCCAAAAAUUUCAUAAAGCUCGACUAGAAACGGAACAGAUCUUCAUAUAAUGAGUUGUGUUCAAGGAAUUGGUAAUAAAAUUGAGAAAUUUGUGGUUCGGGUUUACGAAUUCAGUACAAAAAUAUGAUUGUUCCAAUGAAGAACUCUCAUUACUGAAUAUUGACGAGGCAAGCAUUCAAAGAUGGUAAAAAGGAUAUGAUCAAUUCUCAAAAUUAAAGCAAACCAAGAGAGAGCGAUCCUAAUUCAAUUCAAAGUGUCAAAUGUUGCUUAUGGUGGUAUGAAUAAAUAUUUUUAGGCAUUGGGUAGGAUAAAUAAAAACUCUCAACCUGGUUAAAAGAUAUUGAUCAAUCUUGUUUUUGCAGAGGUUUUAAAUAAAAAAUAAAAUUUUAAAUCACCUCCAAUUCAAAGCCUUACUCAUAAAUCAUAAUCAAAACUGAAGCACUUGAUCAUCAUAAAGCAUGGGUAUUGCAUAAACAAAUCGAUUACUAAAACUCCACAACUACGAUUUAGAAUUCAAGACAAUGCUCAUAAUCUAAAGUUGCAAAGAUAAAAUAAAAGACAACCAAGCCAAGGUAGACACUAAAAACACUUGCACGAUCCUUGAAUUUUAUUCAUGCUUCUUCUCACAAAGACGCUAAAGUAGCCAUGUAGGCCUAAGUCUUCCCAAAAGCUUAAGAAAACUACUACUUUAUCUACUUUUGGUUGAAAUAAAAAGACUAAUCUAGACUCUCACAUGAUUCGACUCGACCAAAUUAGAUCCAAAAACUCAUACGAGCGACGAUCUCCCCCCCCUCACGCUUAAAAUCUACGACCUCCUCGUCGUAGCCAUAUGGAGUACAAGGAAAAGAAGCUUGUAAACGCUCUAAUGACGCUACCCGCACUACUUGCACACGGGAUGGUUGCUGCUUCCUUCGCUUUGUUCUUCCUCAUGUUGCUGCACAUCCCGAAGAGCUUCCUCACGUUCCUCUGCAAGAACUUGAACUCGUCCUCCUGACGGCGAUCAUUAUCUUCUGCCUUUUGAUCCAGAGCUUGUAAGGCUUGCAUGAUGUCAUCGAACGCAUCGAAGAGGUAGUGGAUGUUCUUCCUGCAAGCUGUGGAACAUGUACGAUCAUGCUCCUCCGAUUCUGGCCCGUCGUCUUCUAGAUCCUUCUCUUUGCCCUUGUCUUGACGGUGGCUAUCUUGCUCCUUGCUCGCCUUCUUGCCUUCAGCCCAAUCCCAGUACGUGUUGUCAUCUUCUUCAUCGUCACGGCCUGCAGCACCCUAUGAUCCAUUGUCUAUCUUGUAUGAAAGAAUCAGAAGCUUGUUCUCCUCAGGGUGUCUUGCGCGGUGCAGCGUUUGCAAGUGCAAGACUUGCUAGUUCCUUUUACACAUUGUAAUGUUCAUUGCAUGCUCUAAUUGUUCUACAUUUGUAAUUUCUUGGUGAAGUUUGGUUACUGAUCCACUGUUUGAUUAACUCUUGGGCCCAAACACUGUACUACUUCUGAUUAGAUAUCUGUAUCUUGACUUUGACCAAAAAAAAUAUCCGGCAGUUUUUGCCAUUAAAGUUUCAUAAAUCAUCUUGCAAAAAUCGUACUAUACAACAAGGGACGGUUUAUUAUAAAAUAUACGUUCCCCUUAUCACAUGCCACUUCCACUCAAAAGGCAACGAAUCAGUUUUCAAUCCUGAGUGAGCAAUUUGCUUUUAUUACCGAUGCCUCCUAUUCCCUUGUGCACCAAGUUUAUUUUGGAUAGGGCUGCAAAAAACGACUAACCAGCUCGGAUUCUCCACCUGCAAAACCGCAUCUGCAGCAACCAACCCCACGCGGUGGAAAAAAAAACAAAACCUAGAAACCGGACGGGGGUGGAUGUGGGGCUCGGAGCCCAAGCAAAAAACGGAUCGGGAGCGCCGGAGCAGGCCAUCACCGGAUGUUAGAGAUAGAAAAUGGUUGAAGUUUGGAGUGGAAAUCAAACAAGCCUUGGAGCAAAGGAAAAAAAAAGAUCAAACCACUCAAGCAUUCAUUUGAUUUAGAAAAGAGAACAUUUGUUAAGGUGGGGAGUUGAAAUCAUCUUUUAAUUAGUUCCACGUAUCUGGUAUCAUUACAGUUGGUUUACUUGUGUAAGUAUAAGUAGCUCUGCCGAAGCCUUUGCUCCUAUAAUUUAGUAACUAGUACAAAUGGAUCAAUAGGAAAAUCAAGUUGCAAUCAUUUCUCAGCCAACCAAACCUAUGUAAAUCAAAUUAUUGUCCAUGCCCGGCAUGCACAGGUGCCUGCCAUGCAUGCAUUGUUGCUCCAUUGUAAUAACCAUUAUUGUCCAUCGAUGUUGCAGCGCAUGUGUGCACUGUGCAGACACCAAGCAUCGAGAUUAUGUACUAGUAAGGUGUUGAAAUAAUGGGCCUAGCCCAUAAGUAAUUUCAGAAUUUCAAAUAAAUCUCAAAGGCCCAUGUGGGCAAGAGGUGGAGUGGUGCAAGUCUUUAGUCCCACAUUGCUAGUCGAGGGGAGGGAUGACCAACUUAAAUAUGGAAGUUGUCUCCACUCCUCCAAGCUAUGUGUGAAGGGCGCGGGCGCGAGGCACUUGCGUGAAUGGUCCGCCGAAAUCUGGCCCCCCUUGCGGGGGCGCGGCUUCCUUUUGCCGUUUUAUUUUUUGGUUACUUGGUCGUUAAGUCAUGGAAUCCUAACCGGUUUAGAUCACGAUCGUGAAGGUUUUUGGGAAGCGCUCUGCGCGACUGCUCGAUCGCUUCUUCCGCUUCGUCAAGUUCUUCGUCGACUCCUUCACCACGGCUCGUCUACCUCUUCGUCGCUCGGGCCUCACUCGUCGUCGCGAACAACGUCAGGCUGCUGAUCGUCGUCGCCUGCUGUAUCCGGUAGUCGUCCAGGAGCCGGUUUUCAUCAAGAAAGAAACGUACGGUCUCUUAACUCACAUUAUGUCUUCCAUACUAGCUAUUAUGAUUGUUGCAGUCUGAUAGCUCUGGAUAGUAUGGUAGAAUGUCUGAUUCUAUUUGCAAUGAUAGACUUGUCUAGAUCUUGCGUAGACAUGUCUAGUUUAAUCUGCUGCUUGUUCAUCAUAUUCAUGAUUUAUUUCUGGAUUAAGUUAAAACUAAAAGUGCUUAUAUAUCCAACAUAAGGUACCAAGAACACGUGAAGCACCCGGGGGAGGCUGCUCCACUCCGCAUGCACAGGUGGGCACGGCACCACUACUCGUCUCCUUCAGGCUGAGGAUAAGUGAUGUACGCUGAUCAACAGACCACGACGGAACCAGCAAUAAUAGUUUCAGCCUGCCUCACAGUAAUUAAUAUAUCCUGUAUCCUCCGAGGACCCCUCCCCUUAAUCUUGGCCUAUUGCAUCCAAUAAUGAUAUGUGUGUUUAUCCAAAUUUACGGCACCUUUGGCGGGGGUUCCACCCAGCUCCGCCCUCUCCACCUUCGGUACUCCAUGGGAAACCAUUCCUUUGGAAUCAAGGAAGCUUGAACAGUAUAACGAAUAAAGUUUCAUAUAUCCAUUUGAUUUCACAUGAAAUAAAAUAUUCUGUCAGAACCAAUGGUUUCACUGAAGCUCCAGGCAGCGAGCGAAGGGGUGAGAGAGGAUAACGCUUACUGUGUGUUACCAUCGCGUGCACCAUGGAUGACCAACGCGCAGCCGAGAUGAAACGGCGGACCUAAACAGGUCCUCGCUAUUUUUGCAGGUUCUCGACCAGGCCAGUUCUUUAGGCCAACCUAUCAUUCACGAGUUAAACAUACGGUGGCUGGAGAAAUGUUCUAUUCUUUUAAACAAUACCAGCUGGUUCCUCCGUUUUUAUUCCACCAAUACAAGCACCACCUUGUAACAUUUCCUAUGUUUUUUUUCCUUUCGUCUGUUUUCUCACUACAUGCGUUGCUCUUUCAUGCAUUUUUUUCCAUUCCUGUAUUCCAAAUAGGUCUACAUGAACACAAAAUGAACUAGGGGACAGAAAAAGCCAGUGAAGUUAGUUUUGAGCUUCACCAGCUACUUGCUACAUAAAGUGUGCUAUAGUCGCAGAAAAGCUAAGCUGGAUCAGACGUGGCCGAAACAAUGCCAAAGAGCUAGGUCCCUAGCUGAUGGCAACACAUCAGAUGACUAGCCUGCUUUUCUGUAAUAAUGAUAUUGAGCAAUACACUGCAUGGCUAACCUGCUUUACAAUAAUUGUCAUUUUAUAAUAUUGGUCAUCACGAGAGAUGCACAUUGCAUACACCGGCCCAUCCCUAUAAAUAGCCAAGCCUUUCAGCCAUCUUGGGCACCUCCUCUCAGGGCCUCGUCUCACCAUCAGACAUCUCGUUCCCAGUUAUAAUUUGCGAGGUUAGAUCAGGCUGCGCCAUGGCGUCCGCAACUGCUGUCAAGAUCGUCGCCACCUUCAUGCUGGUGCUGACCAUGGGCCACCUGAUGGCCGAAGCAUCACCGCAGCCUCGGCGUGUGCUUGCAGAAACGGAGCAUGCUGCGGUGUCCGGGAAUCCUGGCCUCCCAGGUGAUGCUAGCGUCAUGCAGGUCCUCGAACCCGCCCUAGUUUCUCGGCUUGCCUGCAAACCAGAGUGCACAGUCCCUUGGCCUCCUUUUGUAUGUAUCUGCUAGAUCCUCUUCCUGGCUCAACGGAACUUCAGGGAAAUGGCUGUGACGUCGGCCAAAGAAUAAAUUGGAUGAACAUAAUAUACCCCGGGUAGUGUAGCUUGGGCUUUUGUUGAGCGUCUGGUGCUAGUUGUAUUUUGUUUGCUCAUGUGGCUUUGCUUCUGGUUGCAUAUUGGCUUUCCUAUCGCUCUCUGUUGCAGCUAUGGUUUCUGCCAGGUGUGUGUUAAUGCGGUUUGUAAGCGGUGCUUGUUCCUACCUUCUGUUUUCAAUAAAAGAAGUCGGAGUCUCCCUCCGACUCUUGUUAUCAGUCAACAAAAAUGAGUUGUAUCAUAUAUAUCUGCGUCUUUUUUCUACGUAUCUUUGGGCUGCUUCAGCUGGAAGUUUAUCGUAAGUACGUGUAUCAGGAUGAUCGUUUGAAUUAAAACGAAAUGAUAAUGUGUGGCUGCUAGAAAUGGAAUGAGCAUCUUACUAUAUUACUAAUUGGAAGCCUCCACGUGAAGCCACCUAGAAAUUCUAGGUGGACGUUUUAAAAAAAACAAAACUCAUAGAAGCCUCCACCACCUAGGAAUCCUAGGUGGACACUCUAAAAAGAGACAAAUCCUAGAAAUUCUAAAAAAAGAAAAAAAUAAUAACAAUAAGAUUUUUUUGCAGUCAAUUACAUAUAUUUUUUUGAGACACCGUGCUGCUAGCUCUUGCCAUUGCGACCAGUAAAGCAAGCAGAUAGUAAGAUGACAUGCGUGUGGAUUGAUUAAAACAAAUUCAGUUAGUUGAUUCUAAAUCGUAUGUAUCCUAAAAGGAAGAUAUGUGCGUGCAUGGUCCCUAGCGAUGACAUGUAGACAUGUAUUGCAAUUUCUUUUUUAAAAAACAUGUCUAUCUCUAAACCAACAAACAGAAAAAAUAUCAAUCUAAAUCUAAAUCUCUUCCGUUCUCACACGCCUAUUAAAGAGAAGACAACCAAUCCCAUCCAUGUUCCAUAGAAUCCAUCUAAAAGCUUGCUCACUGCGGACGGCAUUUGACGGCAAAUCAAUGAAAGAUCAUCCUCUCCAAAUAGCUGGACGGCAUCACCAUCUUUAUCUCACCAACCUACAGAGCUACAACGAUGUUGUAGAGAUCAACUAGGUAACCUACCAAUCACCCUCCCCUUUUCUAUAUGCUCUAAAGAACACGUGGAGUAAUUAUAGGCCUAUAGGAGCCGACUAACCUAGAUUAAUAUGAAAAAUAUUCCAAUAUUAAAAGCAAGCAGAUAGUAAUACUUGCCUUUGACCAUUUUUCUAGAACUGUUAUUCCUAUUGAAUGUUCAAGUGCUACGGCCAGGCAUCGAAUGCCUGCACGGAACCUUCCUAUUGAAUGGUUACUCUAGAGAUCAACGCACCGCGAGACAUUUUUAUGGAAUUUGUUUGAUUCCCCUUCUACAAUUAGAUUAAUUUUUCAUGGCAUAUAUUACUACUAUUAAAUUAUUUGUUUAUUGUCGGGCCUGCUGCAUGUGUGGUAUAUAUGACUUGCUUCUCACCAUUGUUCUCAAACUAUUAUUCCUAUCGAAUCUUUCUAUCGAAAUAUAUUUUAAUUACUUGAUUGUUGUUUGUGUACCAUAACUUCUGUAUAGAAAAAUUCCAUGUUUGUAGAUAAUGUCUUUUGUAUAGAAAAAUAGCCCAAUUAGAUCCAUCACCAUCUUUUGCUUAUGUAGUUGAACAAGUUGCAAUGUUGAACAAAACUUUAAGUGAAAUUAGACCAGGAAAAGGAAUUGUGGAACAUUAAGGCAAGGGUAACCAGAUUGUGGAAUGCAACCUUACUCAGUAGUGGCGAACAAUUAAGUCUUGACAUGAUCCUUAUUGAUCAAAAGGUAUGAUAGAUGUUCACUUUGAUUGCAUUAUUGGUAUAAUUUUUGGUUUACAAAUUAUUAAUGAUGAUGCAAAAUUAGGGAACCAUGAUCCACGGUGUUAUCAAUAAGCCCUAUAUGAAAAAGUUCAAACCAUUGAUUGAAGAAGGCAAUGUGUACAUAAUUGCAAAUGUCAGAAUCACACCAGAACCACAGAAGUAUCGGCCAGUGGAAAAUGACAGGAUAGUCAACUUCUUACCCACAACUGCACUAAAAACGAUCAAAGAUACUGAAGACAUUCCAAAGUAUAGUUUUAACUUCAUGAGCACGGAUAUGCUUUCAGCAAGAAUAAAUGUGGACAUGUACCUAUUAGGUAAAACAUUACUGGCUUUUCAAUUUUUACACUUCCACUCAUUAAAUGACCAUCUAAUAAUAAUACAUAUUUAUGUUUCAUAGAUGUUAUAGGUAUCUCAGCUCACAUUGGACCGAUAGAAGAAACAAGGACAAACUUCGGAUUUACUAAAAUCCGUGAUAUUGUGCUCCUGAUCGAGUAAUUCUCUUUUCUUUUGUAGAAAACAACUACAAAACUUUCAACAUUUACAUGUAUGUUAUAGAACUUCUGUUGAACUAAAAAAUAUCUUCUACAGUGCCCCUACAAAUAAUUAAUUUCGUAGUUGGAUAUUUAAAAUAUUUAUUAUUCACUUUUAAAUUUGUGGCCAUGAAGUUAAAGUUAGAUUUUGGGGAGACAAAGUUGAGGAAGUUGAUGAUAAGACAAAAUCCCAUGUCAUUGCAAUAACAUCUACAACUGUGAGUAAAUUUGGCAGUAAGUCUUCAUUCAAUAUGAGUUAUUCAAUAUUAGUCAUUCAACAAACUAACCUCGUAAGAAAAAUAAAUAAUUGAUGUUUUAUCAGGGUAUUCUCUAUCGUCAACCAAUGCAACAAAACUUUAUGUAGAUCUACCUAUUCCUGAAACUAAGGAUGCACAUGAUAGGUGAGAAAAAUUAGAUAUUGUUUUUCUAUUUUAAUCUAUGUAGCAUGCACUCUAACAUGAUACAUUCUUUCAUAUGAUAAAAAAAUGUUAGUUCAAUUGAAAAUAUUGUCAAAGAGAUUCAUAUUGAGGACCAUCUAAAAGGGACAUUGGAAGACCAAAUGCAGUACAAUAGAAGAACUUUAGAAGAAUUAAAUUUCAUAUUAUUUGAAACAUCAAAUCAGGUAUGGAUUAGUAUGUUCAUUGUACACUAUACUAUUUAAAGACUUACAUACAUAAUGAUGGUAUUGUUCCUACUUUCAGGAUGAGGUAUUUACUAUUGAAGCAACAAUAAAUGAAAUUAAUGCAACAUAUGGUUGGUUGUCACACCCGAUUUUAAGGACAAAAUUGAGUGCAUUAAAUACAUGUGCACCAGGAUCAAGUUACACACAUCCUAUGAGUACCGUCCUUCUUUGGCACAAAGAUAACCGGUGCUCCCCAUGGUGAUGAACUAGGCCGAAUAAACUAUUUUGCUGAUAAUUCCUCUAGUUGUUGUUUCAAUUCUUUUAAUUGUUCAACCAACAUUCUAUAAGGACGUUUGGAGAUAGGUGCAGUACCAGGUAAAAGAUCAAUAGCAAAUUCAAUGUCGCGGUCAGGUGGCAUACCUGGUAAAUCGUCGGGGAACACAUCCGGAUAGUCACACACCACUUUGAUAUCUUCCAAGGAUUUUCCAGCCAACUGAUUAACUGCACAAUCUGCUGCUGAGGGUAGAGUAGCUACAAACUCCACUUUCUCUCCAUCAGGACCUGUUAGCAGAACUGUCCUCUUGGCACACUGAAUCGUUGCAUCAAAAGCGGCUAACCACCUCAUCCCCAGAAUUACAUCGAUUCCACUGGACUCAAGGACGAUAAGAUCAGCCGGAAACUCUAUACCCAUUAUUCUCAGUUUAACUUGUGGACAGAUGUAUUGAGCCUUCAUUGACCCCCCAGGUGAACUCACUAGCAUAUGACGCCUCAUGGUAUGCAUGGGUAAAUUAUGCUUUGCUACAUAAUGACUAGUGACAAAAGAAUGCGAUGCUCCAGAGUCAAAUAAAACUGAUGCGGGGGCAGAGUUGACAAAGAACAUACCAAGCACUACAUCUGGAGCCUCCUUAGCAGUCUCGGCUUCCAUGUGGUUCACCUUGCCACAAACAAAGCUUUGCUGCCCCUGAUUGCCUUGUGGGGUCUGGUUCCCAUUCCUCGGUUGCUGCAUCUGAUUCUGCCGAGGAGCACUGCUGUUCUGCACGGGGGUAGCUGGCCCACCUCUCUUAGGACAAGAGCUGGCAUAGUGACCAACCUCGCCACACUUGAAGCAGGUAGGACCCACUGGAGCAUUGGGCCUUGUUGGAGUGCCAGUAGGGGUCAUCUGGCGGUUCUGCGUAAAGCUUGGGCGCGGAGUCUGCAUAGUCUGCAUCCCUGGAUGCUGGAACUGAGGGCUAGGGCGCUGGAAUGACUGCUGAGCAGGGCGCGGAAAUGAGUGCUGCCAAAAAUUCCCACUCGGGCCCCCUGCGCGGAACGGCGUCCCUUGCUGUGGAGCAAAGCGAGGGCGGGUGUUGCUUCCUGAAGACUACUGGGAAUUGAAUUUCCUCUUCAUCUCCCCGAGCUCGUUCCUCUUGUGUUCCAGGCCAAUUGCCUUGUCUAGCAUCUUCUGGAAACUGGGGAAGGUGUGCGACAUAAGCUGAUAUUGGAGUGGUCCAAUCAACCCAUCCAAGAAUAGCUCCUGCUUCUGCUCAUCAUCAGCAACAUCUUCGGGAGCAUAUCGGGACAACUGGACAAACUUGUCCCUGUACUCUGCCACUGUCAUGUUCCCCUGCUUGAGAGCAAGGAACUCCUUCUUCUUAAGCUUCAUCAAUCCGGAAGGAAUAUGAUGACUUCUGAAGCUAGUCCUGAAUUCAUCCCAGGUGAUGCCAUUAGCAUUGGCAUGGGUGGUGGUGUAAGCAUCCCACCAAUCAGCAGCUGGCCCUUCCAGGCGUCCUGAAGCAUACAGGACCUUCUCCCUGUCAGUACAUUGGGCGAUAUCCAGCAUCUUCUCCACUGUUUUCAGCCAAUCAUCAGCAUCUAAUGGAUCCGGAGAAUGUGAAAACGUCGGGGGCUUGUGGCUCAUGAACUCCCUAUGCCUGUCCCUUGGCGGCGGCUGCUGCUGGUUGUUGUUGUUGUUAUUGUUCAGCUGAGCUUGUAAAGCUGCCACGGUGUUGGUCAGUCCGGCGAGAAGCUGAGUCUGAGCUGCUAGAAACUGCUCCAUCCCUGCAGGUGCUUGUUGGUUCUGUUGCGGAGCGGUGUUGGGAUUGCUGCUGUUGUCCCUGUGGCGUGGCACUGUGGGACGGUCAACUCCUGAUCCGGACCUGGUGUUUACCAUCUGAGCGUUAGAGACAAUGGAUUUAGAUAGAUGUGUGAAAGAAUAACUGAGAAAGAUAAAGCGACCAGAUGUAAAAGUAACACAGAUUCUGUUAGCUCCAUUUAAUUAGGUGUGGUCGUCAGAAGAAGUGUCCAUAAAUUCUGAACAAUUACCAAGUCGUAACUUAUUAAAUUUGUAAACCAACCCAACUGGAAUCAUCUCAAUCGGACUUCUGGAUCUCGAGUUACAAAAUUAACAAGCUGACAGUGUCGGUCGAUAGGUUCAGAUUCUGAGUGCUUUACUAAUUCGCAUACACCUCCCAGACAGAUACACCAAAAAUUCUGAAAAAUUUACAGAUAGUACUCCACGAAAUUCUGAAACUAACCCCACUGGUUUCAUGUCAUUUGGACUUCUGUAGCUAGAGAUAUAAAUAAAAAAGUACUGGCGUGUCAGUUAAUGUCGAGAACAGAAUUGAAUGUCGCUUAGCUUGCGUGAUGGAUAGAUUUAGACAGAUGGUAGAUCAUGAUUAAGGAAGAUUAAAUACUGAUUUAGAACAGAAAUAAAACCCAACUAAGCACUUUAUUUAUUAAGACCAGUAUCGUGUGGCAAUUGCCCCACAUACCGCACUCAUUACAAAAUCCAACUCAAACAUGUAGCACAAAACCAAUCAUCUAAGCACACUUUAACUAACACACUCGAACGACGUCUAACGAUUACAAGAAUUUAAACUAAAACACUCCUAAUUUCCUAGAGGUCUUCUGCGGCGGUGCCGGGCGAGUCGUAGCGGGGACGCUUAGGCGACGGCGACGAAGCGGGAUGAACAGCAAACUCCUGCGGCGGCGGUGCUCCCGUCGCGGCAGCCAUAUUCGCAUCCCUCUCCCACCGGAGUUCCUGAACCUCCUGUUGAAGCUCCUGGAUGUGGUUGUUUGCUUCAUUCAAUGCGGUGAGAGCUGCCGACGUGUACUUGCGGAGGAAGUCUGUAGCCAUGUCAACCCCAUCGUUAGUAGCGAUGAAGGUUCUUGCUUCCCCACUAGCUCGGUAAGGAAGGAACCGAUGGUAAGUGUGCUGCAAUCGCGGCCGUUCCUUGUGGGAGACGACCUCAAGUGCCCUCCUGGCGGCCUCGGCAAUGCCGGAUUCCAUGGUCCUCCUUAUGGUCACAUCAUGGUGAAAAGCCUUCACCUCCCAUCCUCCCUCGUGCUCCUCACGAAGGACAACCUUCACCUCCCAAAAAGUGGGAUAGCGAGGGUGGGUGAACCGGGAGCACUUGUAGAGUGGCCUCAUGCCGUACCCCAAGCGGUGACAAGUCCACCUGAGUAUGUCGGCCAUGUGCACUCCUUGGCCAUAAUCUUCCUUCACCCAUUUGAUCCAUGUCUCGGGCUCGGGAUCUGCUUCGGGCUCAUCAUCCGUCAAGUCGACGACCGGUACGGGCGUCGGGGCUGGUGCAGGAGCGGGCGCCGGUGCUGGCGACGGUGCUGGUGACGGCGUGGUCUCCUGCUCCACGGUCACGGCGUCCCCGUCAGAGUCAUCCCCCGGAUGCUGGAAGAUCUCUUCCUCUUCUUCCUCGUCCCAAGGCUCCAUGGGGGCGUACGACGGCGCGAUGCCAUGACGCGGCGGACGGGUGCUCUUGCGUGCGGUCAACCGGGUGCGAGCCAUCUAACAGAAAGAAAGAAGAAAAUUUUAGAAUAAAAUUUUGAACAAAGCUAGAUAAUAAAAUAGCAAUAAGGAUGAGACAAAUCAAGUUUAAGAAUAAUUAAGUAGAUUUAAAUUAAGAAAGGUAGGAAUGGCUACUAGAUUAUUAUAAUCCUUAAAUACGACCAUUUUCUAACUAGGCUAACGUCCUACAGUCAACACGGCUCUGGUACCACUUUUGUCACACCCGAUUUUAAGGACAAAAUCGAGUGCAUUAAAUACAUGUGCGCCAGGAUCAAGUUACACACAUGUACGACAAUAGUGAAUAGUAAAGCCAGUGCUAAAUCGAAUAAAGAGAGUAUUAACCAUUAUUACAUGACCGAAUGUCUCAAAUAAACCACAAAGUCUAAUUAUUACGCAGCGGAACUCCAAAGAUGACGACGACUCCAUAGGCAGCUGACUGAAGAAACGUACGCCUAGAACUCCUCGAAGUCGUGGAAGUACUCCUCUUCCCAAUUAACUUGGUCUGAACAGCGGUUUUGCAAGGGUGAGUACACUUAUGGUUGGUACUCAACAAGUCGUGGGAAGUAGUGUAGUGUAAGGCUAAUUCAAGGUAUGGCUAAGGCGUAAAUAGCAUUCGCUUUUAAUUAAGUUGGUCAAAUUUUAUUAGCAUUUACUAAGUAUAAGUUCAUACCACCCGAAAUUAAACAUGAACAUAAAGUAAACCACAUGUGCAUGAAAUGAUAACAAAUUAAAUCCAUCUUCCGAUAAUAUUAUCAUGUGAGGGUCCAGGCCGCUCUUAACCGUGAGCACGGCUGAUUGAUCAGUUUAACACUCUGCAGAGGUGGCACAUCUUUACCCACAAGUCGCGUAAAAGUUCAAAAGAACUUUGGACCCAACCAUGCGGUGUUUGCAAGGCACCAUACCACACUUCCGAGGUGUGAUUGCAUAGGGACGCUACGAGGCCUUUACAAAGAUUCAUUAAUCAGUGGUAACCCGCUAAGGUUUCGGUGUCUGGCGUGCACCACCCAUCCCAGGUAAAAUGCAACGACUCAGUCCCCCCCCUUGAAUCAUCACGAGUAAGGUCACCCCAGACUAAGGUUUCUAAUUAAUCAGCCAAGACCAGAGCUAUUUAGUCUUGUGGUAGCACUGUUUUCCUGGGUGGUCGCUCCAUGUUCUGAUUAACAAAUAAUGAUCUUGUCUUAAUGAAAGGUAUAACAGAAAUAAGGCAAGAUUAAGCAUUGUUUUUAGUUAAACCACCAUGUACCAAGUAAGCACUAAGCAUGAGCUACCCAACAUAAAGUAAACCGGUUGGUCAAGGCAAAGGUAAAACAAUCUAGGCCAACCUUAAUUGGGACCCAUCAAUUUAAUCUUAAUAUGUGCACAGCAUAAAUGUUGAGUACGAGAAAGUAAAGGUGUAUAGGACAAAAAGGUAGUGAUCAAGGACACGACUUGCCUUCUUGGCCUUGCUCCUGCUGUUCGUACUCCUCGAAGGCUUGAUCGGCAACUCCCUCGAACUGCGGGGCGUCUACACGCAUCACACGAGCACAUACAAGCAAACAUGGGCAAAAGUAAGAAAACAGUAUACCAAACAUAGUCAAACAGAGAAAACAAGCUUGAAAAGAUGAUCUACGCUUUAAAACGAACACGCGGAUAUAAAGAACGCGAAAAACGGAGUUAAGAUGCAAAAGAUAUGAUUAAAACAAAAUCCAGGGACUUUUCUGUAAGAAAAACAAAACUUUUAGGGCCUAUCCGCGAAAACCGAGGGCUUAUACGUAAUUAUGCGUAUAAACCGAGGGUCUGAUGCGUAAAAACAUCAAACCCGGACGGCGGGUUGAUUUCUGGAAAGGUCAAGGGUUAAACCGAAAAAUGCGAGGGCAGAUCUGUAAAUACUUUCAACGCGAUCUGGACCGCGGGUUGAUUUGCGAAAAAGGCGGGGGCUAAAGUGCAAAAACUGCACGGCGCGGCUCGGUUGACCGGUACGCGAUCUUGAUUGACUCGCGUCCGGCCGUCGGAUUAAGAUCCGACGGUCGCGGUGAUCCGCGACAUCGCGGCGGCGGCGGCGAGCGGCGGCGAGCGGCGGCAAGCGGCGGCGGGUCGCCGGAGUUAGGCAAAAUAGCGCCACGAGGCACGGUUUAACGCGCGGGUUGCACCAAAAAAGAGAGGGGAACACGUCGAUCCCGUUUUGGGGGUUCUUGUCGACGGGGGCUCACCGGCGACGGCGAACGGCGGCGAGGAAGAGGCGGCGGCGCUAGGAGCUCGGGCGGCUAGGGUUUCGGGGAGCUGCGGCGCUGGUUUUGGGCGGAGGAGACUGGGAGGAGGCGGCGGCUUUUAUAGGGCUUGGAGAUAGAGCCGGCGCGGGUUCAAAUCCCCCGGAGGAGUCGGAGCGGAUGGAGUCCGGGGCGGAGACGGCGCGCGGCGGUUGCGGAGUUCUGACCGGAUUCGGCCGGAGGUGGGAGACGAUGGGUGGGGUCCACCCGUCAGUGGCGGAGGGGAGCGGUAGACGGGCCGGCGCGACCGUGGGCUGGCGCGCGCUCGUGGGCUGCGGGGAGCGGGAGAGAAGCGGCGAGCGGGCGCUGGCGGAGCAGGCCGAGCGGAGGUAGAGCUGGGCCGCGGAGAAAAAGGAGGAGGCCGGCGGGCUGCUUCGCAGGCCGGUAAGGAUGAGGCGGCCGGGCCGAAGAAGAAAAAGAAAAGGAGGGACAAGGAGCUUUCGGCCGAGGGAAAAGAAGAAGAAAAAGAAAAGGAAGAAGAAAAGGGAAAAGGUUUUGGAAUUUGAAUUUAAAUCUGAAAUUCAAAAUUUGAUUCAAACUCAAGCAACCAAAAAUUAUGCUCCAGCAUGAAUGCACAAAUAAUUCCUAUGAUGAAUUAAUUGAAUUAAAGAAAAUGAAUUUAAAUGCCUAGAAAUUAAAUAACACCCUAAUUUGAGCAAAUUUUAAUGAAUUUGAAUUAUUGAAAUUUUGGGUGUUACAUUGGUACUACAUCUCAUGUAGUAGAGGCGAUUGUAAGAAGCAACUUGAAAAGAAGUUUGAUCACUACUAUUGCAAUAAAUGUGACAAGAGAGCCGAACCUAAAGCCCAGUAAAUUAUUUAGUAGUUUACAAUCUUAUUAUAAUACUUCUAUUUCUAAUAGGAGAAUAAUAUUUUCAGAUUCAAAUUAAGCUUCAAAUAAGUGAUCCAACAACAAGUGCAACUUGUGUACUUUUGACAAGGAAGCAGAAAUGAUAAUUAAUGAAUGAGCAGAUUCGAUGAUCACCUCAGUUGAUCAUGAUAAUAAGUAGCUACCAAAAUCAAUUCAGGAAAUAUGUGAAGAAACAUUGAUUUCUCAAUUCAGAUUGACCGAGUACAACUUGACAAGUUUUAGACCUGAUUAUACUGUUUCAAAGAUAUUUUUUCCAAAAGAAAAGGGCAGUUCAAGAAUUGGUAUGGAAAGUGUAAAAAAGGUAACACUUUAUUAUUAAUUUUUUAUUGCACUUUUUUCUUUUGAAUCCGUAAUACUUAAUAAUUUUACUAUAUCAAUGAAACAAAUUCUAACCUAAAUUUAUUUUCUUUUUUAUUAUUUGUAGGAAGUAGAAGACAACUCAGACAAAUGCUACACGAUAACUACCGAGAAUGAAGAGGUAGACACUGAUGACUCUUUUACCGAGAAAGUAACAUUCGUAGAAGAAGCCAUAAGGACUGGGGAAAGAUUGGCUAGAAAAGUAUACUCACUUCCAUGUCAGUGUUCAUUCUAUUUACAAUACAUGCAAAAAAAAUAUUAUUCAUGCAAAAUUGCAGGUCUACUAAGCAUUAAAGGAAUAGCGGAUAGUGCAAUAUGUAAUCUGAGCAGCAUGCAUUACAAAGUGCUCUACUGCAAUUAAAUUAAAAAACAUGAUAUAUGUUGAAUUCUUAGACUUUAUUAUUAUACUUUUCUACGUGACAAUUCACAAUUUUUUAGAAAAAAGAAGAUCCCAGAAGAAGUGACCAUGAAAAAAGGUCUAUGACCAGCAAUAAGAAAAAAUGCAAGCAUAGAAACAAAUCCGUAGAAAACAUAGAAAAUAAGGUACUCCAUAAACAAAAGUAUUCUCUUAUAUUUUUAUUAAAUAUUUUUUUAACACUUGACAAGUUCUUUUUUAGGAUCAAUAUAUCAGCAAUUCAGAUGUCAUUGGAGAUGAAACCUUAGUUCAUCCAAAAGGUCAAAAAAAAACAUCUGAAGAAAGGUGUUUGGCUGAAAAGGAAAAGCAAAAAAGUGGUAAUGCAGACAAACACAUGCAGAAAAAUAUAAAAACAUGUCAUAGGGAGGCAGACCAAUCUUGCAAGGAGGUAUAGACGAAACGUGAUACACGACCUGCCUACCUUGUCGUGGAUACCCCAAGAAGAUGUCAUAGAGGUGCAGACCAAGCUAGCAAGGAGGUCGAAACGUGAUACACGGCCUGCCUACCUUGCCGUGGAUAUUAGCCCUGAGAUCAUUCUACUGUUCAAGGAAUAACACUCAAUGCUGCUGCUGCUGCUGACCUGGCUCCAUAAAGUUAUACUCCUCUAGGUGCUUGCACUAACUUUAUCUGAAGUAUUAUUCUCUCUGCACUGUAUAUAUGGUUAUGGAGUUUGCUGGAGUAUCCGGGGCGAAGAACCUACAUAAUACGUCUUGGAACUAAUUGACAUUGAUUCACAGACAAACUCUACAAGGUGCUGUUCUUGCCAUUUUAGAGCAUCCAAAGGACUAUAAAUAACAUAGUUUACCAUAUACCAUAUACCAUAUACCAUAAUAUGUUAGCUAAAAUAAGAGCAUACACAUGUUGCAGGAGUCCAAAAGCACCGGUUGAGGACCAGGUACAUUGAAUUACUAGAAAAAGACAGGGGACAAGGUUUAGGUAACCACAUGAAACAUUUGAAUUUAUUGUACUAUGAACACUUAGUUACCAUGCCAGGAGCACAUAGUUAACACUAACAUUUAGCCACUUUAGAUCAUCCCGAAUCACCAAUGACCCUCAAUAGUGACAAAUUUUGGUUUAAAUGCCAUCACCAAUGAUCCUCAAUAGUGACGUAUUUAGGUUUAAAUCCCGUCACUAAUAACCCUCAAUAGUGACCUGUUUUGGUUUAAAUCUCAUUACCACUGAUCCUCAAUAGUGAUGUGUUUUAGCAAAACAUGUUAUCAAUGACUUGUCAUUGGUGACGUGUUAAAACGCGUUAUCUCAAUGGCAAAUCAUUGGUGACGUGUUAUCUCAAUGUUAUCAAUGUUCUAUUCUUUUCAACAAUACCAGCUCGUUCCUCCGUUUUUAUUCCACCAAUACAAGCACCACCUUGUAACAUUUCCUAUGUUUUUUUUCCUUUUGUCUGUUUUCUCACUACAUGCGUUGCUCUUUCAUGCAUUUUUUUCCAUUCCUGUAUUCCAAAUAGGUCUACAUGAACACAAAAUGAACUAGGGGACAGAAAAAGCCAGUGAAGCCAAUUUUGAGCUUCACCAGCUACUUGCUACAUAAAGUGUGCUAUAGUGACGUGUUUUAGCAAAACAUGUUAUCAAUGACUUGUCAUUGGUGACGUGUUAAAACGCGUUAUCUCACUGGCAAAUCAUUGGUGACGUGUUUUAAAAAAACAUGUCACCGUGAGAGUCAUUGGUGAAGGGUAAUUAAAAUGCGUCACUAAUGUUGUAGCAUUAGUUAUGAUAAUUUAGUAACGCAAAAAUCUACCAUCAGUAUUGAGCUUUAGAGCCAUCGCUAAUGUGGGUUUCUUACAUAGUGAUGCAAGCUCUACAAGGUGCUGUUGCUGCCAUUUUAAAGCAUCCCAUGACUACAUGUUAAUAACAUAGUUUACCAUAUAUCAUAAAAAUAUUAGUUACAAUAAGCACAUACGCAUGUGGAAGAGUCCGAAUGCACCGGUUGAGGACUAAACACAUUGAAUUACUAGAACCAAAUGUAUGUUUAGAACAAAGACAGGGGUCAAGGUUUGGGUAACCGCAUUAAAAACAUUGGAUUUUACUGUACAUGAACACUUAGUUACCAUUACCAUGCCUUGAGCACCUAGUUACAACAAACAUUAAUUUAGCCACUUUAGAGCUUCCAGAAUCGCUAUAAAUAAUAUACCUACGCCGUACCAUGAAAACAUCAAGAAGAGAGACGGAUACAUGGACCACCAUCAAGCGAGUAGUGACAGCACGCACAAGAAUACCCGGAACCUGUUAGCUUGUCUGUAGUGAUCUGUUUUCUUCCCCAUAAAAUCCAUGAGUAUUGCCACAAAUAAUGAAAGAGGCUGACCAAGCUAGCAAGGAGGUAGAGCAAACGUGAUACACGGCCUGCCAAGAUUGCCCUGGAUACGCCAAUAAGAGCGACAGAUACAUGGAUCACACCAAUAUGGUGAAACGUAUAUUCAUCACACAAGCAAAGCUGGUCAGUUUAUCCAUGGUCAAAUUGUGGUCUUUGUUUUCACUUGAGAGCUAAUUGAGGCACUAUAAUAUGGGCAGGCCUAUCUUCAACAGACAUGACAGCUACAGGGAACUUGACAUAAUUUGCUGGGCCGCCUGUGCACAAUUAUUUGUUUUAUUGUCCUUGCAUAGAAUGCUAAAAUACUCUUUACAAAAUGUUGGAUCUAAUAUUUGAAAUAUAGAGUAGUAAUCAUAUAUUGAUCAACAACUUGAAAUUAUCUGUACAUUCUCGGUGAAGCUGUUGAACUAAUUUUUGCAAAUUAUUAAUUCAUCUCAUUACGUAAAGAAAAAAGUAAGUGGAUAAGAUAUUUCGUGGACCACAUCACUGCAAACAUGUCAUGGAGAGACAGACCAAGGAGGCAGGACGUGAUACACGACUUACCCUAGGUUGCCGUGGAACCGCCAAGAAGAGAUACAGAUACAUGGACCACACCAUCUUGGGAGUAGUGACAGCAUAUAUGCAGAAGAAUACCCCGUGCCUAUUUGCAUGCAUGUCUCAAGUGAUCUGUUUUCUUCAGAAAAUACAUGAGCAUUGCCAGAAAGAAUGGCAAGAGACAAACAUGUCAUAGAGACUUGCAUGUCUUGCCUUGGAUACGCCAAGAAGAGGGACACAUACAUGGAUAACACAAAUCUAGUGACACGUAUAUUCAUCACAAAGGCAAAUCUGAUAAUUUUAUCCAUGGAGCAGACCAAGGAGAAAUUGAUGACGGACAUGUGAUCUCUGUAUUCAGUUGAAAGCUAAUUGAGCUACACUAAUAUGAGCAGGACUAUAUUCAAGAGACUUGUUGAGAGCUACAGGGAACUUGUAAUAAUUUGCUGGGCGGCCUGCGCACAAUGAUUUGUUAUACAUAGUUGAAAUAUUUCAAGAAUUUAUCAACCUCAUACUCUGAAACCCUUGGUGCAAUGUACUCUGCUUUCCGAGGUAGACUGUUCACGUAAAAUGAGGUCAUGCGUAAGACGGAAUCGGAUUGGAUUCACAGGGAAUCAGAUUUGGAUAGCACCUUUUAGCAGGUUUUUAGUCAAAUGCAAAUUCGGAUCCACAUGUGGUUGAAUGCGAGUUCAAAAUUCUACUUGGAUAUCCAUUUAAUUUAGGUGAUAGCAAUUAGCACAAAAUGUUGGAUGAACAAAAUCAUAGUUAGACAUACAAUUACAUGUAUGGUUAAAGUAUAAUACAAUACACCAAGAUUAUUCCUUGAAAAUAUUUCUUAAAAAUAUUAUAAUAAAUGAAUAAAUAUAAUUGUGGCCACCAACAAAUAGUCGGUGGUCGCUAAGUUGGAGCCAUUUCUGGUUACUAAUGCGGCCUUCUCCUCGACCAGCGACGACAGCUGAGCUUGUUCCUUCUGACACUAAAUCAUCAGAGUCUUCCCUCCACUACUAUAGAAUGCACCUUUAGCACCAAUUGGGAAAUCCCCUUCAGUAUUGGAUGCUGCAACCAGUGCUAUAUAUCAAAAUGGAGACUAAAAGCCUCGGUCUUGGGUACCGGUUGCAUAACGCAUUACUAAAGGAGGCAAAAGAGAAAUGUAACAAAAAAAAUAUUUUGAAUUCCAAGAAUGUUUCACUAUUCAAGAUGACUAGCUGAGAGUCAACAGACAAGAUACUAGGAAUGUGGGUGCUUGAAUGCAUUUGUACAGAGGUCAUACUAUUUACAAACUCUUCUAUGUUUCCAUAUGACUACCUACUUCAAUGUCACGCGAGCCAUUCAGCUGGACACAUGGCACACUAGCUUGCAUGUCGAAUCCAUGAUUAAUUAUUUGCACUUGUGAUCUCUUACCAGUAUUUGUCCAGACUAGAAACGUGCAACACAUUUUUAGGAUAUGGACACGCAUAUAUUUGGACUAGUAUACAGGUCACCUUUGGAUGCGUACAAGGAUGACCGGGAGGGACUAAUGGAUACAAGGAAGGGACCAUCAGGAUUAAUAUUGACAUAUGCCACAUGACAAUCUUCAUUGUCAUGCAAUCCCUAUCAACAAUCAUGGAAUCCCUAGUGUACUAAUCCCUGGAGGGUUGUGUGGAAAUUUAUUUUACCUUGCGGUGAAAAUCUCAUGAGCAGUCAUUAGUUAAGCUGACUAGCUGAGAUAUAAUAGACAAGCUAGUAAGAUUGGGAGCAUCAAUGCAUCCAUACAGGGUCACAAUAUCCUUUCCAUUCACUUUUAUAUAUAACCCUACGAAUACAAGUCCAACGAAAUGCGGGCCUUUCGAUCAAGAUAAAUUAAAUGGCCCACUUGUAUUUCUAAUCCAGGAUUAACUAUGCCCUCUGUUCAUCUCUUGCAAGCACGUGCAACACAUUUUCACGAUAUGGACAUGCAUGGAGGUUAUUAUACUGUUUGGACAAACUCUGAUGUGCCAUGACCUAAAUGCUUAGGGCCUGUUUGGUUUGAGUUGCUUAUUAUAAGCAACUUAAAGUUGCUUAAAGUUGCUUAUUUGAAGUUGCUUAUUUUUAGUCUAAACUGUUUGGAUACCCUUGCUUAUGAGCAUUGAAUGAGUUGGACAUUGUCAAAUUUGCCCCAUGUGUUGCUACCCCUCCAAUUUGCCUCCCCACCCUUCUUCUUCCUGCACACGUCCGAUCCCGGGGGCCGACGGCGGGCAGGGAGCAGCAGCAGCUGGCCAGGGCGGCGGUGGGGCGGGAGCGGCGGCGCACACCAGCACGCGCUCGCACGCCAGGUGCUAGGGCGCGGCGAGGCAGUCGUCGUAGCCCACCGGGAGCGGGUGCUCGGGCGCGAGGCGGUACUCGACGGAGAUGCCGAGCGUCGGGCGCGCGGCGGCGAGCGCGUUGAGGAAGCGAUGGUAGUGCGGCGACGUCGCGGACUCCGCCACGAAGCCGCCGCCGUGGACGUACACCACCACGGGCAGCUUCGUCUUGCCGUCGGCGGCCGCGGCCGCGGCCUGGGGUGGCAGGUAGAGGCGGACGGAGCAGGAGCCGAGGUCGACGUCCCUGGAGUCGACGCCCGUGGCGGCGUCCAGGCUGGGCCCGACCGGCGGCGGCACGAGCGGGCGCUCGAUGCGGCCGCUCUUGUAAAUCCGACGGGUCUGUGCGGAGGCGGGCGGCGGGCGGGAGCGGCGGGUGGGAGCGGCGGCAGGUGGUGCGGAGGCCGGCGGCGGCGGGUGGCGCGGAGGAAGGGGAGCUGGUGAGUGGUGACAGGGGAGGGGGGGAGAGAGAGGGGGGGUAGGGUGCAUUGAAUGAGGGCAGGAGGUGUAAAGUGCACCUUUUAGUCCCCAUGAGCAACCAUAAGCAGCCCAAGAGUUGCUUAUUUGCUUAUAAUAAGCAACCUCAUAAGCAAGAGUGAUUGGUUUCAUAAGCAACUUAUUUGCUUAUUUUAAGUUGCUUAUGCAUAAGCAUGUGAAACCAAGCAGGUCCUUAACCUAUGGUUGUGGCACCACACAGUACAUAGUAUUUAAUAAUGCUAUUCGUUUGGUAUGUGCACAAGGGCACGCAUGAAAUGUCUGGCCCACGGUAAACAAGUACGGACGCUGCAAAUAAUCUACUCUGCUCGUCCAGUCCCUAGCCUAUAAAUAGAUGCCAUGCUAGCUCUUGUUGUGCUCACAAUUAAUCCUGACUACACACGAGCUUCUCUCCCUGGCCAAGACACAAUCAUAGUAUGAUGAAGAACAUGGCACUAGCCGGCAAUGGUAUGAAGAACUUAAUCCUCGCUGUUCUCUUACUGUGUCUAGUUAUAGGGCAGAUACAAGUGGAAGCUAAGAGCUGCUGCCCAUCCAUUACUGCAAGAAAUAUCUACAAUGCCUGCCGUAUCACGGGUACAUCCCGUCCAACGUGUGCAAAACUGUCAGGCUGCAAAAUUAUCAGCGGGGACAAAUGCAAGCCCCCUAACGACCACCUCACCCUUGACCCGGACACUGGUAAAUAAUAAAUUUAUCUCACUUGAUUUCUUCGUGUUUUGAGUCGUUAAUGUAUUUUCCAUCUGAUGAAACGUAUUGGUUUUGCAUUGAAGAGGAAGUUAAUGUGCUUAACUUCUGCAAGUUGGGGUGUGCGUCGUCUGUGUGCAACAACAUCAACGCUGGUAAGCACCUUUUGCUCAGACGGAGAAAACAAUAAUCAUUAAUUAGCGGCAGCUAGAAUCCUAUAAUCUAAUAUAUUUAUAUAUAUAUAUAAUUUUAUCAGCUCUGGGAAAUGAAGAGGCGAACGAUGCCGUUGAGAGUUGCGACCAAGCCUGCUCUAGCUUCUGCAACGUGCACGUUGGCGCUGCCACCGUGGUUGCUUAAGCAAAUGCAUCCAACUGGAUCGUCCUUGUGCUAAAUAAUUGGAUAUCGUAUCCACUUAAAGCUGCCUUGUGUAGUACGUUUUUGUUUGUGUCUCUCUUUAUAUUCCAAUAAGGUCGGUGAUCUUGAUGCCACACACUCAGACGUGUGUUCAUCUCCAGAUACUACUCCAUGCUACCUGCCCUUUGUGUUUUGUUCAAUAACUGGGUAUCAUAUCCCAGCCAGUGUGCCAUCUGUUUUGUGUUUAUUUCCUUCUAGUUUCAAAGGGGUUAUCAUGAUGUUACCUUCUUUCGAUAUGGUGCUUUGCAUGACUACUGUUGUAUGGUACCAUCUUGUUGGCCAAUAAAUACAUCUUAUCCUAUGACCCUUUGCUAUGACCCUUUGCAAAUAAGUACAAGAUUGUUAAAUACUCGGUAUAAAUUGACUACUGCUGUGAGUUCCCUUUCAGCUUAUCGUAGGCAUACAUUAUUGCUAGCACGGUGAAGACAACCAACACGAAUGGUCAAGUAAACGUACCGGUACUUUUGUAUACCAACACCCUUGCUUAAAUGUACCGGUGUUACUCCCCACUAGCACAUAUAUUCUUAUAUGCUAGCCGGCUUGAAAAUUAACCGAUUAAAAUAAUUAUUUCAAGACAGAAAUAACUUAUCGGCUUCUCGAAGCAUGUGUAAUGUGAAUUCAAGGACUUGAUGGAAGUUGAAUCGCUUAAUCUAGAUUGCUUUCAGGAUUUUGGGUAACUAAAUUUAACAUUUGCACAUACAAAUGUUAAUGUACAAAUAUUAAAUAUAGUUACCCAAGCAGAAUAUGAAGAUACUCUAUAGUAUAUAUAUACUAUAUAAAUCUAGUUAACAUUUAGUCUAAAUGUUAAAUCUAGUUACCUAAAAUCCUGAAAGCAAAAUGUAUAAAUAUAUAUCUUUUAAGGAAUCCCAAAGCAAGAGUUCAGUGGCAUUCUAUAGUCCCAUGCUGCUAGUUUGAGUUGGUCGAAGCCAACUUAAAUAGGAGAGCUCUCUCACUUCUCUAAAUACGUAACUGAAGGAGAGAAGGGGGCUUGGUUACACAACGCACGCACGCACGCAUAUUUGCGUUCUUUUCGCGUAACCAACCGCGUGACUUGAAACUUGCGACGUAGCGUGCUGCCAAGUCAAGUUGAUAUAACCUUUUUGCCGUAGGCGUGUAAUCUUUUGACAACGGUCAUUGGAGGUGAUAAGCACGCAGUCAAUACCUUAAUCCUGAGUUAAUAGGGCGGUUACUACUGCCAAUUAGUGGGGCAAUUUUGUAGGGGAAACGGUUAGCAGAGGGCUACCAUCUUCUCUAUAAGAAGUUCUGGAGACGUCCAGGAACACACAUGUACAUGUGAGAGACCCACGAAUUCCUUCCCAUCUCCCUUUUCCAUCUGGUGAAGUGUGCUAUGGUACUGAGCUGCUGGAUCUCGCCGGCUCUUCUCCUUGGCGUGCACCGAGGAGGAGGGUGAGCGGUAUCUCCGAGCUAUUGCCGUCAGGAAGCCUGCACGAGGGACAACAAUAAAGUUUUUGGGUAGCGCAACUACGCAACCGCUCGAUUCGAUCGACUAUGUUCUGCGCUGCCUCAUCUUCGAUCUGCACUGCAACACGUAACCCUGCAGCAAGUCUACACAAGGACGGAGCACUAAUCUGUAAGUCCUAGAUUGGUUUCUUACAGAGUUGUAGGUUACACAAGAUCUAGAAUUGUUACAUACUUAUUAUUAUGGGUUACAUGAUGUUUUGUACGGUUACGUCUAUUUUGCAUAUGCUAUUUUUACAUACCGUUUACAUGCAUAUGUAAUGGUUACGCCUAGCUAUUUGAAUCUAGAAUUGGGUUACAUAGCAGUAGCAAUGACUUACGUAAUAUGCCUCAUGUUUAUAUCUGGUAGAAUUUAACACGUAUCUCCAACAUAUUUUGAGGCAGUAUAAAUUUCAAUUCCUUUUGCUGCUCUGUUAAAUCCCGUCUUUCGUGUGGCCCAACACUCUAGUAUGCAUGUAGCACCAAGCUUGUUUGAGCCGCUUUGUGCUCUGAUUUUGCUGUCUGUAUCAGGUUGGACUGUUUCUUUGUCUUGCGAUGUAUAGCUUCAUAUCUUCUAGAGGUUAGACAGCAAAACCCGCGUUCUCUUAAGGCAACAACUCGAAGAAUCUGCAGCGCUCCUGAUAUAUCACUGCUGCAGAAACAAUCUUUAGUACUGAUUUCCAACCCCCUUUAGUAUCGGUUUGGCAAUCAGUACCACUACGUCGGUACUAAAGGGAGUUCUCUAGAAUCGGGUCAAAUAACUGGUACUAAAAGUGCUCCUCUACUACCAGUUGGUAACACCAAUAGGUAGUAACUUUUUUUGCACCCAAAAAAUUAAAGAAAAACAGCCGGGAGGCUCGCGCACACACGCAUCAUGAGUAAUAUGCGCGUGCAUGGUUUGUGGGAUUCCAACCCACGACCAAGCUAUAAGCACGUAGUUACAAAAAAAUUAAACACUUAGACAUUUUAGAGCAUCCCAAAUAACUACAAAUUCUUUAGUUUACCAUAUACCAUAAAAUAUUAGUUAAAAUAAGAGCAUACGCACGUCGGAAGAGUCCCAAUGCACCGGUUGAGGAUCAGACCAGGCACUUUGAAUGCACAUGCCAUAAGAUAAUUCUGCAGGACGAUGAUUGCAAUAAUGGACCAUCGAGAAGAUAGGGGCGAUGGGGUUGCCUCAUCAAUUAUGACUUGGCGCAACAAGACCAGCAAAGUCUUUAUCGACAGGGGUGGAUCAAGGGGUGGGGCGGGUAGAGCUCCAAUCUUCCUACCGCCGCUCGAACAAUGGAGCCCCCCUUAGCCCCUCCAUAAAUUUUUAGGUAGAAGAAAAAAGAAGAGAAGGGAAGGAAGGGGAAGAAUAGGGAGCCCCUCCUAAGUAGGUCGCCAUCGUGCUUCCCAACGCAUGAUCGCCGCACCGCAUCCAUUCCUCUACAAGCCUCCAGCGUCUCUCCUGCCGCUACCUCUGAACCAUGUGCAGCUGCAGACCCAACUAGUGUCUUGUCACCCAUCUCAAUCCCAACAGAGCGGCGGCUCCUGCCAGCACAAAUCUCCCUCCGCCUGUUCUUCACGAUCGAUGGCCACCACAAGCAUAAACCUCGCCUUCGCAUCCACGCAAAAGGGUCGCCGGUGUGCCUUCUCGCAUCGCUUCUCAGCCUCCUUCACUUGCGGCUGGCCAAGAACCGUGCCACCACCUCGGGUGCGCGCCACCGCUCCAGGGCCGCUACCCCAUGCGUGCGGCCGCCGCCGGCCACCACGCGUGUGCAACCGUGUCGCACCGCUUCCCUGCUCUGUGCCACCACUGCUACUGCACCACCAGCUCCACCACCUUGGGCUGGUCGCCAGGGUGACUGAUUGGUGGAUUAUUACUACAAAUAAGUUCCUUAUUAUCUGCAACUACUAUUAACUCAGGGAUACAUGCGUCUUUUGCUUCUCCUGUUAAUAUGUCCUAAAAUAUCUAGAAUGCCUUAUAUUUCUGGACGGAGGAAGUAUUUGAAUAAAAUGAACCAAUUUUAAAAAAUGUGUUGUACACUACUACAGAAAGAACUAUCAGUGUCAAACCCAAAAAUGUCGUCACUGCCAGUUUUGGGCAUCGUUGGUGAAAGGUUGGCGGUGAUGGGUAUCCCCUUCAACAACGGCACUAGAGCUAACAGUGAUUGACAUUAGAAAACGAAAAAGGGGACCCACCUAGCCACCCCUGCAACCCGGCUGGCCGUGCCUCCCGUCAUCCCCACCACCUCGCCUCCCCCGUGACCCCCCGCCGGCGCCCUUGCGCCUAGCCCCCUCGCCUGCCUGGCCGGCCACCCUCGUCACGAGAGAGAGGGGUGCAUGUUGUAUAAUUGCGUGAAUUUUUAAUGUUUAAUUUCAUGUAAGUUUCAUAUAAUAAAUUGUACAAGUUUUAUUGUAUAUAUGAAUUCCAUAUAUAUAUAUUUAUAAUUUAAUGUAUGGUUUCAUGUGUAUAUUUCAAUAAUGUGUAUAUUUAGUAGAUAGCCGAUUUUCUUUUUCUACAAGACAAGGGUUGAUGUAUAAUUACGUGUAUAUGUUUAUUGUACGGGCAAUUAGGACAAGUUUUGUAUAAAUUUCUUUUAUUUCAUGGUUGUUGUAUGGUUUCAUGUAUAUACAUUUAUUGUACUACUUGAGACAAUUUUUAAUUUAAUGUUUCUAUGGUUACAUGUGUGUAUAACUAAUUGUAUUAUUAGUUAAGAUGGGAGCCAAAGAGGAUGAAAGGUAUAUAAUGGAGCAGAUUAUUGCUGGCGGUAGUGGCUCAAACGUUGCAAGAACCUACAUCAAGGGUGAGGGUAGCUAGGUGGACAUGUACCUCAACAUGUCCAGUGAUGGCAAUGACGAUGAGGAGCACGAGCAUGACGUUUAUGAUAGUGCGGAACAAGACAUUGCAGAAUUGGAAGGUUCUAAUGAGGUGUGCUUCAUGUUGAUGAUCUGGUUGGCUUUUUUUCUUUGGUCACACCUUAGUUACCAUAGAACUUCGUCUCGGGAGAAGAUUGGAGGUGCUAUGGUGAUUGGAAUUUUAUUGCCUCCAAAUAUGAUUUCCAUCGAAUCAUAUCCCUUGUAUUUAUCUUCUUUUUAUUUGUGAGAGCAUCUUCUUUAUGCUUGCAAAACAAUUCAAGUGCACAUACUACACCUAGGGUGAUGAUUAGGAGUAGAAACAAUUGCCAACAAACGAACACCACAUCCUAAGAUUCUUAACUUGUGGUAUAAUUAGUCUAGUAAAAAGAAAGAUAAAAACCUAAUGGGUGUACGUGAGUGCAAUGCGUAUAUGCAUAUGAGUGGAAGGCAUAUAAGCAAAGAUAAUAUUUACACAUAGAUCUAAGCACCAUGUUUACAACUAAGUUGCUGAAUUUCUCCAUAGCUAUAGAGAUUAAUGAACCAAGGUCAAAACACCAUGUCUAUCCCAAGAUCAGUAAUUCUUUAUAGCACAAGAAAAAGAAAGCGCAUUGCAAAGUUUAUAAACCAACCAAUGCAGCAUGAAAACAAGAUGAAUAGCUAGCAAGGUUUAUUAAACUGAAUGAUGACGGUCUGCAAGCAAGUUUGAACACCAUCUUUACACAAGAUUGCAAAUGGAAAAUUCCCAUAUGAAGAACUAACAUGGAUAUGAAAUCAUUCAUCAUAAAGCGUAAAGAACAACCAAGCCAACCAUAUGCAAAGCAUGAAUGGAAUGCAAUGAAGGUGCAAGAGAACAUUUUUGGAUGAACCCAUUAUGAUGAUGGCAAAAUGCGCCGUGCCCCCCAGCCCCCGCGGUGAGAUCCCGCCGCUCGCUGCCGCCAGACCCUAUUAGGCCUCCACCGGCAGGUCCACCCACGGUCCCGCGCGACGUGGCAGCCUCUUGGCUCUCGGCGCUCGCGGCACGCCAGUGCUGGCGCAGCCCCACCAGGCGACUACCCUCCCCCCAUAAGGCCUCGGCCCCUCCCCAGCGCCGCCCCCCAACACCAGGACUGCCUGCUGCCCCCCACCGUGAGGUAAUCGAAAUCGACUGCUCAAUCUCUCAAUCUGUUGAUAUGAUGCACACGGUUGCAAAAAUAGAUGUGUCAAAAUAGAUGUUUUGCCAAUUGCUAUAGAUGCAUACGGUUGACAUGAAGUCAAAAAUGACAUUUGGUUCCUUGUAGGCAGUCAAAAAUGAAGAAGUCAAAAAAUAUUGAUCUGAAAUCAAUGUGGGAAAGGGCUAUGAAGACACGCAGGUAGAUUCCCUUGUGAACUUUUUAUGUCGUUCGUCUAAAUAAUUUUUUGCAAUGGGCAUACCCUACUCUGAAAUCCUGGGUCCGCCACUGAUGAUGAUGGUCUAAAAAUAAACCAAGCCUAGAUUAAUUAGCCACAACUGAAAUUAAGCAAAGGUUAAUGUCAUUGACCCUAGCUCUAUCCUAGCUUUUACCAAAGUUCCGGCACAUAUAGUGGUUGGGCCCACUCUCUCUGCUUCCCUCUCUGCUGCAUGCACGCACACGAGCAACGGGAGGCCCGACGAAGCCCAGAAGGGUUCGGCCGAACCAGUAUGAGCGCCGCUCCCUCCCAGCCUUCGCGCAGAUGCUCCUCCAACGUUCCUUGACCCCUCCCUCAGCGUCCCGUUGGGUUUAACAUUGCAGGAGAGGAGUCCCUUUUUUAAAAUCUCAACCACCUCCUCUCCCCAUUCACUCCACUCUCAUCUCCAUCAAACUCACCAAGAUCCGCACCGGAAAUCCCUGCUUACCACCAUGGCUGGCAAAGCCCUCAUCCCUUUCACCAACUUGGGCUUGACCACUGAUCUCGAUGGGGAAAUCACUCUGGCAAAUAUGCGUGUAACACUGCCCCCUUUGCCGAGGGUUAAAGCCAAAACACUCAGCAAAGUGGAUAGUACCCCCCUUUUUACCCGUUUUGUCAUGUAUAACGGACCCCUCUCAAUUCACAAUAGACAUCAUCAUAGGCAUUUAUAAUAAACAAUCACAGGCAUAAUUCACAAUCACCAUUACAAGCAUUAUUCAUAAAUAUCACAGACAUAAUCCAAAGUAAGCAUGAAACAAGCCAUAAAUCCAAGUUCAAGUCACAACUAAGUUUCAUCCAAGUUCAAGUCACAAAUGCAAUGUCUAAAUCCAUGGAGGCCAAGGAGACCACUGCGACAAAUCUUGGUCUUCAUUAUUCGAAGCCGCCGAUUGAUUCUGCACAUAGGAUAGGACAUUCUGAGCUAACAUCUAAAGUUGUCAAAAUUAAAGUAUUCAAUCUUAAGCACAAUGUGUCAAAUGACUCACAGGAGUAGUUGUGGGUGGCUGAGGCGGAGGGAACAGCAUCGAUGGCGGUGGCAAAGAUUGACCCAUGCUCGAAGCAAAAUUCUGCAUGUACUGGAACAUCUGGUCCAUCCUCAUCCGAUUUUCUUCCUCCAUCCUCUGCCGCUCGGCCUCUAACCUCCGCUGAACCAUCUGCUCCAUCCUCGCCGCCAUCUCCUCUUGUUGCUUCCUUGCUGCUUCCACCUGGGCCUACAAUAUUUCAUUGCAAUGUUACAAUGCAAAGCUAAAGUAUAGCAACCAACGAACAAUGAAUGGAAGAGAAAGAACCUGGAGAGCCUCCAUCUGGAACUGUCCAAUGGUUGGUCGUAGCCGUAUCGCCGGGCUCGAGUCCGUGCUCCUUGCUUGGAUCUGGGAGAGAGUGGCAGUAGAGGCCGUGUUGAUUACGCCGUCGCCAAUCCAAUAUCGGCCAUGCUUCUUGCCUCCUCCCACCCUCAUCACGAUUUCUCCAUCAAUAUCCUCAGAGCUUGAAUCGAAGUCUGGCCCGUGAACCUCCCUUGCCAUCACUGUAUAUUCCUUUGCCGAGUGCCCGAGAUAAAGCACUCGGCAAAUAGAAAACACUCGGCAACUUUACUGUUUCCCGUAGUGUCGCUAUUUUUGCAGGUUCUCGACCAGGCCAGUUCUUUGGGCCAACCUAUCAUUCACGACUUAAACAUACGGUGGCUGUAGAAAUGUUCUAUUCUUUUCAACAAUACCAGCUGGUUCCUCCGUUUUUAUUCCACCAAUACAAGCACCACCUUGUAACAUUUCCUAUGUUUUUUUUUCCUUUCGUCUGUUUUCUACAUGCGUUGCUCUUUCAUGCAUUUUUUUCCAUUCCUGUAUUCCAAAUAGGUCUACAUGAACACAAAAUGAACUAGGGGACAGAAAAAGCCAGUGAAGCCAAUUUUGAGCUUCACCAGCUACUUGCUACAUAAAGUGUGCUAUAGUGACGUGUUUUAGCAAAACAUGUUAUCAAUGACUUGACAUUGGUGACGUGUUAAAACGCGUUAUCUCAAUGGCAAAUCAUUGGUGACGUGUUUUAAAAAAACAUGUCACCGUGAGAGUCAUUGGUGAAGGGUAAUUAUAAUGCGUCACUAAUGUUGUAGCAUUAGUUAUGAUAAUUUAGUAACGCAAAAAUCUACCAUCAGUAUUGAGCUUUAGAGCCAUCGCUAAUGUGGGUUUCUUACAUAGUGAUGCAAGCUCUACAAGGUGCUGUUGCUGCCAUUUUAAAGCAUCCCAUGACUACAUGUUAAUAACAUAGUUUACCAUAUAUCAUAAAAAUAUUAGUUACAAUAAGCACAUACGCAUGUGGAAGAGUCCGAAUGCACCGGUUGAGGACUAAACACAUUGAAUUACUAGAACCAAAUGUGUGUUUAGAACAAAGACAGGGGUCAAGGUUUGGGUAACCGCAUUAAAAACAUUGGAUUUUACUGUACAUGAACACUUAGUUACCAUUACCAUGCCUUGAGCACCUAGUUACAACAAACAUUAAUUUAGCCACUUUAGAGCUUCCAGAAUCGCUAUAAAUAAUAUACCUACGCCGUACCAUGAAAACAUCAAGAAGAGAGACGGAUACAUGGACCACCAUCAAGCGAGUAGUGACAGCACGCACAAGAAUACCCGGAACCUGUUAGCUUGUCUGUAGUGAUCUGUUUUCUUCCCCAUAAAAUCCAUGAGUAUUGCCACAAAUAAUGAAAGAGGCUGACCAAGCUAGCAAGGAGGUAGAGCAAACGUGAUACACGGCCUGCCAAGAUUGCCCUGGAUACGCCAAUAAGAGCGACAGAUACAUGGAUCACACCAAUAUGGUGAAACGUAUAUUCAUCACACAAGCAAAGCUGGUCAGUUUAUCCAUGGUCAAAUUGUGGUCUUUGUUUUCACUUGAGAGCUAAUUGAGGCACUAUAAUAUGGGCAGGCCUAUCUUCAACAGACAUGACAGCUACAGGGAACUUGACAUAAUUUGCUGGGCCGCCUGUGCACAAUUAUUUGUUUUAUUGUCCUUGCAUAGAAUGCUAAAAUACUCUUUACAAAAUGUUGGAUCUAAUAUUUGAAAUAUAGAGUAGUAAUCAUAUAUUGAUCAACAACUUGAAAUUAUCUGUACAUUCUCGGUGAAGCUGUUGAACUAAUUUUUGCAAAUUAUUAAUUCAUCUCAUUACGUAAAGAAAAAAGUAAGUGGAUAAGAUAUUUCGUGGACCACAUCACUGCAAACAUGUCAUGGAGAGACAGACCAAGGAGGCAGGACGUGAUACACGACUUACCCUAGGUUGCCGUGGAACCGCCAAGAAGAGAUACAGAUACAUGGACCACACCAUCUUGGGAGUAGUGACAGCAUAUAUGCAGAAGAAUACCCCGUGCCUAUUUGCAUGCAUGUCUCAAGUGAUCUGUUUUCUUCAGAAAAUACAUGAGCAUUGCCAGAAAGAAUGGCAAGAGACAAACAUGUCAUAGAGACUUGCAUGUCUUGCCUUGGAUACGCCAAGAAGAGGGACACAUACAUGGAUAACACAAAUCUAGUGACACGUAUAUUCAUCACAAAGGCAAAUCUGAUAAUUUUAUCCAUGGAGCAGACCAAGGAGAAAUUGAUGACGGACAUGUGAUCUCUGUAUUCAGUUGAAAGCUAAUUGAGCUACACUAAUAUGAGCAGGACUAUAUUCAAGAGACUUGUUGAGAGCUACAGGGAACUUGUAAUAAUUUGCUGGGCGGCCUGCGCACAAUGAUUUGUUAUACAUAGUUGAAAUAUUUCAAGAAUUUAUCAACCUCAUACUCUGAAACCCUUGGUGCAAUGUACUCUGCUUUCCGAGGUAGACUGUUCACGUAAAAUGAGGUCAUGCGUAAGACGGAAUCGGAUUGGAUUCACAGGGAAUCAGAUUUGGAUAGCACCUUUUAGCAGGUUUUUAGUCAAAUGCAAAUUCGGAUCCACAUGUGGUUGAAUGCGAGUUCAAAAUUCUACUUGGAUAUCCAUUUAAUUUAGGUGAUAGCAAUUAGCACAAAAUGUUGGAUGAACAAAAUCAUAGUUAGACAUACAAUUACAUGUAUGGUUAAAGUAUAAUACAAUACACCAAGAUUAUUCCUUGAAAAUAUUUCUUAAAAAUAUUAUAAUAAAUGAAUAAAUAUAAUUGUGGCCACCAACAAAUAGUCGGUGGUCGCUAAGUUGGAGCCAUUUCUGGUUACUAAUGCGGCCUUCUCCUCGACCAGCGACGACAGCUGAGCUUGUUCCUUCUGACACUAAAUCAUCAGAGUCUUCCCUCCACUACUAUAGAAUGCACCUUUAGCACCAAUUGGGAAAUCCCCUUCAGUAUUGGAUGCUGCAACCAGUGCUAUAUAUCAAAAUGGAGACUAAAAGCCUCGGUCUUGGGUACCGGUUGCAUAACGCAUUACUAAAGGAGGCAAAAGAGAAAUGUAACAAAAAAAAUAUUUUGAAUUCCAAGAAUGUUUCACUAUUCAAGAUGACUAGCUGAGAGUCAACAGACAAGAUACUAGGAAUGUGGGUGCUUGAAUGCAUUUGUACAGAGGUCAUACUAUUUACAAACUCUUCUAUGUUUCCAUAUGACUACCUACUUCAAUGUCACGCGAGCCAUUCAGCUGGACACAUGGCACACUAGCUUGCAUGUCGAAUCCAUGAUUAAUUAUUUCCACUUGUGAUCUCUUACCAGUAUUUGUCCAGACUAGAAACGUGCAACACAUUUUUAGGAUAUGGACACGCAUAUAUUUGGACUAGUAUACAGGUCACCUUUGGAUGCGUACAAGGAUGACCGGGAGGGACUAGAAAUGGUCUAGUUUUGAUUGGACUACAAAACUUUUUGUACAGUGAAUAGAGAAUAUAUAUUAUUGUUGGAAUACGAGGUAGGCUACACUAUCGCAAUUCUGAUAUUCUACCGCGUAUAACCAAGAAGAACUGUCGUAUAAGGAUCACGGGAUUACCACUCGACGCACUACUGGUGCGGAAGAUGUAGAUAUGCGUCGAUGCAGUGAAGACGAUCACGUAGUCGUAUGUAGUCGAUCAACGUAGUCGUACAUAGUCGAUCACGUCCAGCAGCUCCUCAGCAGCUCGUCCACGUGCAGCAAGAUCGCCUCCGGUACCGCGGCUCGUCGUUGGCUUGUCGUGGCUCGUCGACGGCUCGUCGGCGGCUCGUCCAAGUGCUGCAGGCGCAACACCUCCAAGGUAUCCACACGUGCAGGGAGGAAGCGUCGCAAGCCGGACUGCUAGAUCCACGAGUUGCAACAGGCGAGGGCGUGGGAGGCGCGGCAGGUGUGUUUCGCCAAAAAGGUGUAAACCCUAGGGCGCCCCCACCCCUCUAUUUAUAGAGGUUCCUGACGGGCCUCUGGAUCCGAGGCCCAUUAGUACUUCUAAACCUAAUCCAACUCGGAUCAGAUCCGAAUUGGGCUUCCAGCCCCUUAAGUGUGUGACCCUAUAAGUUCGGAUACGUAUAGACAUGGCCCGAGUACUCCUACUCGGCCCAAUAGUCGGUAGCGGCCUCUAGCAAGACGUGCCAACUCCUAUACGCACACGAAGAUCAUAUCAGACGAACCAUCACAACAUAAUAUACAUGCUAUUCCCUUUGCCUCACGAUAUUUGGUCUAGCUUCAAGCCGACCGCUCUUUCUCAGUCCUGUGAUUCGGAAUCCCUUUGUAGGUUAACUCUUAACCGUACGUAGCAUGGCCAUGCAUUUUCGGAUCUGAUCACUCGAGGGGCCCAGAGAUAUCACUCUCAAUCAGAGAGGGGCAAAUCCCAUCUUGAUUGACCAUGUCUCAUAGCAUGCUUCUUGACAAACCUAAAAACUACCUUUAUAACUUCCCUGUUACGGCGUAGUGUUUGAUAGCUCCUAAGUAGGUCGAUCCACAUCUAGAAUACAUGCGACAAUUUCAGGUCUAAGGACAAAGCGUAUAUGUUGUUUAAAGAGAGAACUACUUCUCGUGUUGGGUCAGUCCCAGCACAUGUCUCCACAUGUGUCCACAUUAUUAGUUCAACAUCUCCAUGUCCAUGACUUGUGAAACAUAGUCAUCAACUAAUACAUGUGCUAGUCUAAUAUUCAUGUGUGUCCUCACAUGAACUCCGACUAGGGACAACUUUAGAAUAACCAUACAAGUAAAGAGUUUCACAUACAAUUCACAUAAUUGCAAAUCAAUUCAAGUAGCCUUCAAUGGAUAUUCAAUGAACACAACAUACAAAUCAUGGAUACAAAUGGAAUAUCAUCAUCUCUAUGAUUGCCUCUAGGGCAUACCUCCAACAGUCUCCCACUUGCACUAGAGUCAAUCUAGAAGGUACCUAAUACCCAUAGCUCUUACAUGCGCAUCAUGCUUAGCCUGCGGGAGUGGUUUUGUCAACGGAUCAGAAAUGUUCAGAUCCGUGUGUAUUUUGCAUAUCUUGAUCUCACCCCGGUUAACGAAGUCUCGAAUGAGAUGAAAUCGCCGCAUUACAUGUUUGUUCUUCUGGUGGUUCCUUGGCUCCUUUGCUUGCGCAAUUGCCCCAUUGUUAUCACAGUAGAGAUUCAAUGGGCUGGACCCAUUCGGGAACACACCAAGCUCAAUGAGGAAAUUCCUUAUCCAAACACCUUCCUUCGCGGCUUCCGAAGCCGCGAUGUACUCGGCUUCUGUCGUAGAAUCGGCCACCGUCUCCUGCUUGGAACUCUUCCAACUAACAGCACCACCAUUUAGCGUGAACACAAAUCCUGUUUGUGACUUUGAAUCAUCUCUGUCGGUUUGGAAACUAGCAUCGGUGUAACCUGUUACAACGAGCUCCUCCUCACCUCCAUAGACGAGGAAUAUAUCUUUAGUCCUUCUCAAGUACUUAAGAAUGUUUUUCACCGCUGUUCAGUGACUCUCACCUGGAUCAGAUUGGUGUCUGCUUGUCAUACUUAGCACAUAUGAAACAUCUGGGCGAGUACUUAUCAUUGCAUACAUGAUAGAUCCAAUAGCCGAGGCAUAUGACACUCUACUCAUGUGAUCCCGCUCAUCAGCAGUCGAAGGACACUGAGUCUUGCUGAGAUGUAUGCCAUGUGACAUAGGCAAGAACCCUUCCAUGCUGAACCGCUUCAACACUUUGUCAAUGUAAGUAUCUUGGCUUAAACCUAUAAGCCUUCUCGAUCUAUCUCUAUAGAUCUUAAUGCCCAGAAUAUAUGCCGCUUCCCCUAAGUCCUUCAUCGAAAAACUAUUUUUCAGUGAAGUCUUUAUGGACUCAAGCAUAGGAAUGUUAUUUCCAAUCAGUAAUAUGUCAUCCACAUAUAAGAUUAGAAAUACUACAGAGCUCCCACUAACCUUCUUGUAAACACAAGACUCUUCUUCGUUCUUGGUGAAGUCAAACCCUUUGACCACUUCAUCAAAACGAAUGUUCCAACUCCUAGAUGCUUGCUUCAAUCAAUAAAUGGAUCUCUGAAGCUUGCAUACCUUUCCAGCAUUUUUCGGAUCGACAAAACCCUUGGACUGUAUCAUAUACACGUCCUCAGUUAGGUUUCCAUUCAGGAAAGCUGUCUUGACAUCCAUCUGCCAUAUCUCAUAAUCGAAAUAUGCAGCCAAACUUGAUUGUCUCCCAUGGACUCUAUUUCGGAUUGCAUGGCAUUCUGCCAUUUUUCGGAGUCUGGGUCCAUCAUUGCUUCUGCAUAUGUCACAGGCUCAUCAUUGUCCAACAAUAAUAUUUCCUGCAUUUCGCGGAGCCUUGCCGACCUUCGUGGUUGUGGCGGUGCUUCUCUUGCCAUGGGUAUCUCAACUUGUUCUGCUACGUUAGCAUCACUCAUUGAUUCUUGCCCGAUCGGCUCAUCUUGAACUUCUUCAAGAUGCACUGUCUUUCCACUCUUUUCUCCUUUGAGAAACUCUUUCUCUAGGAAAACCCCGUUCCGAGCGACAAACACUUUGCCUUCUGAUCAGUUGUAAAAAUAAUAUCCCAAAGUUUCCUUUGGAUAUCCCACGAAAAUGCACUUAUCCGACUUGGGUGCGAUCUUGUCCGACUGAAGUCGCUUGACAAACACAUCACAUCCCCAAAUCUUUAGAAAAGACAAACUAGGAACCUUUCCAGUCCAUAUCUCAUAUGGUGUCUUAACUACGGAUUUAGAUGGUACCCUAUUAAGUGUGAAAGCUGCUGUUUCUAGAGCGUAUCCCCAAAAUGACAACGGUAGGUCCGACUGGCUCAUCAUUGAUCGAACCAUGUCUAACAAAGAUCGAUUACGUCGCUCGGACACACCGUUUCUCUGAGGUGAUCCAGGCGGCGUAAGUUGUGGAACAAUUCCGCAACUCUUUAGAUGAUUGCUAAACUUGUGGCUCAAAUACUCGCCUCCACGAUCAGAUUGUAAGGCCUUAAUUUUCUUGACACGCUAAUUUUCAACUUCAUUCUGAAAAUCCUUGAACUUUUCAAAGGUUUCAGACUUGUGCCUCAUCAAGUAGACAUAGCCAUAUCUACUAAAAUCAUCAGUGAAAGAUAUGAAGUAUUGGAAUCCUCCUCUAGCCGUCGUGCUCAUUGGUCCGCAUACAUCACUAUGUACGAGUUCCAACAAGUCUACUGCUCUCUCAGGAAAUCCUGUGAAAGACGUCUUGGUCAUCUUGCCUAGCAAGCAAGCCUCACAUGUCUCGUAUGAUUCAAAAUCAAACGAAGUUAGAAGUCCAUCAGAAUGGAGCUUCUUCAUGCGUUUUUCACUUAUAUGACCCAAACGACAAUGCCACAAGUAGGUAGGACUCAAAUCAUUAGGCCGAGGCCUUUUAGCACUUACAUUACAGACAGGUGAACCAUCAAGAUUUAAAACAAAUAAUCCAUUCACAAUGGGUGCAAAAGCCAUAAACAUAUUAUUCUUAGAGAUCACACAACCAUUGUUUUCACUCGCAAAUGAAUAACCAUCCUUCAUCAAGCAUGAAGGAGACAAAAUGUUUCGACUUAAACUAGGAACAAAAUAACAAUUAUUCAACUCCAUAAUAAAUGCUGACGGGAGGUGGAGUUGCAUCGUCCCGACGGUCAACGCAGCAACUCUUGCAUUAUUGCCCACGCGGAAAUCAACUUCUCCUCUUUCCACGCUUCUACUUCUUAUCAUUCCCUGCAUCGAAUUGCAAAUAUGAGCAACCGAUCCGGUAUCAAAUACCCAAGAAUUAAUAAUUGUAUCAGCGAGAAAUAUGUUGUCUAUGACAUUAACAACAAGCGUACCUGAGGUAGAAGUACUCUUACUUCCUCCAUUCUUCAACGAAGCUAGGUACUGCUUGCAGUUUCUCUUCCAGUGACCAAGUUCAUGACAGUAAAAGCACUCUUUGUCUGGAGCAGGUCCAGGUCCAGCUUUAACCUUGGGCGCUCGCUGGGUUUGGCUUGGAAAUUCCAGCCUUGCCCUUCUUCUUCCAAGAAUUGCCCUUCUUCUUAAAGCUAGGCUUGUUCUGUAUAGCCAUCACAUGGCUAGUACAAGCGCUUUUCUUGAUGUCUACCUCUGCUGUCUUGAGCAUACCACACAGUUCAUUCAAACCCUUCUCCGUCCCAUGCAUAUGGUAGUUCGAGAUGAAGUUCCCAUAGCUAGGCGGAAGAGAUGAAAGAAUGAAGUCAGUGGCCAACUCUUUGCCCAUUGGGAAGCCCAGCUUCUCCAAUCGCUGAGUGUAACCAACCAUGUUGAUUACAUGUGGUCCUACUGCUGCGUCUUCUGCUAGCUUGCACUCCAGAAAAGCUUUGGACACAUUGAACCUUUCAGUCCUAGCCUGUGUCUGGAACAUGUCCUUGAGCGCCACGAUCAUAUCGUGUGCCUCAUGAUUUGUUUCGAACUGCAUCUGCAGCUCGGGUUCCAUGCAAGCAAGCAUAAGGCAGCUUACCUCAAGAUUAGCAUCAAAUGCCUUCUUGUAAGCAGCCUUAACGGCAGCAGAUGCAUCAUCAGCAGGUACUGGUGGUAGUGGGGUAUCUAGAACAUCUUCCUUUUUAUCGGCCCUGAGAACAAUUCUCAGGUUACGGAUCCAAUCCGAGUAGUUUGUUCCAUUCAACUUGUCCUUCUCAAGGACCGAGCGCAAAGCAAACGAUGUGGUGGUGUUGCUAGGUGCCAUUUAAUCUACAACAAAAGUAAUGCAAAAUACACUAAGACAAACGUAUCCAUGAUAGAGCAAAUUACAUUAAACUAUUUUAACAGAAUCUACUCCCACUAAAAUCAAUAUCCCUCUAUUGAAACUUAGUGAUUCAGGAUCCACAACUAACAAGUCUACUAGUGAGCUUUAGCAUCACCGCUAGCAAACGAGGUAGAUCGGUAAGCAACUUUUGCUAAUCAUAUCACAUAUGACUCCUGUUGUUGGGUGACAUCUCCAUGUCUCGGCGCCCAACCAUUAUGCCCCAAGGUCCUUAACCGUUAAGAUGACCUCGUUAAGCAAACCAACCCUUAUGCGUGUAAGUGUCCGACACAAACCCGUCUAGUCAAGGAAAACUAGUGGCACCCUAAUUUCAUAGACCCACCACUAAUUGUACAAGACAUGGGACGGUGCAAGUUUUAGUUGGGAGGGCAUACUAACUUAAAUUUUUUGUGAGGGAUCGUUCUACUUCUAACAUCACAGCAUGCAGAAAGUAAAACAUAAACAGAAUAGCAUUCACACAGCUGUGACACAGUAUGGCCCGUUUUUAUAUGGUGAUCUCCAUCUCCAUAGAACCUGUUCACCAUGGUGAUCUCCAUCUCCAUGUUCCAUGUGCGCCAUCCUCCUGGUGAGGAGUCCUCCAAGAACUAGAACAUGCUAUUACACCUAAUAGCUAGUAAAGAAUCUAGUAAUGAAGAUUACAUAGUUGCUUGGAUCAUCACAGAUUGGUACGCAGACCAUUAAAUACAAUAAAGUGACAACACAUAUGGCUCCUGCCGUGUUGCCGUACGCGCGACACGCAGGUCACGAAUGAGUUACACACAUGCAUCACAUACACAAGGGGGCCAUACUGAUCACAAGAUACAUACAUACAUCCUGCAAAACAGAGUUAGGCGUCCUAACGUUCCAAACUUCGAAGGCCCGAAACUCCAUCUUCCAAGCCGAAUUUGGGAAAUCUAAUUUUGCCGAAAACGGCAAAGCGGUUGAAUUUCAUGUGUAACUUUUUCUGUAGAUCAAUUUUCAUAUAAAAUUCGCCCCGAUCCGAGAUCGUACCGAAAAGUUACGGCUGAUUUACCGAAGCAUACGCAUACGGCAAAAAUUCCGACCCCGGCAGUAGAUCCCAUCUACUAUUGCACAUCUAAUGCGCCUGGCGUAUGAUCCUGGAUUUCGAUUCGACCAAUCAUAUUGAUCUUCGCUCACUGCAACUGGAAUUACGUGUAUCACUUAACUCGUCGGCGGCUCGUCGGCGGCUCAUCCAAGUGCUGCAGGCCCAACACCUCCAAGGUAUCCACACGUGCAGGGAGGAAGCGUCGCAAACCGGACUGCUAGAUCCGCGAGUUGCAAUAGGCGAGGGCGUGGGAGGCGCCGCAGGUGUGUUUCGCCAAAAAGAUGUAAACCCUAGGGCGCCCCCACCCCUCUAUUUAUAGAGGUUCCUGACGGGCCUCUGGAUCCGAGGCCCAUUAGUACUUCUAAACCUAAUCCAACUCGGAUCAGAUCCGAAUUGGGCUUCCAGCCCCUUAAGUGUGUGACCCUAUGGGUUCGGAUACGUAUAGACAUGGCCCGAGUACUCCUACUCGGCCCAAUAGUCGGUAGCGGCCUCUAGCAAGACGUGCCAACUCCUAUACACACACGAAGAUCAUAUCAGAUGAACCAUCACAACAUAAUAUACAUGCUAUUCCCUUUGCCUCACGAUAUUUGGUCUAGCUUCAAGCCGACCGCUCUUUCUCAAUCCUGUGAUUCGGAAUCCCUUUGUAGGUUAACUCUUAACCGUACGUAGCAUGGCCAUGCAUUUUCGGAUCCGAUCACUCGAGGGGCCCAGAGAUAUCACUCUCAAUCAGAGAGGGGCAAAUCCCAUCUUGAUUGACCAUGUCUCAUAGCAUGCUUCUUGACAAACCCGAAAACUACCUUUAUAACUACCCUGUUACGGCGUAGCAUUUGAUAGCCCCUAAGUAGGUCGAUCCACAUCUAGAAUACAUGCGACAAUCUCAGGUCUAAGGACAAAGCGUAUAUGUUGUUUAAAGAGAGAACUACUUCUCGUGUUGGGUCAGUCCCAGCACAUGUCUCCACAUGUGUCCACAUUAUUAGUUCAACAUCUCCAUGUCCAUGACUUGUGAAACAUAGUCAUCAACUAAUACAUGUGCUAGUCUAAUAUUCAUGUGUGUCCUCACAUGAACUCCGACUAGGGACAACUUUAGAAUAACCAUACAAGUAAAGAGUUUCACAUACAAUUCACAUAAUUGCAAAUCAAUUCAAGUAGCCUUCAAUGGAUAUUCAAUGAACACAACAUACAAAUCAUGGAUACAAAUGGAAUAUCAUCAUCUCUAUGAUUGCCUCUAGGGCAUACCUCCAACAAUUAUUUCAUGUAAAUUUUUGACAAUUUUUUAAAAUUGUUUGAUAUUUUUUAAAUUUUUUUUAAAAUAACUUUGCCGAGUGUCCUAUUGUAGACACUCGGCAAAGCAGCCUUCACCGAGUGUUACCCCUGGGACACUCGGCGAAUUAAUGCCCGGCCGCUCAAGAAUAUGUGCCCGGCCCCCUCACUCUCCCGGCCCCCCUCACUCUCACUCCCCUCACUCCCUCCUCUCUCCCUCCUCUCUCCCUCUCGCCGCCGCCCGAAACCCCCGCCGCCGCCCGCCGCCCGGCAUGCCGCCCAGCGCCCCCCGCCGCCGCCCGGCGCUCCCGAAUCCGCCGCCGCCCGCCCGGCGCCCGGCCCCCGGAUCCGCCGCCGCCGGCCGCCCGGCGCCCCCGGAUUCGCCGCCGCCCGCCCGGCCCCCGGCCCCCGGAUCAGCCGCCGCCCGCCGCCCGGCGCACGGCGCCCCCGGAUCCGCCGCCGCCUGCCCGGCGCCCGGCCCCUGGCCCCCUGAUCCGCCGCCGCCCGCCCGGAUCCGCCGCCGCCCGCCCGGCGCCCGGCCCCCGGCCCCCGGAUCCACCGCCGCCCCCCCGGCCCCCGGAUCCGCCGCCCGCCCGUCCCCUCCACCGGAUCCGCCGGCGCCGGGGCCUGAAGAGAAGAGAAGAGGAGAGGAUGGUGGCGGCGGCGGCCGCGGCGGCGGAGCAGGUGGCAGAGCAUGCAUGAUUUUUUUUUAUUUUUUCAAUAAUUGUUCGCCAAGUGUUUUCUGGGCACUCGGCAAAGUCUUUGCCGAGUGCCCGACACAAAACACUCGGCGAACCAGUGUUUGCCGUCAAGAUUUUUGCCGUGUGUCGUUUGCCGAGUGUUACACUCGGCAAACGCUUUGUCGAGUGUUUUUGGGGUUUCGCGGAGUGACCCUGGCACUCGGCAUCACGCAUGUUUCCCUUAGUGAACUUGAAAUUAUCUGUACAUUCUCGGUGAAGCUGUUGAACUAAUUUUUGCAAAUUAUUAAUUCAUCUCAUUACGCAAAGAAAAAAGUAAGUGGAUAAGAUAUUUCGUGGACCACAUCACUGCAAACAUGUCAUGGAGAGACAGACCAAGGAGGCAGGACGUGAUACACGACUUACCCUAGGUUGCCGUGGAACCGCCAAGAAGAGAUACAGAUACAUGGACCACACCAUCUUGGGAGUAGUGACAGCAUAUAUGCAGAAGAAUACCCCGUGCCUAUUUGCAUGCAUGUCUCAAGUGAUCUGUUUUCUUCAGAAAAUACAUGAGCAUUGCCAGAAAGAAUGGCAAGAGACAAACAUGUCAUAGAGACUUGCAUGUCUUGCCUUGGAUACGCCAAGAAGAGGGACACAUACAUGGAUAACACAAAUCUAGUGACACGUAUAUUCAUCACAAAGGCAAAUCUGAUAAUUUUAUCCAUGGAGCAGACCAAGGAGAAAUUGAUGACGGACAUGUGAUCUCUGUAUUCAGUUGAAAGCUAAUUGAGCUACACUAAUAUGAGCAGGACUAUAUUCAAGAGACUUGUUGAGAGCUACAGGGAACUUGUAAUAAUUUGCUGGGCGGCCUGCGCACAAUGAUUUGUUAUACAUAGUUGAAAUAUUUCAAGAAUUUAUCAACCUCAUACUCUGAAACCCUUGGUGCAAUGUACUCUGCUUUCCGAGGUAGACUGUUCACGUAAAAUGAGGUCAUGCGUAAGACGGAAUCGGAUUGGAUUCACAGGGAAUCAGAUUUGGAUAGCACCUUUUAGCAGGUUUUUAGUCAAAUGCAAAUUCGGAUCCACAUGUGGUUGAAUGCGAGUUCAAAAUUCUACUUGGAUAUCCAUUUAAUUUAGGUGAUAGCAAUUAGCACAAAAUGUUGGAUGAACAAAAUCAUAGUUAGACAUACAAUUACAUGUAUGGUUAAAGUAUAAUACAAUACACCAAGAUUAUUCCUUGAAAAUAUUUCUUAAAAAUAUUAUAAUAAAUGAAUAAAUAUAAUUGUGGCCACCAACAAAUAGUCGGUGGUCGCUAAGUUGGAGCCAUUUCUGGUUACUAAUGCGGCCUUCUCCUCGACCAGCGACGACAGCUGAGCUUGUUCCUUCUGACACUAAAUCAUCAGAGUCUUCCCUCCACUACUAUAGAAUGCACCUUUAGCACCAAUUGGGAAAUCCCCUUCAGUAUUGGAUGCUGCAACCAGUGCUAUAUAUCAAAAUGGAGACUAAAAGCCUCGGUCUUGGGUACCGGUUGCAUAACGCAUUACUAAAGGAGGCAAAAGAGAAAUGUAACAAAAAAAAUAUUUUGAAUUCCAAGAAUGUUUCACUAUUCAAGAUGACUAGCUGAGAGUCAACAGACAAGAUACUAGGAAUGUGGGUGCUUGAAUGCAUUUGUACAGAGGUCAUACUAUUUACAAACUCUUCUAUGUUUCCAUAUGACUACCUACUUCAAUGUCACGCGAGCCAUUCAGCUGGACACAUGGCACACUAGCUUGCAUGUCGAAUCCAUGAUUAAUUAUUUGCACUUGUGAUCUCUUACCAGUAUUUGUCCAGACUAGAAACGUGCAACACAUUUUUAGGAUAUGGACACGCAUAUAUUUGGACUAGUAUACAGGUCACCUUUGGAUGCGUACAAGGAUGACCGGGAGGGACUAAUGGAUACAAGGAAGGGACCAUCAGGAUUAAUAUUGACAUAUGCCACAUGACAAUCUUCAUUGUCAUGCAAUCCCUAUCAACAAUCAUGGAAUCCCUAGUGUACUAAUCCCUGGAGGGUUGUGUGGAAAUUUAUUUUACCUUGCGGUGAAAAUCUCAUGAGCAGUCAUUAGUUAAGCUGACUAGCUGAGAUAUAAUAGACAAGCUAGUAAGAUUGGGAGCAUCAAUGCAUCCAUACAGGGUCACAAUAUCCUUUCCAUUCACUUUUAUAUAUAACCCUACGAAUACAAGUCCAACGAAAUGCGGGCCUUUCGAUCAAGAUAAAUUAAAUGGCCCACUUGUAUUUCUAAUCCAGGAUUAACUAUGCCCUCUGUUCAUCUCUUGCAAGCACGUGCAACACAUUUUCACGAUAUGGACAUGCAUGGAGGUUAUUAUACUGUUUGGACAAACUCUGAUGUGCCAUGACCUAAAUGCUUAGGGCCUGUUUGGUUUGAGUUGCUUAUUAUAAGCAACUUAAAGUUGCUUAAAGUUGCUUAUUUGAAGUUGCUUAUUUUUAGUCUAAACUGUUUGGAUACCCUUGCUUAUGAGCAUUGAAUGAGUUGGACAUUGUCAAAUUUGCCCCAUGUGUUGCUACCCCUCCAAUUUGCCUCCCCACCCUUCUUCUUCCUGCACACGUCCGAUCCCGGGGGCCGACGGCGGGCAGGGAGCAGCAGCAGCUGGCCAGGGCGGCGGUGGGGCGGGAGCGGCGGCGCACACCAGCACGCGCUCGCACGCCAGGUGCUAGGGCGCGGCGAGGCAGUCGUCGUAGCCCACCGGGAGCGGGUGCUCGGGCGCGAGGCGGUACUCGACGGAGAUGCCGAGCGUCGGGCGCGCGGCGGCGAGCGCGUUGAGGAAGCGAUGGUAGUGCGGCGACGUCGCGGACUCCGCCACGAAGCCGCCGCCGUGGACGUACACCACCACGGGCAGCUUCGUCUUGCCGUCGGCGGCCGCGGCCGCGGCCUGGGGUGGCAGGUAGAGGCGGACGGAGCAGGAGCCGAGGUCGACGUCCCUGGAGUCGACGCCCGUGGCGGCGUCCAGGCUAGGCCCGACCGGCGGCGGCACGAGCGGGCGCUCGAUGCGGCCGCUCUUGUAAAUCCGACGGGUCUGUGCGGAGGCGGGCGGCGGGCGGGAGCGGCGGGUGGGAGCGGCGGCAGGUGGUGCGGAGGCCGGCGGCGGCGGGUGGCGCGGAGGAAGGGGAGCUGGUGAGUGGUGACAGGGGAGGGGGGGAGAGAGAGGGGGGGGUAGGGUGCAUUGAAUGAGGGCAGGAGGUGUAAAGUGCACCUUUUAGUCCCCAUGAGCAACCAUAAGCAGCCCAAGAGUUGCUUAUUUGCUUAUAAUAAGCAACCUCAUAAGCAAGAGUGAUUGGUUUCAUAAGCAACUUAUUUGCUUAUUUUAAGUUGCUUAUGCAUAAGCAUGUGAAACCAAGCAGGUCCUUAACCUAUGGUUGUGGCACCACACAGUACAUAGUAUUUAAUAAUGCUAUUCGUUUGGUAUGUGCACAAGGGCACGCAUGAAAUGUCUGGCCCACGGUAAACAAGUACGGACGCUGCAAAUAAUCUACUCUGCUCGUCCAGUCCCUAGCCUAUAAAUAGAUGCCAUGCUAGCUCUUGUUGUGCUCACAAUUAAUCCUGACUACACACGAGCUUCUCUCCCUGGCCAAGACACAAUCAUAGUAUGAUGAAGAACAUGGCACUAGCCGGCAAUGGUAUGAAGAACUUAAUCCUCGCUGUUCUCUUACUGUGUCUAGUUAUAGGGCAGAUACAAGUGGAAGCUAAGAGCUGCUGCCCAUCCAUUACUGCAAGAAAUAUCUACAAUGCCUGCCGUAUCACGGGUACAUCCCGUCCAACGUGUGCAAAACUGUCAGGCUGCAAAAUUAUCAGCGGGGACAAAUGCAAGCCCCCUAACGACCACCUCACCCUUGACCCGGACACUGGUAAAUAAUAAAUUUAUCUCACUUGAUUUCUUCGUGUUUUGAGUCGUUAAUGUAUUUUCCAUCUGAUGAAACGUAUUGGUUUUGCAUUGAAGAGGAAGUUAAUGUGCUUAACUUCUGCAAGUUGGGGUGUGCGUCGUCUGUGUGCAACAACAUCAACGCUGGUAAGCACCUUUUGCUCAGACGGAGAAAACAAUAAUCAUUAAUUAGCGGCAGCUAGAAUCCUAUAAUCUAAUAUAUUUAUAUAUAUAUAUAAUUUUAUCAGCUCUGGGAAAUGAAGAGGCGAACGAUGCCGUUGAGAGUUGCGACCAAGCCUGCUCUAGCUUCUGCAACGUGCACGUUGGCGCUGCCACCGUGGUUGCUUAAGCAAAUGCAUCCAACUGGAUCGUCCUUGUGCUAAAUAAUUGGAUAUCGUAUCCACUUAAAGCUGCCUUGUGUAGUACGUUUUUGUUUGUGUCUCUCUUUAUAUUCCAAUAAGGUCGGUGAUCUUGAUGCCACACACUCAGACGUGUGUUCAUCUCCAGAUACUACUCCAUGCUACCUGCCCUUUGUGUUUUGUUCAAUAACUGGGUAUCAUAUCCCAGCCAGUGUGCCAUCUGUUUUGUGUUUAUUUCCUUCUAGUUUCAAAGGGGUUAUCAUGAUGUUACCUUCUUUCGAUAUGGUGCUUUGCAUGACUACUGUUGUAUGGUACCAUCUUGUUGGCCAAUAAAUACAUCUUAUCCUAUGACCCUUUGCUAUGACCCUUUGCAAAUAAGUACAAGAUUGUUAAAUACUCGGUAUAAAUUGACUACUGCUGUGAGUUCCCUUUCAGCUUAUCGUAGGCAUACAUUAUUGCUAGCACGGUGAAGACAACCAACACGAAUGGUCAAGUAAACGUACCGGUACUUUUGUAUACCAACACCCUUGCUUAAAUGUACCGGUGUUACUCCCCACUAGCACAUAUAUUCUUAUAUGCUAGCCGGCUUGAAAAUUAACCGAUUAAAAUAAUUAUUUCAAGACAGAAAUAACUUAUCGGCUUCUCGAAGCAUGUGUAAUGUGAAUUCAAGGACUUGAUGGAAGUUGAAUCGCUUAAUCUAGAUUGCUUUCAGGAUUUUGGGUAACUAAAUUUAACAUUUGCACAUACAAAUGUUAAUGUACAAAUAUUAAAUAUAGUUACCCAAGCAGAAUAUGAAGAUACUCUAUAGUAUAUAUAUACUAUAUAAAUCUAGUUAACAUUUAGUCUAAAUGUUAAAUCUAGUUACCUAAAAUCCUGAAAGCAAAAUGUAUAAAUAUAUAUCUUUUAAGGAAUCCCAAAGCAAGAGUUCAGUGGCAUUCUAUAGUCCCAUGCUGCUAGUUUGAGUUGGUCGAAGCCAACUUAAAUAGGAGAGCUCUCUCACUUCUCUAAAUACGUAACUGAAGGAGAGAAGGGGGCUUGGUUACACAACGCACGCACGCACGCAUAUUUGCGUUCUUUUCGCGUAACCAACCGCGUGACUUGAAACUUGCGACGUAGCGUGCUGCCAAGUCAAGUUGAUAUAACCUUUUUGCCGUAGGCGUGUAAUCUUUUGACAACGGUCAUUGGAGGUGAUAAGCACGCAGUCAAUACCUUAAUCCUGAGUUAAUAGGGCGGUUACUACUGCCAAUUAGUGGGGCAAUUUUGUAGGGGAAACGGUUAGCAGAGGGCUACCAUCUUCUCUAUAAGAAGUUCUGGAGACGUCCAGGAACACACAUGUACAUGUGAGAGACCCACGAAUUCCUUCCCAUCUCCCUUUUCCAUCUGGUGAAGUGUGCUAUGGUACUGAGCUGCUGGAUCUCGCCGGCUCUUCUCCUUGGCGUGCACCGAGGAGGAGGGUGAGCGGUAUCUCCGAGCUAUUGCCGUCAGGAAGCCUGCACGAGGGACAACAAUAAAGUUUUUGGGUAGCGCAACUACGCAACCGCUCGAUUCGAUCGACUAUGUUCUGCGCUGCCUCAUCUUCGAUCUGCACUGCAACACGUAACCCUGCAGCAAGUCUACACAAGGACGGAGCACUAAUCUGUAAGUCCUAGAUUGGUUUCUUACAGAGUUGUAGGUUACACAAGAUCUAGAAUUGUUACAUACUUAUUAUUAUGGGUUACAUGAUGUUUUGUACGGUUACGUCUAUUUUGCAUAUGCUAUUUUUACAUACCGUUUACAUGCAUAUGUAAUGGUUACGCCUAGCUAUUUGAAUCUAGAAUUGGGUUACAUAGCAGUAGCAAUGACUUACGUAAUAUGCCUCAUGUUUAUAUCUGGUAGAAUUUAACACGUAUCUCCAACAUAUUUUGAGGCAGUAUAAAUUUCAAUUCCUUUUGCUGCUCUGUUAAAUCCCGUCUUUCGUGUGGCCCAACACUCUAGUAUGCAUGUAGCACCAAGCUUGUUUGAGCCGCUUUGUGCUCUGAUUUUGCUGUCUGUAUCAGGUUGGACUGUUUCUUUGUCUUGCGAUGUAUAGCUUCAUAUCUUCUAGAGGUUAGACAGCAAAACCCGCGUUCUCUUAAGGCAACAACUCGAAGAAUCUGCAGCGCUCCUGAUAUAUCACUGCUGCAGAAACAAUCUUUAGUACUGAUUUCCAACCCCCUUUAGUAUCGGUUUGGCAAUCAGUACCACUACGUCGGUACUAAAGGGAGUUCUCUAGAAUCGGGUCAAAUAACUGGUACUAAAAGUGCUCCUCUACUACCAGUUGGUAACACCAAUAGGUAGUAACUUUUUUUGCACCCAAAAAAUUAAAGAAAAACAGCCGGGAGGCUCGCGCACACACGCAUCAUGAGUAAUAUGCGCGUGCAUGGUUUGUGGGAUUCCAACCCACGACCAAGCUAUAAGCACGUAGUUACAAAAAAAUUAAACACUUAGACAUUUUAGAGCAUCCCAAAUAACUACAAAUUCUUUAGUUUACCAUAUACCAUAAAAUAUUAGUUAAAAUAAGAGCAUACGCACGUCGGAAGAGUCCCAAUGCACCGGUUGAGGAUCAGACCAGGCACUUUGAAUGCACAUGCCAUAAGAUAAUUCUGCAGGACGAUGAUUGCAAUAAUGGACCAUCGAGAAGAUAGGGGCGAUGGGGUUGCCUCAUCAAUUAUGACUUGGCGCAACAAGACCAGCAAAGUCUUUAUCGACAGGGGUGGAUCAAGGGGUGGGGCGGGUAGAGCUCCAAUCUUCCUACCGCCGCUCGAACAAUGGAGCCCCCCUUAGCCCCUCCAUAAAUUUUUAGGUAGAAGAAAAAAGAAGAGAAGGGAAGGAAGGGGAAGAAUAGGGAGCCCCUCCUAAGUAGGUCGCCAUCGUGCUUCCCAACGCAUGAUCGCCGCACCGCAUCCAUUCCUCUACAAGCCUCCAGCGUCUCUCCUGCCGCUACCUCUGAACCAUGUGCAGCUGCAGACCCAACUAGUGUCUUGUCACCCAUCUCAAUCCCAACAGAGCGGCGGCUCCUGCCAGCACAAAUCUCCCUCCGCCUGUUCUUCACGAUCGAUGGCCACCACAAGCAUAAACCUCGCCUUCGCAUCCACGCAAAAGGGUCGCCGGUGUGCCUUCUCGCAUCGCUUCUCAGCCUCCUUCACUUGCGGCUGGCCAAGAACCGUGCCACCACCUCGGGUGCGCGCCACCGCUCCAGGGCCGCUACCCCAUGCGUGCGGCCGCCGCCGGCCACCACGCGUGUGCAACCGUGUCGCACCGCUUCCCUGCUCUGUGCCACCACUGCUACUGCACCACCAGCUCCACCACCUUGGGCUGGUCGCCAGGGUGACUGAUUGGUGGAUUAUUACUACAAAUAAGUUCCUUAUUAUCUGCAACUACUAUUAACUCAGGGAUACAUGCGUCUUUUGCUUCUCCUGUUAAUAUGUCCUAAAAUAUCUAGAAUGCCUUAUAUUUCUGGACGGAGGAAGUAUUUGAAUAAAAUGAACCAAUUUUAAAAAAUGUGUUGUACACUACUACAGAAAGAACUAUCAGUGUCAAACCCAAAAAUGUCGUCACUGCCAGUUUUGGGCAUCGUUGGUGAAAGGUUGGCGGUGAUGGGUAUCCCCUUCAACAACGGCACUAGAGCUAACAGUGAUUGACAUUAGAAAACGAAAAAGGGGACCCACCUAGCCACCCCUGCAACCCGGCUGGCCGUGCCUCCCGUCAUCCCCACCACCUCGCCUCCCCCGUGACCCCCCGCCGGCGCCCUUGCGCCUAGCCCCCUCGCCUGCCUGGCCGGCCACCCUCGUCACGAGAGAGAGGGGUGCAUGUUGUAUAAUUGCGUGAAUUUUUAAUGUUUAAUUUCAUGUAAGUUUCAUAUAAUAAAUUGUACAAGUUUUAUUGUAUAUAUGAAUUCCAUAUAUAUAUAUUUAUAAUUUAAUGUAUGGUUUCAUGUGUAUAUUUCAAUAAUGUGUAUAUUUAGUAGAUAGCCGAUUUUCUUUUUCUACAAGACAAGGGUUGAUGUAUAAUUACGUGUAUAUGUUUAUUGUACGGGCAAUUAGGACAAGUUUUGUAUAAAUUUCUUUUAUUUCAUGGUUGUUGUAUGGUUUCAUGUAUAUACAUUUAUUGUACUACUUGAGACAAUUUUUAAUUUAAUGUUUCUAUGGUUACAUGUGUGUAUAACUAAUUGUAUUAUUAGUUAAGAUGGGAGCCAAAGAGGAUGAAAGGUAUAUAAUGGAGCAGAUUAUUGCUGGCGGUAGUGGCUCAAACGUUGCAAGAACCUACAUCAAGGGUGAGGGUAGCUAGGUGGACAUGUACCUCAACAUGUCCAGUGAUGGCAAUGACGAUGAGGAGCACGAGCAUGACGUUUAUGAUAGUGCGGAACAAGACAUUGCAGAAUUGGAAGGUUCUAAUGAGGUGUGCUUCAUGUUGAUGAUCUGGUUGGCUUUUUUUCUUUGGUCACACCUUAGUUACCAUAGAACUUCGUCUCGGGAGAAGAUUGGAGGUGCUAUGGUGAUUGGAAUUUUAUUGCCUCCAAAUAUGAUUUCCAUCGAAUCAUAUCCCUUGUAUUUAUCUUCUUUUUAUUUGUGAGAGCAUCUUCUUUAUGCUUGCAAAACAAUUCAAGUGCACAUACUACACCUAGGGUGAUGAUUAGGAGUAGAAACAAUUGCCAACAAACGAACACCACAUCCUAAGAUUCUUAACUUGUGGUAUAAUUAGUCUAGUAAAAAGAAAGAUAAAAACCUAAUGGGUGUACGUGAGUGCAAUGCGUAUAUGCAUAUGAGUGGAAGGCAUAUAAGCAAAGAUAAUAUUUACACAUAGAUCUAAGCACCAUGUUUACAACUAAGUUGCUGAAUUUCUCCAUAGCUAUAGAGAUUAAUGAACCAAGGUCAAAACACCAUGUCUAUCCCAAGAUCAGUAAUUCUUUAUAGCACAAGAAAAAGAAAGCGCAUUGCAAAGUUUAUAAACCAACCAAUGCAGCAUGAAAACAAGAUGAAUAGCUAGCAAGGUUUAUUAAACUGAAUGAUGACGGUCUGCAAGCAAGUUUGAACACCAUCUUUACACAAGAUUGCAAAUGGAAAAUUCCCAUAUGAAGAACUAACAUGGAUAUGAAAUCAUUCAUCAUAAAGCGUAAAGAACAACCAAGCCAACCAUAUGCAAAGCAUGAAUGGAAUGCAAUGAAGGUGCAAGAGAACAUUUUUGGAUGAACCCAUUAUGAUGAUGGCAAAAUGCGCCGUGCCCCCCAGCCCCCGCGGUGAGAUCCCGCCGCUCGCUGCCGCCAGACCCUAUUAGGCCUCCACCGGCAGGUCCACCCACGGUCCCGCGCGACGUGGCAGCCUCUUGGCUCUCGGCGCUCGCGGCACGCCAGUGCUGGCGCAGCCCCACCAGGCGACUACCCUCCCCCCAUAAGGCCUCGGCCCCUCCCCAGCGCCGCCCCCCAACACCAGGACUGCCUGCUGCCCCCCACCGUGAGGUAAUCGAAAUCGACUGCUCAAUCUCUCAAUCUGUUGAUAUGAUGCACACGGUUGCAAAAAUAGAUGUGUCAAAAUAGAUGUUUUGCCAAUUGCUAUAGAUGCAUACGGUUGACAUGAAGUCAAAAAUGACAUUUGGUUCCUUGUAGGCAGUCAAAAAUGAAGAAGUCAAAAAAUAUUGAUCUGAAAUCAAUGUGGGAAAGGGCUAUGAAGACACGCAGGUAGAUUCCCUUGUGAACUUUUUAUGUCGUUCGUCUAAAUAAUUUUUUGCAAUGGGCAUACCCUACUCUGAAAUCCUGGGUCCGCCACUGAUGAUGAUGGUCUAAAAAUAAACCAAGCCUAGAUUAAUUAGCCACAACUGAAAUUAAGCAAAGGUUAAUGUCAUUGACCCUAGCUCUAUCCUAGCUUUUACCAAAGUUCCGGCACAUAUAGUGGUUGGGCCCACUCUCUCUGCUUCCCUCUCUGCUGCAUGCACGCACACGAGCAACGGGAGGCCCGACGAAGCCCAGAAGGGUUCGGCCGAACCAGUAUGAGCGCCGCUCCCUCCCAGCCUUCGCGCAGAUGCUCCUCCAACGUUCCUUGACCCCUCCCUCAGCGUCCCGUUGGGUUUAACAUUGCAGGAGAGGAGUCCCUUUUUUAAAAUCUCAACCACCUCCUCUCCCCAUUCACUCCACUCUCAUCUCCAUCAAACUCACCAAGAUCCGCACCGGAAAUCCCUGCUUACCACCAUGGCUGGCAAAGCCCUCAUCCCUUUCACCAACUUGGGCUUGACCACUGAUCUCGAUGGGGAAAUCACUCUGGCAAAUAUGCGUGUAACACUGCCCCCUUUGCCGAGGGUUAAAGCCAAAACACUCAGCAAAGUGGAUAGUACCCCCCUUUUUACCCGUUUUGUCAUGUAUAACGGACCCCUCUCAAUUCACAAUAGACAUCAUCAUAGGCAUUUAUAAUAAACAAUCACAGGCAUAAUUCACAAUCACCAUUACAAGCAUUAUUCAUAAAUAUCACAGACAUAAUCCAAAGUAAGCAUGAAACAAGCCAUAAAUCCAAGUUCAAGUCACAACUAAGUUUCAUCCAAGUUCAAGUCACAAAUGCAAUGUCUAAAUCCAUGGAGGCCAAGGAGACCACUGCGACAAAUCUUGGUCUUCAUUAUUCGAAGCCGCCGAUUGAUUCUGCACAUAGGAUAGGACAUUCUGAGCUAACAUCUAAAGUUGUCAAAAUUAAAGUAUUCAAUCUUAAGCACAAUGUGUCAAAUGACUCACAGGAGUAGUUGUGGGUGGCUGAGGCGGAGGGAACAGCAUCGAUGGCGGUGGCAAAGAUUGACCCAUGCUCGAAGCAAAAUUCUGCAUGUACUGGAACAUCUGGUCCAUCCUCAUCCGAUUUUCUUCCUCCAUCCUCUGCCGCUCGGCCUCUAACCUCCGCUGAACCAUCUGCUCCAUCCUCGCCGCCAUCUCCUCUUGUUGCUUCCUUGCUGCUUCCACCUGGGCCUACAAUAUUUCAUUGCAAUGUUACAAUGCAAAGCUAAAGUAUAGCAACCAACGAACAAUGAAUGGAAGAGAAAGAACCUGGAGAGCCUCCAUCUGGAACUGUCCAAUGGUUGGUCGUAGCCGUAUCGCCGGGCUCGAGUCCGUGCUCCUUGCUUGGAUCUGGGAGAGAGUGGCAGUAGAGGCCGUGUUGAUUACGCCGUCGCCAAUCCAAUAUCGGCCAUGCUUCUUGCCUCCUCCCACCCUCAUCACGAUUUCUCCAUCAAUAUCCUCAGAGCUUGAAUCGAAGUCUGGCCCGUGAACCUCCCUUGCCAUCACUGUAUAUUCCUUUGCCGAGUGCCCGAGAUAAAGCACUCGGCAAAUAGAAAACACUCGGCAACUUUACUGUUUCCCGUAGUGUCGCUAUUUUUGCAGGUUCUCGACCAGGCCAGUUCUUUGGGCCAACCUAUCAUUCACGACUUAAACAUACGGUGGCUGUAGAAAUGUUCUAUUCUUUUCAACAAUACCAGCUGGUUCCUCCGUUUUUAUUCCACCAAUACAAGCACCACCUUGUAACAUUUCCUAUGUUUUUUUUUCCUUUCGUCUGUUUUCUACAUGCGUUGCUCUUUCAUGCAUUUUUUUCCAUUCCUGUAUUCCAAAUAGGUCUACAUGAACACAAAAUGAACUAGGGGACAGAAAAAGCCAGUGAAGCCAAUUUUGAGCUUCACCAGCUACUUGCUACAUAAAGUGUGCUAUAGUGACGUGUUUUAGCAAAACAUGUUAUCAAUGACUUGACAUUGGUGACGUGUUAAAACGCGUUAUCUCAAUGGCAAAUCAUUGGUGACGUGUUUUAAAAAAACAUGUCACCGUGAGAGUCAUUGGUGAAGGGUAAUUAUAAUGCGUCACUAAUGUUGUAGCAUUAGUUAUGAUAAUUUAGUAACGCAAAAAUCUACCAUCAGUAUUGAGCUUUAGAGCCAUCGCUAAUGUGGGUUUCUUACAUAGUGAUGCAAGCUCUACAAGGUGCUGUUGCUGCCAUUUUAAAGCAUCCCAUGACUACAUGUUAAUAACAUAGUUUACCAUAUAUCAUAAAAAUAUUAGUUACAAUAAGCACAUACGCAUGUGGAAGAGUCCGAAUGCACCGGUUGAGGACUAAACACAUUGAAUUACUAGAACCAAAUGUGUGUUUAGAACAAAGACAGGGGUCAAGGUUUGGGUAACCGCAUUAAAAACAUUGGAUUUUACUGUACAUGAACACUUAGUUACCAUUACCAUGCCUUGAGCACCUAGUUACAACAAACAUUAAUUUAGCCACUUUAGAGCUUCCAGAAUCGCUAUAAAUAAUAUACCUACGCCGUACCAUGAAAACAUCAAGAAGAGAGACGGAUACAUGGACCACCAUCAAGCGAGUAGUGACAGCACGCACAAGAAUACCCGGAACCUGUUAGCUUGUCUGUAGUGAUCUGUUUUCUUCCCCAUAAAAUCCAUGAGUAUUGCCACAAAUAAUGAAAGAGGCUGACCAAGCUAGCAAGGAGGUAGAGCAAACGUGAUACACGGCCUGCCAAGAUUGCCCUGGAUACGCCAAUAAGAGCGACAGAUACAUGGAUCACACCAAUAUGGUGAAACGUAUAUUCAUCACACAAGCAAAGCUGGUCAGUUUAUCCAUGGUCAAAUUGUGGUCUUUGUUUUCACUUGAGAGCUAAUUGAGGCACUAUAAUAUGGGCAGGCCUAUCUUCAACAGACAUGACAGCUACAGGGAACUUGACAUAAUUUGCUGGGCCGCCUGUGCACAAUUAUUUGUUUUAUUGUCCUUGCAUAGAAUGCUAAAAUACUCUUUACAAAAUGUUGGAUCUAAUAUUUGAAAUAUAGAGUAGUAAUCAUAUAUUGAUCAACAACUUGAAAUUAUCUGUACAUUCUCGGUGAAGCUGUUGAACUAAUUUUUGCAAAUUAUUAAUUCAUCUCAUUACGUAAAGAAAAAAGUAAGUGGAUAAGAUAUUUCGUGGACCACAUCACUGCAAACAUGUCAUGGAGAGACAGACCAAGGAGGCAGGACGUGAUACACGACUUACCCUAGGUUGCCGUGGAACCGCCAAGAAGAGAUACAGAUACAUGGACCACACCAUCUUGGGAGUAGUGACAGCAUAUAUGCAGAAGAAUACCCCGUGCCUAUUUGCAUGCAUGUCUCAAGUGAUCUGUUUUCUUCAGAAAAUACAUGAGCAUUGCCAGAAAGAAUGGCAAGAGACAAACAUGUCAUAGAGACUUGCAUGUCUUGCCUUGGAUACGCCAAGAAGAGGGACACAUACAUGGAUAACACAAAUCUAGUGACACGUAUAUUCAUCACAAAGGCAAAUCUGAUAAUUUUAUCCAUGGAGCAGACCAAGGAGAAAUUGAUGACGGACAUGUGAUCUCUGUAUUCAGUUGAAAGCUAAUUGAGCUACACUAAUAUGAGCAGGACUAUAUUCAAGAGACUUGUUGAGAGCUACAGGGAACUUGUAAUAAUUUGCUGGGCGGCCUGCGCACAAUGAUUUGUUAUACAUAGUUGAAAUAUUUCAAGAAUUUAUCAACCUCAUACUCUGAAACCCUUGGUGCAAUGUACUCUGCUUUCCGAGGUAGACUGUUCACGUAAAAUGAGGUCAUGCGUAAGACGGAAUCGGAUUGGAUUCACAGGGAAUCAGAUUUGGAUAGCACCUUUUAGCAGGUUUUUAGUCAAAUGCAAAUUCGGAUCCACAUGUGGUUGAAUGCGAGUUCAAAAUUCUACUUGGAUAUCCAUUUAAUUUAGGUGAUAGCAAUUAGCACAAAAUGUUGGAUGAACAAAAUCAUAGUUAGACAUACAAUUACAUGUAUGGUUAAAGUAUAAUACAAUACACCAAGAUUAUUCCUUGAAAAUAUUUCUUAAAAAUAUUAUAAUAAAUGAAUAAAUAUAAUUGUGGCCACCAACAAAUAGUCGGUGGUCGCUAAGUUGGAGCCAUUUCUGGUUACUAAUGCGGCCUUCUCCUCGACCAGCGACGACAGCUGAGCUUGUUCCUUCUGACACUAAAUCAUCAGAGUCUUCCCUCCACUACUAUAGAAUGCACCUUUAGCACCAAUUGGGAAAUCCCCUUCAGUAUUGGAUGCUGCAACCAGUGCUAUAUAUCAAAAUGGAGACUAAAAGCCUCGGUCUUGGGUACCGGUUGCAUAACGCAUUACUAAAGGAGGCAAAAGAGAAAUGUAACAAAAAAAAUAUUUUGAAUUCCAAGAAUGUUUCACUAUUCAAGAUGACUAGCUGAGAGUCAACAGACAAGAUACUAGGAAUGUGGGUGCUUGAAUGCAUUUGUACAGAGGUCAUACUAUUUACAAACUCUUCUAUGUUUCCAUAUGACUACCUACUUCAAUGUCACGCGAGCCAUUCAGCUGGACACAUGGCACACUAGCUUGCAUGUCGAAUCCAUGAUUAAUUAUUUCCACUUGUGAUCUCUUACCAGUAUUUGUCCAGACUAGAAACGUGCAACACAUUUUUAGGAUAUGGACACGCAUAUAUUUGGACUAGUAUACAGGUCACCUUUGGAUGCGUACAAGGAUGACCGGGAGGGACUAGAAAUGGUCUAGUUUUGAUUGGACUACAAAACUUUUUGUACAGUGAAUAGAGAAUAUAUAUUAUUGUUGGAAUACGAGGUAGGCUACACUAUCGCAAUUCUGAUAUUCUACCGCGUAUAACCAAGAAGAACUGUCGUAUAAGGAUCACGGGAUUACCACUCGACGCACUACUGGUGCGGAAGAUGUAGAUAUGCGUCGAUGCAGUGAAGACGAUCACGUAGUCGUAUGUAGUCGAUCAACGUAGUCGUACAUAGUCGAUCACGUCCAGCAGCUCCUCAGCAGCUCGUCCACGUGCAGCAAGAUCGCCUCCGGUACCGCGGCUCGUCGUUGGCUUGUCGUGGCUCGUCGACGGCUCGUCGGCGGCUCGUCCAAGUGCUGCAGGCGCAACACCUCCAAGGUAUCCACACGUGCAGGGAGGAAGCGUCGCAAGCCGGACUGCUAGAUCCACGAGUUGCAACAGGCGAGGGCGUGGGAGGCGCGGCAGGUGUGUUUCGCCAAAAAGGUGUAAACCCUAGGGCGCCCCCACCCCUCUAUUUAUAGAGGUUCCUGACGGGCCUCUGGAUCCGAGGCCCAUUAGUACUUCUAAACCUAAUCCAACUCGGAUCAGAUCCGAAUUGGGCUUCCAGCCCCUUAAGUGUGUGACCCUAUAAGUUCGGAUACGUAUAGACAUGGCCCGAGUACUCCUACUCGGCCCAAUAGUCGGUAGCGGCCUCUAGCAAGACGUGCCAACUCCUAUACGCACACGAAGAUCAUAUCAGACGAACCAUCACAACAUAAUAUACAUGCUAUUCCCUUUGCCUCACGAUAUUUGGUCUAGCUUCAAGCCGACCGCUCUUUCUCAGUCCUGUGAUUCGGAAUCCCUUUGUAGGUUAACUCUUAACCGUACGUAGCAUGGCCAUGCAUUUUCGGAUCUGAUCACUCGAGGGGCCCAGAGAUAUCACUCUCAAUCAGAGAGGGGCAAAUCCCAUCUUGAUUGACCAUGUCUCAUAGCAUGCUUCUUGACAAACCUAAAAACUACCUUUAUAACUUCCCUGUUACGGCGUAGUGUUUGAUAGCUCCUAAGUAGGUCGAUCCACAUCUAGAAUACAUGCGACAAUUUCAGGUCUAAGGACAAAGCGUAUAUGUUGUUUAAAGAGAGAACUACUUCUCGUGUUGGGUCAGUCCCAGCACAUGUCUCCACAUGUGUCCACAUUAUUAGUUCAACAUCUCCAUGUCCAUGACUUGUGAAACAUAGUCAUCAACUAAUACAUGUGCUAGUCUAAUAUUCAUGUGUGUCCUCACAUGAACUCCGACUAGGGACAACUUUAGAAUAACCAUACAAGUAAAGAGUUUCACAUACAAUUCACAUAAUUGCAAAUCAAUUCAAGUAGCCUUCAAUGGAUAUUCAAUGAACACAACAUACAAAUCAUGGAUACAAAUGGAAUAUCAUCAUCUCUAUGAUUGCCUCUAGGGCAUACCUCCAACAGUCUCCCACUUGCACUAGAGUCAAUCUAGAAGGUACCUAAUACCCAUAGCUCUUACAUGCGCAUCAUGCUUAGCCUGCGGGAGUGGUUUUGUCAACGGAUCAGAAAUGUUCAGAUCCGUGUGUAUUUUGCAUAUCUUGAUCUCACCCCGGUUAACGAAGUCUCGAAUGAGAUGAAAUCGCCGCAUUACAUGUUUGUUCUUCUGGUGGUUCCUUGGCUCCUUUGCUUGCGCAAUUGCCCCAUUGUUAUCACAGUAGAGAUUCAAUGGGCUGGACCCAUUCGGGAACACACCAAGCUCAAUGAGGAAAUUCCUUAUCCAAACACCUUCCUUCGCGGCUUCCGAAGCCGCGAUGUACUCGGCUUCUGUCGUAGAAUCGGCCACCGUCUCCUGCUUGGAACUCUUCCAACUAACAGCACCACCAUUUAGCGUGAACACAAAUCCUGUUUGUGACUUUGAAUCAUCUCUGUCGGUUUGGAAACUAGCAUCGGUGUAACCUGUUACAACGAGCUCCUCCUCACCUCCAUAGACGAGGAAUAUAUCUUUAGUCCUUCUCAAGUACUUAAGAAUGUUUUUCACCGCUGUUCAGUGACUCUCACCUGGAUCAGAUUGGUGUCUGCUUGUCAUACUUAGCACAUAUGAAACAUCUGGGCGAGUACUUAUCAUUGCAUACAUGAUAGAUCCAAUAGCCGAGGCAUAUGACACUCUACUCAUGUGAUCCCGCUCAUCAGCAGUCGAAGGACACUGAGUCUUGCUGAGAUGUAUGCCAUGUGACAUAGGCAAGAACCCUUCCAUGCUGAACCGCUUCAACACUUUGUCAAUGUAAGUAUCUUGGCUUAAACCUAUAAGCCUUCUCGAUCUAUCUCUAUAGAUCUUAAUGCCCAGAAUAUAUGCCGCUUCCCCUAAGUCCUUCAUCGAAAAACUAUUUUUCAGUGAAGUCUUUAUGGACUCAAGCAUAGGAAUGUUAUUUCCAAUCAGUAAUAUGUCAUCCACAUAUAAGAUUAGAAAUACUACAGAGCUCCCACUAACCUUCUUGUAAACACAAGACUCUUCUUCGUUCUUGGUGAAGUCAAACCCUUUGACCACUUCAUCAAAACGAAUGUUCCAACUCCUAGAUGCUUGCUUCAAUCAAUAAAUGGAUCUCUGAAGCUUGCAUACCUUUCCAGCAUUUUUCGGAUCGACAAAACCCUUGGACUGUAUCAUAUACACGUCCUCAGUUAGGUUUCCAUUCAGGAAAGCUGUCUUGACAUCCAUCUGCCAUAUCUCAUAAUCGAAAUAUGCAGCCAAACUUGAUUGUCUCCCAUGGACUCUAUUUCGGAUUGCAUGGCAUUCUGCCAUUUUUCGGAGUCUGGGUCCAUCAUUGCUUCUGCAUAUGUCACAGGCUCAUCAUUGUCCAACAAUAAUAUUUCCUGCAUUUCGCGGAGCCUUGCCGACCUUCGUGGUUGUGGCGGUGCUUCUCUUGCCAUGGGUAUCUCAACUUGUUCUGCUACGUUAGCAUCACUCAUUGAUUCUUGCCCGAUCGGCUCAUCUUGAACUUCUUCAAGAUGCACUGUCUUUCCACUCUUUUCUCCUUUGAGAAACUCUUUCUCUAGGAAAACCCCGUUCCGAGCGACAAACACUUUGCCUUCUGAUCAGUUGUAAAAAUAAUAUCCCAAAGUUUCCUUUGGAUAUCCCACGAAAAUGCACUUAUCCGACUUGGGUGCGAUCUUGUCCGACUGAAGUCGCUUGACAAACACAUCACAUCCCCAAAUCUUUAGAAAAGACAAACUAGGAACCUUUCCAGUCCAUAUCUCAUAUGGUGUCUUAACUACGGAUUUAGAUGGUACCCUAUUAAGUGUGAAAGCUGCUGUUUCUAGAGCGUAUCCCCAAAAUGACAACGGUAGGUCCGACUGGCUCAUCAUUGAUCGAACCAUGUCUAACAAAGAUCGAUUACGUCGCUCGGACACACCGUUUCUCUGAGGUGAUCCAGGCGGCGUAAGUUGUGGAACAAUUCCGCAACUCUUUAGAUGAUUGCUAAACUUGUGGCUCAAAUACUCGCCUCCACGAUCAGAUUGUAAGGCCUUAAUUUUCUUGACACGCUAAUUUUCAACUUCAUUCUGAAAAUCCUUGAACUUUUCAAAGGUUUCAGACUUGUGCCUCAUCAAGUAGACAUAGCCAUAUCUACUAAAAUCAUCAGUGAAAGAUAUGAAGUAUUGGAAUCCUCCUCUAGCCGUCGUGCUCAUUGGUCCGCAUACAUCACUAUGUACGAGUUCCAACAAGUCUACUGCUCUCUCAGGAAAUCCUGUGAAAGACGUCUUGGUCAUCUUGCCUAGCAAGCAAGCCUCACAUGUCUCGUAUGAUUCAAAAUCAAACGAAGUUAGAAGUCCAUCAGAAUGGAGCUUCUUCAUGCGUUUUUCACUUAUAUGACCCAAACGACAAUGCCACAAGUAGGUAGGACUCAAAUCAUUAGGCCGAGGCCUUUUAGCACUUACAUUACAGACAGGUGAACCAUCAAGAUUUAAAACAAAUAAUCCAUUCACAAUGGGUGCAAAAGCCAUAAACAUAUUAUUCUUAGAGAUCACACAACCAUUGUUUUCACUCGCAAAUGAAUAACCAUCCUUCAUCAAGCAUGAAGGAGACAAAAUGUUUCGACUUAAACUAGGAACAAAAUAACAAUUAUUCAACUCCAUAAUAAAUGCUGACGGGAGGUGGAGUUGCAUCGUCCCGACGGUCAACGCAGCAACUCUUGCAUUAUUGCCCACGCGGAAAUCAACUUCUCCUCUUUCCACGCUUCUACUUCUUAUCAUUCCCUGCAUCGAAUUGCAAAUAUGAGCAACCGAUCCGGUAUCAAAUACCCAAGAAUUAAUAAUUGUAUCAGCGAGAAAUAUGUUGUCUAUGACAUUAACAACAAGCGUACCUGAGGUAGAAGUACUCUUACUUCCUCCAUUCUUCAACGAAGCUAGGUACUGCUUGCAGUUUCUCUUCCAGUGACCAAGUUCAUGACAGUAAAAGCACUCUUUGUCUGGAGCAGGUCCAGGUCCAGCUUUAACCUUGGGCGCUCGCUGGGUUUGGCUUGGAAAUUCCAGCCUUGCCCUUCUUCUUCCAAGAAUUGCCCUUCUUCUUAAAGCUAGGCUUGUUCUGUAUAGCCAUCACAUGGCUAGUACAAGCGCUUUUCUUGAUGUCUACCUCUGCUGUCUUGAGCAUACCACACAGUUCAUUCAAACCCUUCUCCGUCCCAUGCAUAUGGUAGUUCGAGAUGAAGUUCCCAUAGCUAGGCGGAAGAGAUGAAAGAAUGAAGUCAGUGGCCAACUCUUUGCCCAUUGGGAAGCCCAGCUUCUCCAAUCGCUGAGUGUAACCAACCAUGUUGAUUACAUGUGGUCCUACUGCUGCGUCUUCUGCUAGCUUGCACUCCAGAAAAGCUUUGGACACAUUGAACCUUUCAGUCCUAGCCUGUGUCUGGAACAUGUCCUUGAGCGCCACGAUCAUAUCGUGUGCCUCAUGAUUUGUUUCGAACUGCAUCUGCAGCUCGGGUUCCAUGCAAGCAAGCAUAAGGCAGCUUACCUCAAGAUUAGCAUCAAAUGCCUUCUUGUAAGCAGCCUUAACGGCAGCAGAUGCAUCAUCAGCAGGUACUGGUGGUAGUGGGGUAUCUAGAACAUCUUCCUUUUUAUCGGCCCUGAGAACAAUUCUCAGGUUACGGAUCCAAUCCGAGUAGUUUGUUCCAUUCAACUUGUCCUUCUCAAGGACCGAGCGCAAAGCAAACGAUGUGGUGGUGUUGCUAGGUGCCAUUUAAUCUACAACAAAAGUAAUGCAAAAUACACUAAGACAAACGUAUCCAUGAUAGAGCAAAUUACAUUAAACUAUUUUAACAGAAUCUACUCCCACUAAAAUCAAUAUCCCUCUAUUGAAACUUAGUGAUUCAGGAUCCACAACUAACAAGUCUACUAGUGAGCUUUAGCAUCACCGCUAGCAAACGAGGUAGAUCGGUAAGCAACUUUUGCUAAUCAUAUCACAUAUGACUCCUGUUGUUGGGUGACAUCUCCAUGUCUCGGCGCCCAACCAUUAUGCCCCAAGGUCCUUAACCGUUAAGAUGACCUCGUUAAGCAAACCAACCCUUAUGCGUGUAAGUGUCCGACACAAACCCGUCUAGUCAAGGAAAACUAGUGGCACCCUAAUUUCAUAGACCCACCACUAAUUGUACAAGACAUGGGACGGUGCAAGUUUUAGUUGGGAGGGCAUACUAACUUAAAUUUUUUGUGAGGGAUCGUUCUACUUCUAACAUCACAGCAUGCAGAAAGUAAAACAUAAACAGAAUAGCAUUCACACAGCUGUGACACAGUAUGGCCCGUUUUUAUAUGGUGAUCUCCAUCUCCAUAGAACCUGUUCACCAUGGUGAUCUCCAUCUCCAUGUUCCAUGUGCGCCAUCCUCCUGGUGAGGAGUCCUCCAAGAACUAGAACAUGCUAUUACACCUAAUAGCUAGUAAAGAAUCUAGUAAUGAAGAUUACAUAGUUGCUUGGAUCAUCACAGAUUGGUACGCAGACCAUUAAAUACAAUAAAGUGACAACACAUAUGGCUCCUGCCGUGUUGCCGUACGCGCGACACGCAGGUCACGAAUGAGUUACACACAUGCAUCACAUACACAAGGGGGCCAUACUGAUCACAAGAUACAUACAUACAUCCUGCAAAACAGAGUUAGGCGUCCUAACGUUCCAAACUUCGAAGGCCCGAAACUCCAUCUUCCAAGCCGAAUUUGGGAAAUCUAAUUUUGCCGAAAACGGCAAAGCGGUUGAAUUUCAUGUGUAACUUUUUCUGUAGAUCAAUUUUCAUAUAAAAUUCGCCCCGAUCCGAGAUCGUACCGAAAAGUUACGGCUGAUUUACCGAAGCAUACGCAUACGGCAAAAAUUCCGACCCCGGCAGUAGAUCCCAUCUACUAUUGCACAUCUAAUGCGCCUGGCGUAUGAUCCUGGAUUUCGAUUCGACCAAUCAUAUUGAUCUUCGCUCACUGCAACUGGAAUUACGUGUAUCACUUAACUCGUCGGCGGCUCGUCGGCGGCUCAUCCAAGUGCUGCAGGCCCAACACCUCCAAGGUAUCCACACGUGCAGGGAGGAAGCGUCGCAAACCGGACUGCUAGAUCCGCGAGUUGCAAUAGGCGAGGGCGUGGGAGGCGCCGCAGGUGUGUUUCGCCAAAAAGAUGUAAACCCUAGGGCGCCCCCACCCCUCUAUUUAUAGAGGUUCCUGACGGGCCUCUGGAUCCGAGGCCCAUUAGUACUUCUAAACCUAAUCCAACUCGGAUCAGAUCCGAAUUGGGCUUCCAGCCCCUUAAGUGUGUGACCCUAUGGGUUCGGAUACGUAUAGACAUGGCCCGAGUACUCCUACUCGGCCCAAUAGUCGGUAGCGGCCUCUAGCAAGACGUGCCAACUCCUAUACACACACGAAGAUCAUAUCAGAUGAACCAUCACAACAUAAUAUACAUGCUAUUCCCUUUGCCUCACGAUAUUUGGUCUAGCUUCAAGCCGACCGCUCUUUCUCAAUCCUGUGAUUCGGAAUCCCUUUGUAGGUUAACUCUUAACCGUACGUAGCAUGGCCAUGCAUUUUCGGAUCCGAUCACUCGAGGGGCCCAGAGAUAUCACUCUCAAUCAGAGAGGGGCAAAUCCCAUCUUGAUUGACCAUGUCUCAUAGCAUGCUUCUUGACAAACCCGAAAACUACCUUUAUAACUACCCUGUUACGGCGUAGCAUUUGAUAGCCCCUAAGUAGGUCGAUCCACAUCUAGAAUACAUGCGACAAUCUCAGGUCUAAGGACAAAGCGUAUAUGUUGUUUAAAGAGAGAACUACUUCUCGUGUUGGGUCAGUCCCAGCACAUGUCUCCACAUGUGUCCACAUUAUUAGUUCAACAUCUCCAUGUCCAUGACUUGUGAAACAUAGUCAUCAACUAAUACAUGUGCUAGUCUAAUAUUCAUGUGUGUCCUCACAUGAACUCCGACUAGGGACAACUUUAGAAUAACCAUACAAGUAAAGAGUUUCACAUACAAUUCACAUAAUUGCAAAUCAAUUCAAGUAGCCUUCAAUGGAUAUUCAAUGAACACAACAUACAAAUCAUGGAUACAAAUGGAAUAUCAUCAUCUCUAUGAUUGCCUCUAGGGCAUACCUCCAACAAUUAUUUCAUGUAAAUUUUUGACAAUUUUUUAAAAUUGUUUGAUAUUUUUUAAAUUUUUUUUAAAAUAACUUUGCCGAGUGUCCUAUUGUAGACACUCGGCAAAGCAGCCUUCACCGAGUGUUACCCCUGGGACACUCGGCGAAUUAAUGCCCGGCCGCUCAAGAAUAUGUGCCCGGCCCCCUCACUCUCCCGGCCCCCCUCACUCUCACUCCCCUCACUCCCUCCUCUCUCCCUCCUCUCUCCCUCUCGCCGCCGCCCGAAACCCCCGCCGCCGCCCGCCGCCCGGCAUGCCGCCCAGCGCCCCCCGCCGCCGCCCGGCGCUCCCGAAUCCGCCGCCGCCCGCCCGGCGCCCGGCCCCCGGAUCCGCCGCCGCCGGCCGCCCGGCGCCCCCGGAUUCGCCGCCGCCCGCCCGGCCCCCGGCCCCCGGAUCAGCCGCCGCCCGCCGCCCGGCGCACGGCGCCCCCGGAUCCGCCGCCGCCUGCCCGGCGCCCGGCCCCUGGCCCCCUGAUCCGCCGCCGCCCGCCCGGAUCCGCCGCCGCCCGCCCGGCGCCCGGCCCCCGGCCCCCGGAUCCACCGCCGCCCCCCCGGCCCCCGGAUCCGCCGCCCGCCCGUCCCCUCCACCGGAUCCGCCGGCGCCGGGGCCUGAAGAGAAGAGAAGAGGAGAGGAUGGUGGCGGCGGCGGCCGCGGCGGCGGAGCAGGUGGCAGAGCAUGCAUGAUUUUUUUUUAUUUUUUCAAUAAUUGUUCGCCAAGUGUUUUCUGGGCACUCGGCAAAGUCUUUGCCGAGUGCCCGACACAAAACACUCGGCGAACCAGUGUUUGCCGUCAAGAUUUUUGCCGUGUGUCGUUUGCCGAGUGUUACACUCGGCAAACGCUUUGUCGAGUGUUUUUGGGGUUUCGCGGAGUGACCCUGGCACUCGGCAUCACGCAUGUUUCCCUUAGUGAACUUGAAAUUAUCUGUACAUUCUCGGUGAAGCUGUUGAACUAAUUUUUGCAAAUUAUUAAUUCAUCUCAUUACGCAAAGAAAAAAGUAAGUGGAUAAGAUAUUUCGUGGACCACAUCACUGCAAACAUGUCAUGGAGAGACAGACCAAGGAGGCAGGACGUGAUACACGACUUACCCUAGGUUGCCGUGGAACCGCCAAGAAGAGAUACAGAUACAUGGACCACACCAUCUUGGGAGUAGUGACAGCAUAUAUGCAGAAGAAUACCCCGUGCCUAUUUGCAUGCAUGUCUCAAGUGAUCUGUUUUCUUCAGAAAAUACAUGAGCAUUGCCAGAAAGAAUGGCAAGAGACAAACAUGUCAUAGAGACUUGCAUGUCUUGCCUUGGAUACGCCAAGAAGAGGGACACAUACAUGGAUAACACAAAUCUAGUGACACGUAUAUUCAUCACAAAGGCAAAUCUGAUAAUUUUAUCCAUGGAGCAGACCAAGGAGAAAUUGAUGACGGACAUGUGAUCUCUGUAUUCAGUUGAAAGCUAAUUGAGCUACACUAAUAUGAGCAGGACUAUAUUCAAGAGACUUGUUGAGAGCUACAGGGAACUUGUAAUAAUUUGCUGGGCGGCCUGCGCACAAUGAUUUGUUAUACAUAGUUGAAAUAUUUCAAGAAUUUAUCAACCUCAUACUCUGAAACCCUUGGUGCAAUGUACUCUGCUUUCCGAGGUAGACUGUUCACGUAAAAUGAGGUCAUGCGUAAGACGGAAUCGGAUUGGAUUCACAGGGAAUCAGAUUUGGAUAGCACCUUUUAGCAGGUUUUUAGUCAAAUGCAAAUUCGGAUCCACAUGUGGUUGAAUGCGAGUUCAAAAUUCUACUUGGAUAUCCAUUUAAUUUAGGUGAUAGCAAUUAGCACAAAAUGUUGGAUGAACAAAAUCAUAGUUAGACAUACAAUUACAUGUAUGGUUAAAGUAUAAUACAAUACACCAAGAUUAUUCCUUGAAAAUAUUUCUUAAAAAUAUUAUAAUAAAUGAAUAAAUAUAAUUGUGGCCACCAACAAAUAGUCGGUGGUCGCUAAGUUGGAGCCAUUUCUGGUUACUAAUGCGGCCUUCUCCUCGACCAGCGACGACAGCUGAGCUUGUUCCUUCUGACACUAAAUCAUCAGAGUCUUCCCUCCACUACUAUAGAAUGCACCUUUAGCACCAAUUGGGAAAUCCCCUUCAGUAUUGGAUGCUGCAACCAGUGCUAUAUAUCAAAAUGGAGACUAAAAGCCUCGGUCUUGGGUACCGGUUGCAUAACGCAUUACUAAAGGAGGCAAAAGAGAAAUGUAACAAAAAAAAUAUUUUGAAUUCCAAGAAUGUUUCACUAUUCAAGAUGACUAGCUGAGAGUCAACAGACAAGAUACUAGGAAUGUGGGUGCUUGAAUGCAUUUGUACAGAGGUCAUACUAUUUACAAACUCUUCUAUGUUUCCAUAUGACUACCUACUUCAAUGUCACGCGAGCCAUUCAGCUGGACACAUGGCACACUAGCUUGCAUGUCGAAUCCAUGAUUAAUUAUUUGCACUUGUGAUCUCUUACCAGUAUUUGUCCAGACUAGAAACGUGCAACACAUUUUUAGGAUAUGGACACGCAUAUAUUUGGACUAGUAUACAGGUCACCUUUGGAUGCGUACAAGGAUGACCGGGAGGGACUAAUGGAUACAAGGAAGGGACCAUCAGGAUUAAUAUUGACAUAUGCCACAUGACAAUCUUCAUUGUCAUGCAAUCCCUAUCAACAAUCAUGGAAUCCCUAGUGUACUAAUCCCUGGAGGGUUGUGUGGAAAUUUAUUUUACCUUGCGGUGAAAAUCUCAUGAGCAGUCAUUAGUUAAGCUGACUAGCUGAGAUAUAAUAGACAAGCUAGUAAGAUUGGGAGCAUCAAUGCAUCCAUACAGGGUCACAAUAUCCUUUCCAUUCACUUUUAUAUAUAACCCUACGAAUACAAGUCCAACGAAAUGCGGGCCUUUCGAUCAAGAUAAAUUAAAUGGCCCACUUGUAUUUCUAAUCCAGGAUUAACUAUGCCCUCUGUUCAUCUCUUGCAAGCACGUGCAACACAUUUUCACGAUAUGGACAUGCAUGGAGGUUAUUAUACUGUUUGGACAAACUCUGAUGUGCCAUGACCUAAAUGCUUAGGGCCUGUUUGGUUUGAGUUGCUUAUUAUAAGCAACUUAAAGUUGCUUAAAGUUGCUUAUUUGAAGUUGCUUAUUUUUAGUCUAAACUGUUUGGAUACCCUUGCUUAUGAGCAUUGAAUGAGUUGGACAUUGUCAAAUUUGCCCCAUGUGUUGCUACCCCUCCAAUUUGCCUCCCCACCCUUCUUCUUCCUGCACACGUCCGAUCCCGGGGGCCGACGGCGGGCAGGGAGCAGCAGCAGCUGGCCAGGGCGGCGGUGGGGCGGGAGCGGCGGCGCACACCAGCACGCGCUCGCACGCCAGGUGCUAGGGCGCGGCGAGGCAGUCGUCGUAGCCCACCGGGAGCGGGUGCUCGGGCGCGAGGCGGUACUCGACGGAGAUGCCGAGCGUCGGGCGCGCGGCGGCGAGCGCGUUGAGGAAGCGAUGGUAGUGCGGCGACGUCGCGGACUCCGCCACGAAGCCGCCGCCGUGGACGUACACCACCACGGGCAGCUUCGUCUUGCCGUCGGCGGCCGCGGCCGCGGCCUGGGGUGGCAGGUAGAGGCGGACGGAGCAGGAGCCGAGGUCGACGUCCCUGGAGUCGACGCCCGUGGCGGCGUCCAGGCUGGGCCCGACCGGCGGCGGCACGAGCGGGCGCUCGAUGCGGCCGCUCUUGUAAAUCCGACGGGUCUGUGCGGAGGCGGGCGGCGGGCGGGAGCGGCGGGUGGGAGCGGCGGCAGGUGGUGCGGAGGCCGGCGGCGGCGGGUGGCGCGGAGGAAGGGGAGCUGGUGAGUGGUGACAGGGGAGGGGGGGAGAGAGAGGGGGGGUAGGGUGCAUUGAAUGAGGGCAGGAGGUGUAAAGUGCACCUUUUAGUCCCCAUGAGCAACCAUAAGCAGCCCAAGAGUUGCUUAUUUGCUUAUAAUAAGCAACCUCAUAAGCAAGAGUGAUUGGUUUCAUAAGCAACUUAUUUGCUUAUUUUAAGUUGCUUAUGCAUAAGCAUGUGAAACCAAGCAGGUCCUUAACCUAUGGUUGUGGCACCACACAGUACAUAGUAUUUAAUAAUGCUAUUCGUUUGGUAUGUGCACAAGGGCACGCAUGAAAUGUCUGGCCCACGGUAAACAAGUACGGACGCUGCAAAUAAUCUACUCUGCUCGUCCAGUCCCUAGCCUAUAAAUAGAUGCCAUGCUAGCUCUUGUUGUGCUCACAAUUAAUCCUGACUACACACGAGCUUCUCUCCCUGGCCAAGACACAAUCAUAGUAUGAUGAAGAACAUGGCACUAGCCGGCAAUGGUAUGAAGAACUUAAUCCUCGCUGUUCUCUUACUGUGUCUAGUUAUAGGGCAGAUACAAGUGGAAGCUAAGAGCUGCUGCCCAUCCAUUACUGCAAGAAAUAUCUACAAUGCCUGCCGUAUCACGGGUACAUCCCGUCCAACGUGUGCAAAACUGUCAGGCUGCAAAAUUAUCAGCGGGGACAAAUGCAAGCCCCCUAACGACCACCUCACCCUUGACCCGGACACUGGUAAAUAAUAAAUUUAUCUCACUUGAUUUCUUCGUGUUUUGAGUCGUUAAUGUAUUUUCCAUCUGAUGAAACGUAUUGGUUUUGCAUUGAAGAGGAAGUUAAUGUGCUUAACUUCUGCAAGUUGGGGUGUGCGUCGUCUGUGUGCAACAACAUCAACGCUGGUAAGCACCUUUUGCUCAGACGGAGAAAACAAUAAUCAUUAAUUAGCGGCAGCUAGAAUCCUAUAAUCUAAUAUAUUUAUAUAUAUAUAUAAUUUUAUCAGCUCUGGGAAAUGAAGAGGCGAACGAUGCCGUUGAGAGUUGCGACCAAGCCUGCUCUAGCUUCUGCAACGUGCACGUUGGCGCUGCCACCGUGGUUGCUUAAGCAAAUGCAUCCAACUGGAUCGUCCUUGUGCUAAAUAAUUGGAUAUCGUAUCCACUUAAAGCUGCCUUGUGUAGUACGUUUUUGUUUGUGUCUCUCUUUAUAUUCCAAUAAGGUCGGUGAUCUUGAUGCCACACACUCAGACGUGUGUUCAUCUCCAGAUACUACUCCAUGCUACCUGCCCUUUGUGUUUUGUUCAAUAACUGGGUAUCAUAUCCCAGCCAGUGUGCCAUCUGUUUUGUGUUUAUUUCCUUCUAGUUUCAAAGGGGUUAUCAUGAUGUUACCUUCUUUCGAUAUGGUGCUUUGCAUGACUACUGUUGUAUGGUACCAUCUUGUUGGCCAAUAAAUACAUCUUAUCCUAUGACCCUUUGCUAUGACC
rnacentral:lncRNA from 1 species